rnacentral:lncRNA from 1 species
UGGAGUCUAAAGUUGCUCUGCCUAGAUCCCAAAACGAGAGAUAGGCCAAGCUCAAUGGAGAAGUUGCAGGUGCUCCUAAGGCAUCCUAUCUUCUGCAACCUGUUCUUGCUGCUAGUUUAUGUUCAAGCUUGUUCAAACCUUGCGAUGGCUGGUUCCAUAGUUAAGUUUCUUCCAGGAUUUGAAGGACCCCUCCCCUUUGAACUCGAAACCGGGUGAGCCACUAAGUAUAACAUAUAUAUAUAUAACACUAGAAAUUAACAUUGAUCAAAACUUAGAAGAAAUACUUGAUCCAUUUUCUGAUAUUAUCAGGUAUAUUGGAGUUGGUGAAUCAGAGGAUGUGCAGCUCUUCUACGCUUUUAUCAAGUCAGAGUCAAAUCCUGAAUCGGAUCCUCUUAUCAUUUGGUUAGAUGGAGGACCUGGCUGCAGUUCAUUUAUUGCAUUUCUCUUUGGGAUAGGUGAAUUCUAAUGCCUUACACUUUGCAGUAGGUGUCACAAAAAAAAAAAAAAAAAAGGAACAAUUGCGGCACUAUUUUGAUCUUGAUUUUGUAUAAUCUUGAAACUCUGCAAACAGCCUUUCUGGUUGAAACUCUGCAAAAAAGACAAAAGACGUUGUCUGGUUGACGAAGCUUUAUGUAAGGUCUUUUGUUUUGUUUUGUUUUUUUGGGUAAAAGUAUUAAUUUUAUUGAAUAGCAUCCAUUUGUCGCCGGUAGCAACUGCUACAAACAUUUGUACAAUAACUAACUACACAUUCACAGCAAAUUAAAAUGCCCAAAAUAUAAAUUAAGCUCCAAAAACACGCACCUAAAUAUUUUUUCAUAUGCAUUGCUAUAAUAAGGCUUUUGAAAAACAUUCCUAAAAACACCUAUUCAAAUGGAGCCAUAAUCUUUAUUUGUCUUUAAUGUUCAAGUGAUAUGACUGAAAACUGGAGUGCCAGCAUUUGAUCAAGUCACUGGCCCGUGAUUUCCUGUUGCAGGACCAGUAAUUUUGGAGCCAUUGUCGUUCGACGCACUCUGCCCAAGUUGGUAUUAAAUCCCUCUACUUGGACCAAGGUAAACUCAAGAAUUGAGUUUCUCUUUUCUUUUAUUUUAUUUUCUUGCCAGAGAAAAAGAGAUUUAAGUUGAUGAGUAUAUCUUAGACUCAUAGAAGUGUUACAUGAAAAGGUUAUUGAGAUACGUAUAUAAAUAAGGUUCCAAAUUUUUUCUUUUUUCUUUUUUUUUUUUUGAAAUAAUGUUCAAAUAAUCUUUAUCCAAACAAACCUAAUUUUCAAGAUUAAGAAUUCGAGUAGACUGCAAGAUUGAGAAUCAUUUCUUGUUACUUGUUAGGUUGUAAGCAUCAUCUUUCUGGAUUCGCCAGUUGGAACGGGUUUUUCUUAUGCUAAGACUGCAAAAGCUUCUCAAUCUUCAGAUUUUCAAGCCUCUGAUCAAGCUUAUGAAUUUAUCAGGAAGGUACACGCCCAUCACUCAGCUAAUUAAUGAAUCGUAAGGCUUCAUGGAACGUUGGACAAUUACUAAUUAGGAAAAUGCCAUAUUUGUCUCUAGACCCUUUAUUAUGCAAAAAGACCAGUGUACUAUCAUUUAAUUAUUUUCCUUCAGAAUAGUGGAAUCCUUCAUGGCCGUCCCAAAAUUGCCUCCAUUGGAUUCAAGUUCUCUAUGAACACAGUUUUGAUUGUAUAGAACAGUUGACAGUGGAAGAUGAAUAAAAGUUACAUCAAUAAUAAUUGGCUAUGGUAGUUUCGACAGUUAGCGUCAUGGAAGCCAUAGUAGAGGAGGUCUCUUGCAUGGGGAAAGAUCCCAAAGUCUCAUGAAAUGUGGCAAUCUCUAGAAUGGAAUAUCCCACUCAGUGUUUAGUUAGUGAAAUGUUCUGAUACGGCUCCUAUGAUAAUUAGUUUAACAUGUAUACUGAGAUAUUCUAUCUCUUGUACAAACUUGUCCAUAUCAAUGAACUUACAGUUUUACCUUGAAAAGAUAGUGGAAGAUGACUAAUUUUGAAUUUGAUGCUUACAAUUCAAUUUUGGGUACAAAUUUCAAUAAGCGAGGCAAUUUAUUGUCUUUUUGCAUGUUGUUGUAUCUUAAUGUCUACAAUUGGUUUGCUAGUGCCUAUGUACACAGUGCAAUUACAACUGCCAAUCAUAGAGGCUUGGGCAGGCGAUAUUUGUUGCGUUUUUACCCAUUUGAACCUCGAGUUAAAAACUUAAUUUCCCUUGAAAUGGGAAAGAAAUUAUAGUUAAAAGAUGUUUACCUUUUACAAGAUUGGUUUUGAUAGUUGAUUAUACUGCAGUGGCUACAUGAUCACCCAGAGUACAAGUCGAAUCCAUUCUAUGUUAGUGGAAUCUCGUAUGGGGGCAUUCCUGUUCCAAUAUUAACUCAACUUAUAUCAAAUGGUAAGAUUUUUUCAAUGUGGCUCUUUACCCUGGGGAAGUUUUUUGGUUGUGUUACAAUCUGAUUAUUGAAAUUGUUAUGCAGAGAUACAUAGGCAUUGUAAGAGAUCUGAAUAUACUAUAAAUGCUUUCUGUAAGCUUGUAGUAUAUGCGAAGUCUCUUUAGGUAGGAAUAUAGUUGCCACCUUAAGCUAAAUGGGUUUUAUUAACAUAAUGCAGAGCUUUAAGAGGGGGAAAAAUGGUUAAAAGUUCCCUCAGAAAUUUGCAGGCUUUUUAUUCUUUUCUGUCAAUAUGUUAAGUUAUAAGACGCUCCAGGAUAAAGCAAGAAAACGUUUCUUUGACCAGUUCAGAGUUCUACAUUAUCUCCUGCCACAAGAUGAUCAGUUGAAGUUUGCUAAAUACAGGAGUAUAGGAUCAAUGCUUUGUUGCUCUAUGACUAUUAAGGCCUAAAACUUACAUGUAUUUUGGUGUUAUUCCAGGAAACGAGGACGGCAUUGAACCACGUAUUGAUCUUAAGGUCUAUACCUUUGAUGAUCUUCUCUUUUCUAGUCUACCUAAUCUUGAUUGACUACAUACUAUUUGGAGAAAAAUUUACCUUCCUGAGUUUAAAACUGAGACGGCUCCAUUUAUGGCUUCAGGGAUACAUACUUGGAAAUCCAAUAACGAAGGUUUCAGGAAUUCUGAACUAUAGGGUUCCGUUUGCUUAUGGGAUGGGGCUGAUUUCUGAUGAACUCUAUGAGGUAACUUAUUUCUUUUGUUUGUUACCUAUUGAUAUCUCAGAACACUGUCAUUUGUCACAUGCAUUCUUACAAUGUAAAAUUAUCCGUGAUUUUCUAAUUGACCUGUAUAUUUACAAUGCAGUCCUUGAAGGUUAGCUGUAAAGGGGAAUAUGAAAUCAUAGAUCCCAGUAAUGCAGCGUGUUCGAAAAAUAUGCAGGCAUACAAUGAGGCAAGCAACCAUAUCUAUGCAAUUUUUAUGUGACUCUAUUUUCAAAAAUUAGGCAAGGCCUAAUGGAUUUACUUAAAGCGUCCCUAAACUCAAGAAAGAGGGACAGAGUUAAGGAUUGUCAGUCAGUAACCGUUUCUGAAUAGUGUAAUAUCAUUUGAACAAGCAGUAAUUCAUUGUAACUUACACGUACAAUUUCGUAACAGAGUUGCAGUUAUUGUUAGGGGCUUACACAAGCACUGAUCGAACAUCAUACUUCUGUUGCGAAAUUGUAGAAGUUAACAAUGAAUUACUCUAAUUUAUUCAAACAAUAACACACUUUCCAGAAACGGUUGUACUGACAAUUGGUUCCUACCCCUUCCCUUUAAUUUGCGGGCUACAAAAGGUGGGAAGAAUCAGAAUAAAGGAACGGCAACCAGAGUGAUGGUGUUAAUAAUUUGCUUCUGCAGUUGUUUCGUAAUAUUGACGAUCAACAGAUCUUGAUUCCCGUAUGUCCUCCCUUUCACGAGAGCCAAAUAAAUUAUUUACUGGUGGGAGAUCCAUUAUACAAUGUUGUAUAAGAAGUUUGAAGAGCUAGACAUUCGGGAAUCUACUCCAGUCAAAUGUCGAGUAAGAUACUACUAGUAUCGUUCUAUGUAAACUCGUGGAUAAGAGCAUCAGUUCUUGGUAGCACAACUGAUCGCGUUUCUUCUGUGCUGGCAAUCGUAGAUGGAAUGGAUUACGCUUGUUGAUCACUGGGCUAACAACAAGAGCGUCCAAGAGGCCCUCCAUGUGCGAAGGGUAUGUCUAAAUCGAGCACUAUGGUAUGUAGCAUUUGAAGAAUGCCGAAGCAAGCCUGAACUGAUUUCUGUAAUCACAUUGCAGGAAACUAUCGGACAGUGGGUAAGCUGCAGCGAUACCUUGCCAUACACAGAAAAUGCAGGGAGUGUUGUACCAUAUCAUGCAAACCUUAGCACUAAAGGUUAUAGAUCCCUUAUAUACAGGUUUGGUACCUUACUCUGAAUCUUGAUGCAUGUAGGUUAACAGGAGUGAUUUUAAGUACUGAAAGUGGAGUACUUUGUGAUUCAGUGGUGACCAUGAUCUGCUGGCCCCGCACAUUGAAACUCAAGCGUGGAUAAGAUCUCUACAUUACCCAAUUAUUGACGAUUGGAGACAGUGGAUUCAUGAAGGCCAAGUUGCCGGGUUUGGUUCAAAAUUGAACAAUGUUUCUUUUCUUGAUUACACCGCCAUUAGCACGAGAUAAAAAGAUGACUUUACCCAUCUCAUCUAAAUUUGUUCUGUUUUCCUGCUCCAGUUACACAAGGACUUACGCAAAUAAGAUGACAUUUGCAACAGUGAAGGCAAGAAAUUCCUGUUUCUAUUGCUUCAGUGCAAGAUUUGUUCACAUGGUAACGACUAACAACAAGUUUAGAACAUUCUUGGGACUAACUAGCACCCCUUUUUCUUUUUCUUUUUUUUGGGUGCAGGGAGGAGGCCAUGUUGCUUAUGAGUUCAAGCCUGCCGAAUGCAGAACUAUGCUUGAGAGAUGGACAUCGCAUCAGCCUCUCUAAUCAGUUGGCAUAUGGAAUAUGAACAUCUUUGAUCACUUCUGAGCAUCAAAUGAUCCACUCUUAAAUAUAAAUUAUUGUAACUUUGGGUCAUGAGACGCUUCUACUCCAAGUCUCCAAUGGAUUGCCUUCUUAUCGAAUAGUGAAUAAAAUGUAGUAGUUAAAAUGGGAAUCACGUUACUUACGCCUCCAAAACCUUUCUAUAUGACUGUUGAAGCUUUUACUUUGAAAAUAUGUCAUUGAAAUAAAUUUCCUCAAUUUUGCAAUAAAUAAAAUUUUGAAUUCACAGGAAAGUACCGGCCGUUUGGCAAGGAAUUCAAAUAUUAAAAAAAUUUGUUACUCCAUUAAACAUGAAUGGAGGGAAUCUACCAAAGCUUUUAAAAGAUGAAGAGGAGUAGGAAAAGGAAUUUCUUAUACAUAAUUGAAAAGCAAUUUUCUUGAGAACACAUUUAAAACCUAAAGAAGAUCAAAAGAAGAACUCCCUCAUGUCUAGGACUGAUCUAAUCACUUUUUAAGCAAAACUGUGACUCAAAAGUACCUUAAAAGCCUUCUUUUUUGGGUAGCCCUAAAUUACGUGUUUGUGACCAUUGAUGAUCUAGUCAUCGAAGACUCACACUUGAAUAGAUCCAAUCUUUAAAAUUCAAUGGGUCAAUUUAUGCUACCUAUCUCACCAAUGGUGCGACUUAAUCUAGACUGCUGAAUUUUUGAAAACGAAUCUUCCAAGUUUUCGUUGAACGUACUAAGGGUACUAGGAGGCAUAAAUGGCGUGAUGGAUGUAGGGAACUAAAGACAAUAUACUCAGGCAAAUAUGCGGAUUAAGGGAGUGAUUGAAUUUUGGUAUAUUCUUCGUUUAUCCAGCAUGGCAUGCAAAAAAUUUUUUUUUGUUUGUAUAUGAGUAUGAAUAUGCAUGACACUUGACAUGGGGAAAAAAUUCAUUGAGUUAUUUAGAAUAAGGUUGAUAAUCCAAUGUGCUUCAAACUUCAGGGCAAUGCAAAGGCUUCUAAUCCAUUGCAUUACAUGAAUUUGGCAAUAAUAAUGAUGAUGUACUUGGUUGUUGCACUAGAUAGCAAAAUCACAAAUUGUAAAGCGAGGUAUUCUCUACAUUUUCAGAAUAUCUAACAACUUGCAGGUUGAAGUAUUGUAACUUGAUGCUAUAUCUUUUUGGAUUCAUCACUCGUGGCUUCUGAUGUACUUUCACAAAGUAAUUGAAAGCAACUAAAACUAACUUUGAAGCAGAAAUUGUUGUAGCAAAGAUAGAUAAAUUUUUCAAGAAGAUAUUACUGGAGAAAAUGUGGAAUAACCUUACAUCGCACUUCAACAAUACAUUAAACCACGAAAGAAACGUGCCAGAUUACUGAUACAUAAUUAAUUAUGGCUUAACUGAGCUGAAGAUAAAAAUUAAAAUGCCAUGGAUACAUAGAUACCGGUACUAGUUGAUCUUAAGAAAUGCUUGAUAUGUUCUUGAUAAUCGCCUUAAUCUUAUUUCUACAAGAAAACUUGAUGAUGAAGGUUACCAUAACUCGCAAGGUGGAGGCAAAUGGAAACUCAGCAAAGAAAAUCUCGUUGUUGCCAGAGGAAGGAAGCAGAGUACCCGCUACUUGAUGCAAGCCAAGUUGGGGAAGAGAGAAGUAAAUGCAGUUCAUGAUUCCUAAAUUGACCUUUGGCAUUGGCGAUUUGGACACAUGGGUGAAAGGAGAAUUCAUAAACUUGUUCGCAAGCAGCUCCUACCUUGAGUUAGAGGUAAUGUACUUAAAUCUUGUGUUGACUGCAUUUAUGGAAAAUAACAUAGAGUUGCAUUUCAGAAAUUUUCUCCAUCUAGAAUAUUAAAUCCGUUAGAGUUAGUGUACACUGAUGUUUGCUAUAUGAAAAAUAGGUCUCUUGGUGGUGUUGUUUAUUUUGUAACUUUUAUUGAUGAUUUUGCUAGAAAAGUUUGAUGUUUUGCUUUGAAAUCCAAAUAUCAGGUUUUGGAUGUAUUUAAAAAUUUUCCUAGCAAAGUUGAAAGAGAAACUAAAAAGCAAUUAAAGUGUAUUCGUGUUGAUAAUAGUGGUGAGUACAGGGAACGGUUUGAAAGUUACUACAAAUCCCAUGGGAUUGGACUAGAAAAGACAAUACUAAAAAUUCCUCAAGAGAAUGGAUUAGUAGAGAGGAUGAAUAAAUCAAUCACUGAGCAGGUCAGAUGUAUGAUCUCCAAUGCUAAACUGCCAAAAUCCUUUUGGGGUGAGACAAUGAAACUAAAGUUGAUUUGAUUAAUCUUUCUCCAUCAAUCCUCUAGAUGGUGAUAUUCAAGAGAGAGUAUGGAUGGAAAAAGUUAUGUCUGUUAAACACUUGAAAAUUUUUGGUUGUUGGGCAUUUGUUUAUAUUUUCAAAGAUGAGAGGUCAAAACUUGUUGUAAAAUCAAAAACAAUUUUCUUGAGUUAUGACAUAAAAAUUUUAACUAUAGGUUAUAUGGUCCUGUUGAAAAGAAAGUGAUCAGGAGUAGGAUAUUGUCUUCUAUGAAGAUCAAACCAAUGAAGACAUUGAUAAAGGUGACAACCCAAAAUUCUCAGAUAAUAUUUCUGCUAGUUCAAAUUCGGAUUCAGAUCUAGUUCUAGUACCUGUUGAUUUUAAUAAAGAGGGAUCUGCGAUAGAGCCGAAAGAGGAUGUUGAUGAUGGUAAUGAUCCUGCUAUUGAUGUACCUGAGCAUGAGACGCCACCUACUCCACCACUGCCACCACAAGAUAAAAUUAGGAAAUCUACUAGAGAGAGGAGACAUUCUAGCAGAUAUAAUUUCCAUGAAUAUGUGUUGUUGACAGAUGGAGGGAAGUUAGAGCCAUAUUACGAGGCUCUAGAGCAUAAGGACAAAGAAUAUUGGUUGCGAGUCAUGCAAGAGAAGAUGGUGUUCCUGCAUGAGAAUCACACUAUGACUUAAUGAAACUAUCUAAGGAUAGAGAGUUCUGAAAAACAUAUGGGUCUACAGGUUGAAAACUCAAUAGCACAGCUUACAACCAAAGUACGAAGUAAGAUUGAUUGUGAAGGGAUUUAGUCAAAAGAAGGGUGUAGACUUUGAAGGAAUUUUCUCUCCUGUGGAAAAAUGUCAUCAAUUCGAGUUUUUUAGGUAUUGCAGCCAGAUUAAAUUUGAAAAUCGAACAACUUGAUGUAGAAAUAGCCUUCUUGCAUAAUGACUUGAAAGAGAUCUAUAUGGAGCAAUCGGAGGGGUUCAAAAAAAGUAACAAGGAAAACCUUGUAUGCCGUCUCAAGAAGAACUUGUAUAGAUUGAAACAGGUACCGAGACAGUGGUAUAUGAAAUUUAACUUCUUUAUGAUAGACCACGAGUAUAACAGGACUACAUCUGAUCACUGUGUUUAUGUGAAAAAUUUUUCAAAUGGUGAUUUUAUUAUUCUCUUAUUGUAUAUUGAUGACAUGUUAAUUGUUGGUCGUGAUACUAUAAAAAUUGAUUGGUUGAAAAAGAAGUUAAAUAAAUCCUUUGCAAUGAAAGAUUUAGAUCCGGCUAGACAGAUACUGGAGAUAAAAAUCUCACAAGACAAACAAAAUGGGAAGCUUUGGUUGUCUCAAGAAAAGUACAUUGAGAAGGUACUUAACAGGUUUAUUAUGAGUAAAGUUAAGGAAGUCUCUACUCCACUUGCAGGUCACUUUAAAUUGGGUAUCAAGAAGUGUCUUACAAAUGAGAAAGAUAAGGAAGACAUGAAGAAGGUUCCUUUUAUUUCGAUUGUUUGUAGUUGAUAUAUGCUAUGAUUUGCAUCAUGUCAGAUAUUGCUCAUACAGUUGGAGUAGUAAGUCGGCAUCUCUUUAAUCCUGAUAAGGAGCAUUGGAAUGUUGUCAAAUGAAUUCUCAGGUAUCUCAAGAGAAGUUUUAAAUUGUGUUUGUUAUUCGGUAAUGGUAAAACUAUAUUAAACGAGUACACCAACACAGAUAUAGCAGGUGAUUUUGACAAUAGAAAAUUCAUAUUUUGGGUACUUGAUGAUUUUUGCAGAAGGAGAAGUAAUAUGACAAAGUAAGUUAUAAAAAUGUAUCGCCUUUUUCAGUAUGGAGGUAGAUUAUAUCGCAACCACUGAAACAUGUAAGGAGACUAUUUGGUUGCAAAAAUCUUUCAAGAGUUAGGUAUGAUGCAAGAGAAGUAUAGUCUUUAUUGUGAUAGUCAGAGUGCCAUUCAAUUGUGUAAAAAUUCUACAUUUCACUCUCGAUCCAAACAUAUUGAUAUGAGAUAUUAUUGGAUUCGGGAAGUAUUGGAUUUCAAGUUGUUGAUACUUGAGAAAGUUCACUUUAAUGACAAUGCUGCUGAUAUGCUGACCAAGGCAUUGUCUAAGGAAAAACUCUUAUUUUCUAGACAAGAAGCAGGUUUGACUAUGACCCCAAAUGAGUUGGAAGGAGAGAUUGCUGGGUGUGGGCCAGCCCAUUUGUGAGCCAAACUACAAAAUUAAUCCCAUUAGGUUGAAGUCAAAUUGGAUUUGGAAAACUUGACCUUACUUUCUUGAAGAAAGGACAAAAGUUUCAGCGAGAGAAAUCAACUGAGGAAGAAAAAGAGCAGCUACUACUUUUCUUUGUUCGGUGAGAAACGAAAAGAGAGAAAUUUGGGAAGAAACUAGAGAGAGAAAUAAUUUUAAGGUCUUGAUUGGUGGGCGAUUCGAAAACUUAAUUGAAACAAAAUUUACCCACGCGAUCCUCUUGUCAAACUCUACUCAUCUAUUAAUUCAAAUUUUGGAUUUCUUCUUCGUUUUAUAACACCCUUUCAAAUCCAAUUUUUUUACCGUUGUAAUUUUUGGAAAUGAUUUGUAGCUAUUUAAGAUAGUCGAUAUUAAUGAUAUUAUUGCCAUUUGAAUGUUCCAAAAAGACUUGUGUAUUUUCAUUAUUGUGAUAAUGGAAAUUUUUUGACCGAACUAGAUCCCGUGAUUUUUUCCAAUUUGAAUUUUUCAUGUUAAAAAUCUUGGUGUCCCGUGCCUUUUAUUUUUCCUGCAUUCUAUAUUAGUAUUGACACUAUUACUUGGUGAUUUGAUUUAUUCCCAUUUUAACUAGUACUUGAAAAUAAAGUAAUUUAUUCUAAACUAACUCUGAUAUUGAGUGCUUGCACCGGUACCCUUUCUCAACAGAAAGGAAUACGGUAGGGGAGAGAAGGGAAGCAUGCAGAUCAGGAAGAGAGGGAAAAAGUUAGGAGAUCUAUGGCAUGAGGUUUAGAAAUGAAUGGUCAGUCUAGAUAGUGCAACUGCCUAAAAUACCUUGCUUUAGAACAAAAAUUAUUUGACUUCGCUCACACAUAAAAACUUCUCUAAAUGACUCAAUGAAACUAAUUACUUAAUACUCCUAGGUCCAGAUAACAUUUCAGCUAUAUCAUCACACAUAAAAAUCUUAAUGCUGUUUUGCAUGAUCUAAUAAAUAACUUAUCUGAACAAUUCUUUUUUUUUUUUUUAGGUGUGUCCCGCAGGGAGUGGACCCGCAGACUAUUCACCACCCUCAGCAACUUGCUGGCAGCAAGGUUCGAACCAGGGACCUGAGGCUCCAUUUUCAACAAUUUCAACCACCAGACCAAGCCCCUGAGGGCUUAUCUGAACAAUUCUUACUAAGAAGCAACCACAGAAAAUUAGAGUUCAAUCUAAUUCAGCUGAUUCACUGCAUGUUCCUUAGUAAUAAACAGUUUGACUUGGUCUUUUAAGUGUUCAUGAAUGUUCAAUUAGCCAAAUAGUAACUAAAAUCAGGAAAUAAAUCUUUGAAAAGAUGGAUCUAAAUUCAAAGGUUCCUAUAUAUUAAUCAAGCCAUGGUACAAGUCUAAGGACAAGGAACACAUGGUAAAUCAUCAUUUGGUGCCACACUGGAUAACAUCGUAGUCAUGAGAAGAGUGACAAGCAUCUUAAAUCAUCAAAAGGGUGAAUUUAAUCAGAUAACUACUAAAUAAUACGCCAAAACUGUAGACAAUACGAGCGGCGCAAGAAAGACUAAAUAAUAGAAUUCCUUUGUUUGUAUACGAUACUUGUUUGAGCCUGUAAGAGCUAUGCUGUACAGUAUCUCAAAUGAAUUUCAGCUGCAAAAAGUUAUAAUCCUACAUUAUCCAACAUCUAUCACGAGAAGCGUGCACAAAAAACACUUCAAGCAUCAGUUUGAAUUACCACAAUGACUAUUUUCUUCUCUCUCAUUUCCUAAAACAACAAGAAGGUGAGCCUAGGCUUUUCAGCUAGUACUAUCUAACUUGUAUCAGUUGGAUGGGCUUAUUGUCCAGCAUCUUGUUUUUUAUAGCAUUGUUACAAUCUUGCACAAAGAAAUUGCAGAAACCUCUAAAAAUGAUCAAAAAUUAUGUGACUAUUCACAUCAUAUUUAACUCGUCCUUCUCAAUUCCCAACAGCCCCUGAAAACUUUUUUUUCCCUAGAAGAAAAUCCAAGUUUAAUCUCCAUUGUAUUUCCACCUCAUAUUCAACUCUCACUUUUCUCAAAGAGAAAAUGCAAUGAAUAAUUAAAGGAAAACAUCCCUUUCCUCAUUGACAAUGUAUCGAUUAGCAUUUUUUGAAGUAAAUAAAGCAAAGGAACAUUAGACAGUAAACUAGAAGGGGAAAAAAAUAGAACUGAUCAAAAUACUUCCAAGCAACAAUCUUUCCCAAUUUCUUAUAAUUAGAGGUGCCAAAAUGGGUGACUUGGGUGGGUUGAGUUUGUUAAGAUGGGUAAUGGGUAUAAGCGAGUCAACCCAUUUAUACCCAUUUAAUUAGAUGGAUAUAAAUGGAUAAGUCAAAAAAUGAAUUGGGUAACCCAAUUAUCCAUUUAUAACCCAUUUAUUUUUACUUUUUAUAAACUCAUUUAAAUUCAUUUUUGUAAACUAGAAUUGGCUAGAGGGCGUACGUCUAUCUUGUAGAAUUGGCUAGAGGGCGUACGUCUAUCUUGUAUCCCAUCUGUAAGUAGCAUAUUAAAUACAACUUAAAUUAUGAAAUGGCUCAUACUUAAAAGAAAAUUUCUAAAUGAUCUAAACAAAAAAAAAGACAAGAAAAUUAGCUUAAAAUAAAGAAGAAGAAAAUUUUGGGGCAGAAAUGAUUGCGCAACCAGUUUCUAAAUGGUACAAAGCUUUAGUGACAAAUUAUAAUUCAUCGUAUACAAGACACAGGUUAUAUAAUUUCGUAACAAUGACAUGAAAUAAUAAGAUUGUUCACAAUUAAAAGUAUGUGUUAUGUUAUUGUUAUGUAACAUUAUCUGAAUCCUACUUCUUGAAAAUUUAUUUUGUUGGCAAAAUUUAAACUGUUAUGAUCGAUCCAAAAAGGAAAAAAAGAGAAAUUAAAGUACAUGGUUGAGAUCUUCUCUCUCUCUCUCUCUUUCUCUCUCUCUCUGGGGAUAUUCCAACCACGUGCAAUGUAGUUUGCUAAUGACAAUUUCCUCUGGCGGAGAAAAAGAAAAUUGAUGCCGUGAGAGCUUCAACAAAAUGACAACCACUAUAAGAAAAACCCUAACCGCUAAUCUAGCUAUUUGUCAUGCAUGCAAACGAAAAUCUCCACUUAUUUUUGUGUCAUGUUAAGUUGGUUGACUUGGCUGUCAAUUCAGUAACAAAAUCAGUGACGUUUCUAUAAGGACUCCAUUUAAAAUGUAGUUCAUCCAGUUAAAAUGUUGUUCUCGAUUUUGGCAAGUUUCACGGUUAAGUUUGAAACUGAGAGUAUCAAUUAUGCAGAUAUAUAGCCUUCUAAAGAGAUCCAAAUUCACUAUUAAUGCUCUUUUAUAAGCUUGUGAAUCCGAAAAGCCUCUUAGCUAGGGACAUUUCAUGCUUGCACCUGAUAGCAGAGUUUUAAGAGGAAAAUGAAUUAAAAACUUUACUAAGGAGUUUUUAAGCUUUUUAUUCUUUUCUCUUGGUAUCUUUCCCUUUUUCUUCUCCUCCACACCUUUGAUGAAGUACUCAUGAAGUGUAAAGAAGAAAACUUAGGGAUGCAAUUUUCUGGGAUUUUUUUAAUAUCUUGAUGGCAUUACUCUUUCAAGUUGGAUCUCAUAAUUCAGAAAAUUUAAUAUCCUGUCACAGCAUGAUCCAUUCAAGUUGCUGAAAACAAAAAUGAAGCAACAAAUUAUUGCUCCAUGAACACAUGAAAAAUUAUCUCAUAAAAAUUGAUUCAUUUUGGUGUCAUUGCAGGUAACGAUGUUAGGAUUGAGCCACAUAUUGAUCUUAACGUCUAUAUAUGUCAUAACCUUUUUCUCCUUAAUCUAUGUAGCAAGAUAAAAACACUUAGGCACAAAGUUACAUCUAUUCCGGCUCCAAAACUCACUAUCUAGAUUUUACAUAAUUAUACUUCUCAGUAACAUGUCGUGGCGUUGUUAAAUUGAUUGCUUUAGGGAUACUUUCUUGGAAAACCUACCAUUAAUCAUCACCUUCUUCUUCCUUCCCAGCGGCUUAGAUUUUACAUAAUUAUACUUCUUGGUAACAUGUCGUGGCAUUGUUAAAUUGAUUGCUUUAGGGAUACUUCCUUGGAAAACCUAUCAUUAAUCAUCACCUUCUUCUUCCUUGCCAGCGGCCAAAGCCGCCGGCUCUCUUUCUCUCUCUGAAAUUGUUGCCGCUGCCAUUGCUACCAUGUGCAGCAGUAGCAGCGGUUGCCGCUGCUACUGUCUUGAUCUGCCGUGGCUUCCUUAUCAAAUGGCUGGCCAAAGGCCAGCCUUUGUUUAGCCAAGAGGUCACCGAUGUUGUACCGGCGACCUACAGCAAGAAAGGCUCAAGCGACCCUUUCUUCUUCUCUCCCCGAACUGCAUCCUUUUUUUUUAACCCCAUCAACUUUCCAUAUUUUCCUUUCUAUACAAAAAUUAAUCCUAAAGUUAAGGAAGAAUCCUGCCUUGACUCGAACUCUUUAGAGUUUUUUUCAAAUUUUGCCCUUAAUUGAUUUAAUUAACUUUUUAAAGUUAAUUAGGCUUUACACGCUUUUAUGUUGGAACGAAUAUGAAUGUUGUAUUCUUUAGUCGGCAAGUUAAUUAUUAUUAUUAUUAUUAUUUUGGACAAGAGAGGGGGUGGAAUGUAAGAAACAAGUAGGAGGAAGGGGAAAGAAGGAUUUAAAUCCAAGUCCUCCAAUUCUUAGAGUCUUAAUCUUAGUUAAUUAAACUAUUAAACUUUUAUGCAGUAUUGUUUCAUAUGUCGUAUUCUUCAUUAGGGUUUAUUGAGUACUUAUGCGUUGAUUCAUAACUUUUGGAAAAUCUUCGGAGUAUCUAAUUUUUACUUUUCCAAUAUCCUUUUAAUAAAUUUCACAAUGAUCUAACAGAUAUUGAUGUAGUUCUAGACUAUUAACAUCAAGAUCUGAAAACAUAUGCUUUUGAGAAUUUUGAGAGUGUUGGUAAUAAAUAAGCACAUACUUAGUUCACACAAAAUUUAGAGUAUUAUGGAGGCAAAGUUAUUUGAUCUAAUGGAUUGAGACACAGGGUCAAUCACAAAUACUACAAGACCUGAGUCCUACAUGGAAGACAUGGAAAGUUGGCGGGCAGUGAUUGGCGUAAAAUAUGAUAUUAACCAUGCAAUGAAGACGUUGACAAAUUAUAAUAGAGAGCCAAUCUUAUAGUGAAAACAUGGAUGAAUUGUAACUGGCAGUUUUUCAGCAAUGAAACCGUGGACAAUUUUUCAGCAAGAUAAAGAAGAUUAUGUACGUUAGUCUAAUUUAUAUUUCAAUCUCUAGCAAGCUUAAGUUCCACCAUGGGAUUUAUCUGAUUUUAACCUAUUUUAUAUCCUUUCAACUAAAUUGGUCCCAUAUUUGCUUCUGUUUCGGUCGGUUGAACCGACCUGUGUGGUCCAAUUUGUCCAAAAAAUGAGUUUGGAUGAGAUAUGAUUGAAAAAUUACACAAGAAACUUAAAAUUUGUGGGUCCAGUGUACCAAUGGGGCAGAAGGAAUUGUACUCUUAAAUCUCAAUACAUGUUAGUUCAAUCAUAGAUAUAGUUAAAAUUUGUUAGGUGUUGUUUCCCCCUCACACAUUAACCAGACAUCUUGCACUUUUCACAACUAUCUCCCCCUCACACAUUGGGUCUUAAGUUGGAACAAUAUCAACCUUUUAUUCUAAGGACAACAUUGCAUUUAAUUGUCUAGUAGGAGGAGUUGCCAUUACUACGCUCCGAUAACAAUGCUGGAUAGGGAUGGCAAUGGGAUUGGGGGAUCCCUCUCCCGUCUCCUGCCCUGUUGCCAAACAUCUCCCCCUACACCCACACAUCCUUUGCCCCUGCUCCUCUCUCCCUUGCUCCUACUUCUGCUAGCUCUCCCCGGGAUGUUUGCUGGAGAAUGAUAAAAAAUUGAUCCUGUCGCUAUUUGCUUCCACAAUAACUAACAAAAAUUCAACAUAUCAACCCAUGGGGGCGGUCCCUCGUUGCCUUCCCGAGUGUUGGGUGUUAUUGGGCCUUCUCAUCACUAAAGCUAUCCCAAAAGUUAAGGUUUCCCUCACACUUAUAACCAAAUAUCCUGUCGCUUCCACAAUCGUUACAAAAUAAACUCAAAAUUUACCAUUCACAUCGAGCUGAGGUUGAAAUAACUUCAACCUUUCAUCCGACGAGCAACAUUUCAUUCAAGUGUUUAAAUUGAUUAAUUUUUCAUUUGAGGAUGAAAUUGGUCAAUAAUUGAUAGUUUAAAUACUAAUGUGUUAUGUUAAAAAGUUUGAGAACGAAAUAUAUCUAUGACAUCAAUUUUAGGGAUGAAAACUGUCAUUUUCUCGCUUUUUACUCUUUUUUGUCAAUAUGAUAAGUUAUAAGACGCUCUGGGAUAAAAAAGGAAAAUGUUUCUUUGAAAACUUUCAUUUAGGAGAUACUUAGGAUGCGAGUUCAUGGGAUCCUUUAUACCUUCAUUGCAUUUGUACUCUUUCGUGUUGGACCUCAAUAAUUCAAAGUUCUAUGUUAUCUCCUGCCACGAGAUGAUCAGUUGAAGUUUGCUAAAUACAAAGAGCAUAAGAUCAACAAUUUGUAGCUCUAUGACUAUAAGAUUAAUUAUUUAGGCCCUAAAACUUACCUUUGAUGAUCUUCUCUUUUCUAGUCUACAUAAGCUAGAUUGAUUAUAUAUUAUUUGGAGAAAAAUUUACCAUCCUGAGGUUAAAACUGAGACAUUUCCAUUUAUGUCCUAAGGGAUACAUACUUGGACACCCAACGAUUAAAGUUCAUAGAAUUUUUUACUAUGUAGUCCCGUUUGCUUAUAGUAUGGGCCUAAUUUCUGAUGAACUCUAUGAGGAAUGGGGGGAGGGAGAGAAUAGGGUAGAGGGGCGGACGAGAAGGUUGCAAGCUGGUGACGUCGGCAUCGGCUGACCAACAGUGACAGGUUGAGGUGGGGGAGAAGGAAGAAAAUGAUGGAAAAAGUGAAAAAUUUGUGUGUUCUUAGAUAUUACGGGACAUGUACAUUAAAAAUUUUAAGAUGUUUAUAGAGGAUUACCGUAAACAAAAUAGUUAAAAAACUUGUCUAUUAACAAUUAGACUAAAAACUUGCAUGCGAGACAGGUUCGGAACUGACCGAGAAUUGUACUACAGUUGUAACGCCACAAUUAUGGUAUUGGAUUUGGACCUCACAUAGAACUAUACUAUAAUUGCACGGAGUUUUUGCGUUCCUCGUACAUGAACAGCAAUUGGCCCACGAUAAUUUGAAGCAAAACGAAACAAAGGACAAAAAAAUUAAUAACACGAAAUAAGCAACUAAUAAGUUGUGUCAACCAAAAAAGAAAAUUGAAAUCGACUAACCUAUUAUUGGGAUCCAAGCACGAAAUAAGCAACUAAUUAAACAUCAAGUUAAUAACAAGUCAAGGAAAUGAGUCAAAAACAAGAAAAUACAAUUGACAGGAAAGAUUUAACAUGUUCAUAGUAAUAACCCAUUCUUUAUUAUAAAAAAAGUUCAUAUAAAAAUAUAAUUUGAAUUCUAAACUCAAACCUUGUGUAAUAUUUCUCAUAUACCAGAGUCCUUUUCCUCACUCUCAUCUAUAACACAUGACUCCUUUUUGUGUACUUUAAUAUAUGAUAUGACAGUCCCCUUCAAUUUAUAGGAUAUAUUACUUGAUAAAUAUUUCAAUAAUAAUAAAAAAAUAACUUACCUGAUUUCCAAACGUAUAUAAAUACAAAAUUUCUUGGCAACUACUCCAAAUACAUAUAAAUUACUGGAAACUAUUUACUUGUCACACAAAAUAAAAAUUGCCUAAACAAUAUAAGUAAUUUCCUUAUAAUCUCCACCAAAAAGCUUGAUGUGUAGUUAUACAUACCGAAUUAUUACGUUGUUGUAACGUCCAUACAUAGCUAAUCCGAGUCCAACCUUUAGCUGACUUAAGUUUGUAGGAUUUUCCUUUUCACUAGCACUUACAACUUGAAAGUAAUCCUGGAUCCCUUUUUUAAUUCUGUUCCCAACUAUUGAGGUAAUCAAGUAACAAUUUUUUUCUUUAAAAAAAAUCACCAUACUUCUUACCUUCACAAUAUUGUCUCGCCCAUGUGUGCUUUUUAAAAUUCCACCAUUAAUGAAAACCUCGUAACUUUGAGAGUCUCGGGAUGCAUGAGAGUUAGAUUUUUUUUUUUUUUUGGAUUUUUUUGAUACAUGUGUCGUACCGCUCAAACAACGAAGCUGAAAUACAUCCAACAUCAAGUACAUACCAUUCGAAAUUGUUAAGAACAUUUCCACUAAAUUACAUCCUAAUUUAACAUCGGACUCAUUAUGUUUUUCUGUGUCCUCUAAAUUACUUGCCCAAUUUUACUGUCAAAUAUCCUCUAUGUUUGUUGUCUUUCGCUCCUUUCCUUCAAUGCCAAGCCUGUUUGCAUGAAUAUUCUUUUGCUAUUAAAUUAUUGAAUUGAAAUUACCGCAACUCACUUAACCAAUAAUUAACCAAAACCUAGCUAUGAUAUUAUACUAGAUGUUGAGACCCAAGUGCUAACGAAGAAUCAUUGAAAAAUUAAGUGCAUGACAAUUUAAAGAAAACAAAUAAAAAACAUGAAACUUCGAGUAGAUACAAGAUUAAUGUGGUUUAACUCAAUUAUUAAAUCUAUAUCUAUAAAGACAAAAUUCGAUAUGUGAGAAAAAUAAAAAAAUCUAAUUUGAAUCCGGACGCAACCGUAGUAUGACGUUUCUCACGUAGCAGAAAGCCCUUCCCUCACUCUCAUUACAUGUUACUACUUAAAACAAAAAUAAGGCAAUUUUCAUAACAAGGUAAAUUUUAUUUCGUCCUUAUGCCACCUUUUUAAGAAGAAAAGUGUAAGUAGGUAAAGAAAAGUGCAUUAAAGAAAGUUGGGUGGCAACUUCAAAAAAUUCUUCAAUAAACCAAACUCGUAUAUUAAAUUUUUAACGCAUGUCAAUUCCACCAACUAAGAUACCCAUAACGGCCAUUGGUUGCCUGCCACAUAUCUAUAGGUGCAAAAUACGGAUGAUUGAACCCGUUGUCAUAUUUGCCGUGUUACGUGGAUUUAGACCUUCAGAAUGUACAGCCAUGAUUUUCUUGGUUUCUUCUGUCGUACCCCAACAUUUUUCGGCAUGGUUUUUGUUAUUUAGAUUUUUAGGAUCGGCCUUGUUAAAAUCUGGAUUCAUUUUAAAUUGUAUGAAUAACAAGUGAUCAUUUCUAUCGAUUGAUUAUAAAAAAAGUGAUUAAAAAUUAUGAAAAAUGCUAGACUUUCUAUAACGAUUGUCAAAAUAAAAGGAAAUAAAAUGAAAGAGCAAGUGGACAAGGUACAAGUGAGUUAAUAUUUUUAUGUCAAACAUGAUACUAUAUGGAAAGAAGCUAGGGAAACAACAUGUCUUUUUAAAUAGGUGAAAGCAAGGUUCUUAAAAUGGUUGUGAUUUGCGAAAAGAUAAAGCUUCAACAGGUGAGAGCAAGAUUCUCAUUUGCCCAUGAAAGCAGUAAUUUUGGAAGAGGGAGAUAGGAUAUGAUAUGGAUAUGGAUAUUGAUAUGGAUGGUUGCGCCAUUAAUAAAAGAAUACUUACGAAAAGUAAAGAACCUUCAAGUAUAUGUGGUUUAUACAGUAUGAUAUAUAAUUUUUAGCAUUGUAUGAUUUAUAAUUUGCUUGAAAUAUAUUUUAGCCAUUAAAAUGAGAGAGCUCAGAGGAUAGUGAGAUCUUUUUUUUUUUUUUUUUUGAUAAAUUCUUAUGACGAGUUGGUUUGUUUUGAUCGAUCAUUCAUUGCUACUUGACAGAUUUUAUCCUAUCAUCUUUCCGCAAACAUUUUGAUAAUUAUUUAUUUACUGUUAAAAUUUAGGUAAACUUAUUUUUAAAAUUUAAAUAAUUCAAUUUGUAUUGCACGCCAUUUGACUAAGUAAAGUAACGUAAUUUGGACCAUCUGUGAAAAUCGGAGCUAAGGGAUUGCUUGGUUAGAGGGUUUGGGAAUCACAGAAAGGAAUGAAUCCCUUAUUUGUUGCUUGGAUUAAGUGUAUUGGAAUACAAAUUUUGGAAUCAUUCCUAAAAAAUUGGACUUCUCCAUUCCUGACCAAGUUGGGAGGUUUUGUGGAAUCCCACGUUUGAUUCCAAAUCUAAUUUUUUUUUAUUUCAUCUCACUUAUUGCUUCACCAUCUCUUUUCUAUUUUCAUCACAUUCUCCUAUUUGCUUCCUUCUCCAUAUCAAACCGGCCUUUCCCUUUCCUCUCCAAUCUUCUAAUUUCUCUCCUACGGUGUAGCAGGCCUCUUUUUUUCCAAUCUUCCACAGUUUACGACGGCUCUGUGCUGCAAAUGUGAUAGUAAUUUUUGUUGGCCAAAGAAUCUCAUCUUGAUUGGUUGCCGACGGCUCUGUGCUCUGUGCUCUAUGCUGCAAAUCUGAGUCUUUUUUGGGGGUUGUAUGGCUGCAAUGAAGGAGGAGUUAAAGUGGUGGAGUAUGGCUGCAAUCUGACGAUGGCUCUCAUCUUUUUUGGGGGUUGUAUGGCUGCAAAUCUGAGUCUUUCUUUCUUUCUUUCUUUCUUUUUUAAAGUUAUUUAGAAACUAGAUCUAAUGAUCUUCAAGUUACAAGUGGGGUUUACGUAAACAGAUUUUGUGAUCUUGAAGUCCAAGAAAAAUACGGUUGAUCCAUUAAUGGUCACUAUGAAGUUCUGCAAUUCGGUUAAGAAGGCAGGAAAACACAGAACGGAUGGCAACCGUAACAUGGUUAGACCUCAAGGCCCUCAACUCUUGAUCUGUACUUUGAUCAAACUUCAAAGGAGGUAGUGCAAAUAACCCUUUCAUGUUUUAAACAAGUCAUUUUCUUUUCUUUUCUUUUUUUCGUUAUUUGAAGGAAAACAUUUAGAACAAAAAGGAAAAAAAAAAAACAAAAAACAGUUAUGUAAGUGAACUUUACAUGCAUUACAGUUUGUGAAAUUCGUCAAUUCUCUGUAGAAUUCUGUUCAGUGGACUGAACAUAAGCGCAAUCAUAUUAGUUUUACCAUUGACUUAGCCUCCAAGGAGUAGCUUCAGUAACACCUAAUCAAAUAAACUUCUACUUCUCGUGAAAAUCAAUAGCACAUCGGGUUAUCAGAUGAACUUCCACACAAGGGUAAAAUAUAUCUUGACAGAUAAAAGGUAUUCCAACAGUUCAAAGAAACCUCAAGUCUCCAAUCUGCAUGGUCCAAUUAAGGAACUAAUUAUUAAUGGAUCAUUGCAAGAAGUCUGAUUUUGACCUGAAAUGAUGAUGGACGACCAAAACUAUCAAGUACAAAAGCUGAUUCAUUCACUCUGCCUCUGACCCAAAACUGGAACAUCUUCGUAACGCUUCUGUAAUGCAACAUUUAUGAAUUUCAGUUAGACAUCCAUGAAGACCACGACGAAGGUAAAGCAGACAUAUCUAUUAUUACAUAAAGCAGGAAAGUAAAAGACUAGAAGCAUCCAUUUCUAGAAGCAGAGAAGAAUAUCUAUCUAACUAUAUCUAUAUCUUAUCAACCUAAGGUAGACUAAGUGCUUAGGAAAGUCUCCAAGGGUGCGUGGUUUUGAUGACGUGCCAGUUCAUGAUUUGCUGAAAUGUUGUCGUCCUCCAGCUGCUCACGUGACUUGAUGGUUGGAAAUUGGGAUGUGAAUUCCGUUUGUGAGCCACCGAGUCUUUUUGCUUGCAUCCAACCCACUAAAGAAAGUGAUAAUAGUAGUAAUAGUCCUUUUUCUUUUUCAAACACAGUGGUUGGGCCUAUUUCUCUUUCCCACCUUACCGACUGUCAGCCUUUUUGGUCACACCUACUGGAUCAGAACCAUCUUUUAUCUCUCCCUCUUUGUUCAUCGUCUCUCUCUCUCUGUUUCUUUUCGUUUCUUCAUCUCCGACGAGAAAGCCCCCUUCUUCUCUUUCUCUUUUCUUUGUCUUCGUCUUCUGAUAGAGAAUAAUGAUAAGCCAAAAAAGAUGGUUUAUAUAUAUACUUUUAAAGGUUCUUGUUUCUUCCUUUGCAGAACUUCUCUAGCCCUCAUUUUUUUUUUUUUUUAAAUGGGUUGUAGUUGUCUAAUUUACAUAUUUCUAUGUUGCAGGUGACAAAUUGGAAAUUACUUCCGGCAACCUGAUGACAUCUUGCAAGUCUUUUGUUUCCUUUUCUAAAGUGCAUUCUGUAUGCUUAAAAGUUUUGAUUCUUCUAAUUCCUGCACUUUCUUAUGCCCGAGUUCUUUUGUACUUUUUUUUUUUGUUUUCUGAAGAAACCGUGUUGUGGGUUUUUCUGUUUUUUCCCAAUAGAGCAAGGGAUCAAUGAUAAAGGAGGCAUCUUUUUCAGGUUUGAGGUUAUGUUUAAUAGUUUUUAUCAAUGAUUUUUUAAAUCAAUAGCCUAUUGUUGUUUUUUUGCUUGAACUAUUUUUAUUUAUCGGUAGCCUUCUUGAUUUUCAAGUUUAGAAGAGAUUUUUGCAGUUUUUUGGGACAAAAACAGCUUGGAUGAGUUUUUAGGAAAAUUGCCUUGGUGAGUUUCUUGCUACGGAUUUAUGUGUUUUGGACUAUUGUUAUCUAAGCGCUUUUGUAACGUUGUCUUUUUUAUGAACUGACUUCAAGUUUUUUCCUCCUUUUUUUAUAACUGCUGUUGGUAUAUGCUUUUGCCGUUGUGGCGAGUUCAUUUUAAACUUCCUGCCUUUUUCUUUCUGUUUUCAGUUUUUCUUUCUAUUCUUGUGAUUGCCUGUUUUACAUCCGUAUGGUAUGCCUUUCUUUGUAGAAUUCGCUGGCCUUUUGAUUCUUGCAAGGGGCCUUCUUUGAAGCUAAUCCUUUGUCAUUUGUUGGGACAGGAAUUCUGUUGCAGGUCAGAUGCUUAUUUAUUUGUCUUGUUUGCUUUUUCCUUUUGUCGUACAUUCUUUAUUUAGUUGCCACUUUUGCUUUUCCGUUUUUAGUUCAUGCAUGAGUAUCACCUCUGCGUAAUAGUUGUUAACUCGCAUGUAAGAGUAUGCAUGCAUGUUUUUUAUUUCAUUGUAUCAUAUAUCUUAUGUUCUUUACAGCAAUUCGUAAAUGUUGUUUUUGUUCUUCUUUACAAUCAUUCGACUAUAGUUUUUGGUGGCUAUUGUAAAUUGCCAUUGGCUGAUUUUUUUUUUUUUGGACUGAUGGUUCUUAGUCAUUUAAGUCAGGUGGAUAGAAAUACUAUUCGUCAAAAAUGGUAUGUUGAAAUGUCACAGAGUGAGAAGGCUGCACUUUCAUGUCGGAGGCAUGAAGCCAGGCUUUUGGAAAAAAAGGGAGAAAUCCUCACGCUCUUAUGUUCAUAGGGUACUGUUUGGUUGCAUAGAAGCCGGUGUUUGUUUUCCUGGUUCUACUCUUGAGGGCGAUAGCAAGCUACUCUUGAAGGCUGUGGUUUUACUCCUCGAGGUAUAUGUGCCGUUGUAGUAUUUUACUCGUCUAUUCUGUAUCUGUUAGUUUAUUUAGCCUUGUGUCAGAUCAUUAUCUUUGAAUGGCUUCACGUUUCUGUGCCAUUUACGAUUGAAGCCAUCUAUUUUUGCACAUUACAGCAGCUCCAUUGAAUGACAUAGUUCAGGUUACAAAAGGUCAACCAGAAUCUAGUGCUGGAAAAAAAACUGUGUCUUCUCAUCUUUGGCCGAACGUUUGGCCUUCUAUUAAAGAUCAGCCUUCUUAGCACAGUCAUAAAGAAGUCUUACCUAAAGGAUUGCCUGACCUCUUAGAUAACAUUACAGUCUUCAAUGAGAACGAACAAACUUGUGAUUCUCAAAAUGUCAACCAAAUAACAUACUUCAAUCUUUAAAGGACUCAAACUCUGGAAUCCUUAACUCUUUGAACACUCCGUCUUUAAAUCGUUUGUCCAGAGACUGUGUUUCCUCUUCUAUUGCAUUGAAUCCCUGAUCUUUCAGCAUUCCGCGAGGUAGAGAUAUUACUGCAUCCAACAAAUCAUUCUUCUUGCUUUUCUUAUUCAGCCUUUAGUAUCGUUGUCUUUCAUAAACUAUUCUUAAUAAAAUAAGGCCGUCUAUUUAUGCACGUUGCAGCAACUCCAUUCAAUGACAGAGCUCAGCGUUAGAAAUGUCAGAUAGAAACUAAUGCUGGAAAAAGGAAGAAAAAGGAAAAAAAAAAGGACAUCUAUCUUUUGAUUCCUUACCUAAUGACCAGCCUUGUAAGGGGAGGCAUGGAAAUGCAUUGUCUAAGGCAUGGUCUCCUAUUUCAGAAGUUAACAUUGCGAUCUCUUAAGACAAUGAACAAACCUGUGGUGCUUGAUGUUAAAAUACAGCUAACAUCUUUGAACCUACGCGGAACUUGAAUUCUAAAAUUCUUGGUUCUUUGCACAGUCCAUUUUUGAAUUGCUCGUUAAAUGACUGUAUUUAUUCUUCUACUACAUUGAAUCUCCAGUCUUCUAGUACUUCUCAAGAUACAAAUAUUAUUAUGUGUACCAAUUAUUUUGCUUGCUUUUCUUGUUCAAUCUCCGGUACUUAAAAAAAAUUCUUCUCCACUUCUAAGAUAAUGUUGUGUCUUUUGGGCACCUUAUUAGGAUUUGCCAUUGCAGAUAUCCCAUCGAUUCAGAAAAAUAUGGUGGUUCAUUCUCAAAUAAUAAAUGAUGUGUCGACUAACAAAGAUGGGACCAGCAAAUCAUCUGAUAUUCCUGUUGGUUUUGCAACUCGAACGAAGGAUCAUACAAAUGCUAUGCCGACAAGAACGACGCAGUCAGGUUAGUUGAUAUGUAGGUUAUGCUGAAAGGGGGCAAAAACGUUUCAUCCUUGUUGGAGUAUCGUAUAUGUGAUGAAUAUGUAUUUCUGUCCUUGAAAUAUUAAAAAAAAAGAGCAGCUGCUUAUAAAAUCCUUGAGCAUUAACUGCCUUAAGCUUGAUUAUGAUACUAUUUGAUCAUUUGUUUCAGGAGGGCUCCCACAAUAUAUGUUAACAUUUUCUCUUGGGAAGCUGCAACACAAUUUCCAAUAGCAACACAGACAGCAAGAGGAGGGGCAAGUUUCUCUUCCUACUGUUACUGACUGUCCAUUUGAGUAUCAAUGUUAAUUAUUAUAUAUUCUAAGCUGAAUAUUCUGCGGAUCUUGGCAGAUGCAAUGGGGCUUGGGAAAACUGUGAUGACUAUUGCUCUGAUUCUUGCAAGGCAAGGCAGAGGUACCCUGAGGAUUAAGAAUCGAUUGCCAAAAGUGAGGGUGAUACAGAGUACAUCAAGAAAAAGAAAGAGGAAUCUGAUCUCAAACCUUUUAGAAAAGUGAAAGGCAACACCCUCAUUAUUCGUCCUAUGGCGUUGCUUGGCCAGGGAAGGUGAGUCCCUAUAAUAUAUUUGAUUCAGCCAGAAUAACAAAGUUUUCUGAGUUUGUAUGCAUUCUGAAUAGGUUUAGCUACAUUGUUCUGAAACUGCAUUACUGAUUUUCUGAUCGUAUGUUAGUUAAUGGAUAGGCACAAGGAUAUACUGUCGUCUUCUCUGAAUAAGAAUUUACUGAAUGAACAGGAUGAACUUGAAACACACUCAAAGCCAGAUAGCAUCUCCGUUUCUGUCUUUUUUGGUGGGGAUCGGAGCAGUGACCCUAGAGUGAUUGCUGAACCUAAUGUGAUCUUGACCACAUACAGUGUCUUAACGGCUGCUUGUAAGAAUAUAAGCUAGCCAUUUCCAUUUUUUGUUACUUUCCACCACCGAAAUCCAUUUACUUGCAGCUUAUAAGAAUGAAAAGCUGGCCAUUUCCAUUUUUUUUAGUUUCCACCACUUAAAUCCAAUUGCUAAUGCUGCUUGUUCUUUUCCCCUGUUGAAACAUUUUUAAUGAUUACUAUUUUAUAUGUUCAACACAGGAUGGGGAGAAUAGCAUUUUCCACAGAGUUGAUUGGUACAGAGUGGUUUUGGAUGAAGCUCAUACCAUCAAGUCCUCUAAAACUCUAGGUGCCCAGGCUGCCUUCAAAUUGUCAUCCUAUUGCAUGUGGUGUCUUACUGGUACCCCUCUUCAGGUAUGGCAGCAGCAAAGAAUUCUGGCAUUAGUUGAACAAGUGCCCGAGUAAUGUUUUUCCUGAUUGUUAUUAAACCACUGGCUAUUGUCUAGCAUGUAUCAAUUAAGGUCAUUAUCAAUUGCUGCAGCCUGCAGAACAAGUUGGAAGACCUUUAUAACCUACUUUGCUUCUUGCAUGUUGAACCAUGGUGUAACUAGGCUUGGUGAGCUUAUUAUUAUUAUUUUUUUUGACAAUUUUAUGGCUGAUGCUCGAGAUCAUUUAAAAACAAGCAGUUACUAUUCAGUUUUUGCGUCACAUUUCCUAGAAAAAUUGUUCAAAGAGUUAAAGAUGGCCAAAUCUUUUUUUUUUUGUUUAUUGUUAUUUUUUUAAUCAACAUUAUAAUGCAAAUGAGCUUGUUCCCUCGCUCUUCCCAUUUGCUGAAAUUUGUUUACUGCUUGUUGUAGGUGGCAAAAACUGAUUCAGAAGCCAUAUGAGAGUGGUGAUUAUAGAGGGAUAAAGCUGAUCAAGGCUAUUGGGAGGCCACUAAAGCUCUACUAUUUACAGACAGAAGUGAUUAUCAUUUCUUUUAAUGUAAUAACUGUUUCCUUCUAUUUCUUCAACAGCUUAUAGUACUUUCUUUUUUUAUCUCCACCAAAAUGUAGAUUUAACUCAACAUCUCCUGACUACUCUACAGGGAAAUAUAGUUAUAUGUUACAUCAAGCCUUCUCCUUAGCCUUCUCCUUCUAGAUUUAGACUGACCAGAUAUGUAGCUCAUGAAAUAAUCACUGCCUAUGGAUGAAGCUCUCAAUAUUGACAACCUCAACAUCAACAAUCUCAAGAUUAAAUGACUGACAAUCUACUUCUUGUGUUAUUUUUAAUUGUACCUUUGCUACACCGACGAUUUACAAUCUACUUAUUAUCUGUUUUUAGUCAUAACUUUACUACAUCUAUAGUCUAUUAUGUCCUUUAUUAUACUUUUCGAUUUCGUUUUUUUCUAUUUUCUAAAUUCUUAUUAGCUUAUUGAGCAAAACUAGGCAUGCCAGUCUUUGAAUUCUACACCGCGCGAUAAAAGCGGGAGUUGGAGAAUGAAUAGUGAAUUUUGGUCGAGCGGUUAUGCUGCUAUUUUUGUGACUUUGAGGGGCGUUUUGGUCUUUUGGAAUUGGAGGGCAAUGGCUCUGCUGGAAAUUCGCGCUGGUGAGUGGACUGGUUAUCCAGUAAUUUUCACCAACUUUGAGGGCAUUUGGUAUUGUUGGUGGGGCAAGAAACUUUUUCCAUCAGCUGUGUGUGUUUUUGUUCUUGACACGUACAAUUGAAGUAGGAUUCUUGAAUCUCAGGGCAAAUUAACCGAGUAAAGCAGCCAAAAGUUGGGAAAAUAUAUAAUGGAAAGCAACUGAUGGUGGGUGCGAGCCACUAUUUUCUUCCCUUAAUAUAUGCAUGUUGUCCUUCUACCAACGUCCUUAAUCUAAAGGGAAAAAAAUGGAGAAAACUUGUUUCACGUGUAAUAAUACAUGUCUUUUACUGUAGAUUAAUGAUACUAAUAUUAAUGAAAAAAGAAGUAGGCCUAUAUUUAUUGAACUUAGUGAGUAAUAGAGAUAUACAUAUCUAACAAUAUAAAAGGAAAAGUUGCCCUAUGCACAGUAUUGUUAGAUAAAUAUAAAAAACAAUAUUGUUAGAUAAAUAUCCAUAUUUAAUAUAUAUAUAUAUAAUUAUUAUAAAAUGUUUCCUAAUGGCUCUAAAUUUAAUGUGUAUAUAUUCAUUUUUUCUAAUGGCUCUAAAUUACUCUAAAUUGAAAAGCAAUGUUGUAUGCUAUUUUUUUAUUAUACUUUUAGUCAAACAUGCAACAUUAAUUACAUUGUUUUCUUACAUUAAAAAAAUUAAAGUACUGUAAAUUUCAAAAAUAAUGUAAUAAUACAUGGCUCUUAAUGUAGAUUAAUGAUCUAAUAUUAGUGAGCGACAUUAUACACAAAUAUGAAAGAAAAAUAAUUUUUGUGAUUAUAUUGAUUAAAUGUUUUAAUUUGUGCAAAAAAAAAAAGGAAAUAGGCCCAUCUUUAUGGAACUUAGUGAGUAAUAGAGAUAUACAUAAAUAUAGAUGGGUAUCUUUAUAAUUACCUCACCCAAACCACAUAAUUUAUACAAAUCAUACCACACAAAAUGUCGACACUACAUUGUCUCAAUUAUUGUACUUUAUUAACCAUUAUAUUACAAAAUAUCCUCCAUACUUCACAAACUAUUAAUACUAUAUUCAUCCAAUCAAUUUACCGUACUAUUAUUUUAUAAUUCAAAUCAGACUUAUAAUAAUUAUAUAACUCUCUAUAUUAUAAAAAAUAUAUAAAGGCUAAAAAUUAAGGAACUUAACACGGGAAAUAUUAGUGCUCUUGCGCAACGCGCAGACCGUCUCACUAGUAAAACUAUAAAAGUGGGAGUUGGGUUUUGAAGAGUUCAUUUUAGUCGAGCGGUUAUGCCGCAAUUGUUGCUGGAUAUGAGGCUAUUUUCGUAACUCCGUUCCUCCUUUGUAUUGCUGCUGCCCAACCAACGAAAAACACGUCCUCCCAAUCGAAACUUUGUCGCCUGAGUCAAGUGGCCGGGGUAUGGGUCUCUCUCUCGGCCCCAAAAGAGGAAAAAUAAAAUAAAGGGCCAAAUAAUAAAUUAAUAAAUUAACACAAAGCAGGAAGCAGGUCAGGAGGAGGAAUCACUCAGUCUUUGGCAGUUCCUCGUGUCAUGUGUCAUUAGGAUUAGCCUUAGUAGUCCUUCAUAUUUCGCUAAUGCCAUUUCCUGUUUCUGCCUUACUCAGGAAAUCGGAAGAUGCUACGUUAUAGUUGUGCGGUUUCUUUCUAAUUUAUUUGUUCUUUGUUCCUCUUUGUUUGCAUCAUUUUUGCCUACUGUCAUCCGCAAAGAUAGGCCAUCUUAGCUAUUCUUGAGUAUUAGUUUAGCCUUAGGUUUGUCUUAUUUUUUCAGUUAUGCCAUUCCUUUUUCCCUUCGUUCAAGCUGCAUAAUAGUUGCUUGGUUGUUUGGUAAUUUUGUUGUCUUCUGACCCUAUUUUUUGUUGACUCAUUGUGGAUGCCUCACUUUUUGUUUCUACAUGUUUCUUUGAAAAUUGAAACCCGCCUCUUCUUCGUUGCAAAAUUGCCAUUUUGACUGUGUUCUCCUUUAACCACUCCAUUGGGCUAAUGGUUCAGUGACAUCGGGAAGGGGUUUAACUUCCUUUUUGGAUUAUAGUUUGGAUUAUAGAUGAGAGUUCAAAUCUCAUCUAUAAUAAAAAAAAAUUUAAAAAUUAUGCUAUAGUACUCUUUUGAUCUAUUUUGUACACUCACUAGUCUCCUACACAGGAGGCUGUGUUCUUCUUUGCUUCCCAGUAAUACUAUUGCUUUUCCUCUAGCAUUAAAUGCUAAUUGUCCUUUCAAACAAUACGUCUACAGAGAUCAGAAUUCCCACAUUUCCCUUCCUCUUAAUCAUGAUGCUUGUUAAGUUAUUCCCAUUUUUACUUUUAUUCAUGCUUAUUUAUAUUCUUUUAUUUUACUAAAUAUCGGACGCCUUUAUAUUCUUUGCUGCCUUCAUUCUUUACAUUUAUAUAGAUAUAUUGGUCUACAUACUUUGCUUUUUUUUCAAUCUUUUUAGUGAUCAUGGAUCAGAAAAAAAAAAUUAUUCUCUGAUGAGGAUAGCCAAUUAGAGAAAAAUUGUCAUGCUAGAGAAGUAUUUGCAGCCUUGCCUAACACAAAAAAGGCUGAAUUUGUGGCUAAAAAACAGCAAUCGAAUUGCAUUGAGGACAUCCUCAAUCAAAUUGCAUUAAAUCUAAAUUAAGUAUUUUAUCGUCAUCCUCGAAUUGCAUUGAGCACAUGGAAUUGAAUAAGAUUAUUACUCAAUCCAUAGUGCAAUUGAACGCAUUUAUUUUGGAUGCCACUGCUUCUGUUUUAGAAGCUCAUCAAAAUCUUCAAGAAGGUGCUACUUUGCAUGCUAUUUGUGCAUUUUGCUAAUGUUAUACAUAUAUAUAAUAUUAAUCAUUAACACAAAUUUAUAUCAUAUUAAUCAUUAACCUUCAAGAAGUCCAACAUUGUUAUUACAAUUAACCAAAAUCGGUUAAGGCGUCAUGGACUACAAAUGGUUUCUAAUCCUACUACUUUUUAGAACAUACAAUUAUAAAGAUAUAUAAGUCUAUAUAUCCAUAUUACUCUAUAUAAUUAUUAUAAAUUUUUAAUGUCCUUGUUUUUAUUCUUAUUUUUCGUUCUAUAAAAAAGAAUAAUUGGUAUGUUAUUUACUAAUAGUCCGAGUAUCCAAUAACAAUUGCAGGAUAACCGCUUGACAAAAUAACACUGUUCAUGGGGCAACUCUCAUUUUUAUAUUGUUAGAUAGAUAUCCAUAUUUAAUGUAUAUAUAUAAUUAUUAUAAAAUUUUUCCUAAUGGCUCUAAAUUACUUUAAAUUGAAAAGCAAUGUUGUAUGUUGUUUUUUUAUUAUUCUUUUAGUCAAUCGUGCAACAUUAAUUAGAUUGUUUCUUACAUUAAAAAAAUUAAAGUACUGUAAAUUUCAAAAACAAUGUAAUAAUACAUGGCUCUUAAUGUGGAUUAAUGAUCUAAUAUUAGUGAACGGCAUUUUACAAAAAUAUGAAAGAAAAAUAAUUGUUGUGAUUAUAUUGAUUAAAUGUUUUAAUUCGUUCAAAAAAAAAGGAAAUAGGCCCUUAUUUAUGGAACUUAGUGAGUAAUAUAGGUAUACAUAAAAAUAGACGGGUAUCUUUAUAAUUAUCUCACUCAGACCACAUAAUUUAUACAAAUCAUACGACAGAAAAUGUCGACACUGCAUUGUCUCAAUUAUAGUACUUUAUUAACCAUUAUAUUACAAAAUAUCCUCCAUACUUCACAAACUAUUAACAGUAUAUUCACCCAACCAAUUUAUCACACUAUUAUUUUAUAAUUCAAGCCAGACUUAUAACAAUUAUAUAACUCUCUACAUUAUAAGAAAUAUAUAAUGGCUAAAAAUUAAGCAAUUUAACACGGGAAAUAUUAGUACUCAGGGUGUCUCACUAGUUGACUAUAAAAGACACAAUUUGCAGAACUCGAGCCAAAUAACACGCAGGUUUAAUUUCAAAUGCUCACUCAAUUAUGAUACUUACCAACCCCACUCGAAUAGGGUACCAAAUACAGUUCUAGACACAAUUUUCAAAGCUUACUUUAAUCCGGCAAGUACCUAUGAUCACUCAAUAGAAACUUGGAUGGCAGAUUUUGAAAAUAAUAAUUAGCAUGACAUCAUAAGCAUUUCAGCUAUAGCAUCACACAUAAAAAUCUUAAUCCUGUUUUGCAUGAUCUAAUAAAAAAUUUAUCUGAACAAUUCUUACUAAGAAGCAGCCAUAGAAAAUUAGAGUUCAAUCUAAUUGAGCUGAUUCACUGCAUGAUCUUUAGUAAUCAACAGUUUGACUUGGUCUUUAAGUGUUCAUGAAUGUUCAAUUAGUCAAAUAGCUAACUAAAAUCAGGGUAAAUUCUGCAGUGUAUUCAGUGAAUCCAAGACAGGUGUGGAAAGCUAAAGAACAUGGCAAAGAAGCUGGCACGUUGCAAGCUAACAUGUAUGGAUGAUGAAGGGAAUAUUUCUACAAAAGCAAGUGGUGACCUAUAACAGGCGCGGGCGGUUUGGAAACUGCAGAAGCUGAAAAUGUAUUGGGGUGUCACGGAAUUAACAUAAAUAUAAUGGGCCUAAAAAUAAAAUACCGAAGAGGGAGCGUAAGCAGUACUAAACACAGCCAUGCUUGGCUUUGAAGCAACAUAUUGUCAUUAUUGAAUAACGAAUUGAGAGCCUUUAAGAAGUGAAACUUAAGAAAAUAAAUGUUUGAAAUAUUAAGUUUUUUAAUUAUGUAAUCUAUUUUGAUUAUAGUUGUUCUAAUAUAUAGUCAUUUGGAGGAUUUCUAGAGCUGAAGUACUGAAUCCUUUUUGAACUUUUAAUAAAUUUGAGUUAUUUUUCUUUUGGUUUCUCACUUUUCUAACAACUUUUAUCUAACCUACUAAAUUUGAAUUAUUGAAAUUGAUUUUAAUUGUUAUAUUAGUAAAAUUUAACAUUUGUGGAAACUAGGUUCAUGGGAAGACAGAUUGUUGCCUGUUUCACAUUUAAUUGAAUACAAAUAUCUCUACUUUACACAAAGCGUCCAAGGCUGAGGAACAGUGGAUUCCAAUUGAUUCUCCCGAUUAUGGGCAUUACAUCAACAAAAUACUAUCUAUUUAUGGGCAUUUUACUCUGAAUCAUUACAUUUAUGUAAAAUACAUAAAUAUUUGUAACUAAAAUUGAAAAACUGUUACACUAAUAUUUUUAUGAAAGGUAAACUGAUUGUCCUAUAUUUAACAUAAACUGAUUUUUGUGAAAGUAAAAAACAUAUUGCCCAUAACAUACCUGCUCUUCAUGGUUUUUUUGCAUUAUAUCAAUAAAAUACUAGCUAUUUAUGGGCAUUUUACUCUGAAUCAUUACAUUUAUGUAAAAUACAUAAAUGUUUGUAAUUAAAAUUGAAAAAAUGUUACACUAAUAUUUUUAUGAAAAGGAAACUAGUAAAUUUUGUAUUUAACAAAUUUUAAAUAUGUGAAAGUAAAAAUGUUUUUGCCCAUAACAUACCAGCUCUUUAUGGGUUUUUUGCAUUACAUCAACAAAUACUAGUUAUUUAUGAGCAUUUUACUCUGAAUCAUUAUAUUUAUGUAAAAUACAUAAAUGUAUGUAACAAAAAUUGAAAAAGUGUUACACUUAUAUUUUUACGAAAGGGACAUUGGUAGAAUUUGUAUUUAACAUAAAUUAAAUAUGUUAAAGUAACAUUACAGGUGAUUUUAUUAGUUACUUAAUUUGUUGGCAAGAAACAAGGUUUCUUUUGCAAAAUUUGUUCAUUAGAUUUUUUCAAAUAAUUAGGGUAUAAAGGUAAAUUUUCACAAUCUUUUACUAGCAAUAGACCCUAAUUUCCUCCUAGGCGGUGACGAAGCCAAGGUUUUUUUCUUAGGGGGAGGCCAAAAUGAUUGACAAACAAAAUUAUUUUUAUAUGUUAUGUUCAAAACAAUUUUCAUCUAUUUAAAUAUAUGGCAUCCUAAAAUAUCAAAUAUUAACUUUAAAAAGAUAUGUCUAUUUAAUAAAUAUGUAGUAUAGUCAUAACUAAAAUUAAGACAAAAAAUAACAUUUGAUUAAAUAUCUUAUAGGAAAAUAUGCGCUUUUCAUCCUCAAAGUUUGGGUGGUUGGCCAAUUUCAUCCUCAAACUUUCACCCCAAACACAUUGCAUCCCUAAAGUUCCGUAAUUUUGGCAAAUUAAGGACAAUUGAUGGGAAAUGAAGAAUUGAUCAUUAGAACCAACAAUUUUACCCAUAAAUGGUACUCUGUUCUUAUAAUAGAGAAAAGUUAUAAAAAACUGGUGAUUUAUUGGAGAACGGAUUUAUUUUUAUUUUAUCCGAUAAAUAAAUUUUUUUAUGGAAAAAAUGGGUACUCUGUUCUUAUAAUGGAGGAAAGUCAUAAAGAGCUAGUGUUUUAUUGAAAAACGGGUUUAUUUUUAUUUUAUCCGAUAAAUAAAUUUAUUUAUGAAAAAAUGGGCAGUCUGUUCUUAUAAUGGAGGAAAGCCAUAAAGAGUUGGUCUUUUAUUGAAAAAUGUAUUUAUUUUUAUGUUAUCCGAUAAAUAAAUUUAUUUAUGAAAAAAUGGGUACUCUGUUCUUAUAAUGGAGAAAAGUCAUAAAGAACUGGUGCUUUAUUGGAAAACGGGUAUAUUUUAAUUUUAUCUGAUAAAUAAAUUUAUUUAUGAAAAAAUGGGUAAUCUGUUCUUAUAAUGGAGGAAAACCACAAAGAGCUGGUCUUUUAUUGAAAAAUGAAUUUAUUUUUAGUUUAUUCAAUAAAUAAAUUUAUUUAUGAAAAAAUGAGUACUCUGUUCUUAUAAUGGAGGAAAGUCAUAAAGAACUGGUCUUUUAUUGAAAAAUGGAUUUAUUUUUAUUUUAUUCGAUAAAUAAAUUUAUUUAUGAAAAAAUGAGUACUUUGUUCUUAUAAUAGAGGAAAGUCAUAAAGAGUUGAUUUUUUAUGGGAAAGUGAUACUUUAUAGAAAGUGGCGGUGAUUUGGUUUAUGAAAUUAUCCCAAAUAAAAAUUUAGAAUAAAUUUGUUUGUUUUGAAAGUUGUAAAACGGUCUUCAAAACUCUAGAGAUUGGCAAAAAAUUUUUGGGGUUGCAGAAAGGUAGAAGGAAGAAGGAGAAGAAUGGAGCUUUUCGUCUGUUGCAAUUGUUCCGUUAAAAAUGGUUCCAUUCGGUUUUACCCAUUUUUGGUUAGAUAAAGCCGUUGAUUCUAACGAUCAAUUCUUCAUUUCCCGUCAAUUGUCCCUAAUUGGCCAAAAUUACGGAACAUUAAGGAUGCCUUUCUGCAACCCCAAAAUUUUUUUGCCAAUAAUUCAAGGAAGGAAAAAGUGUAUUACUAUAGUUUAAUGGGUAAACUGCAAUUAAGUAUAUAGUUAGUCAUGAUUUUAUUGCAUUUAACCCCAACAAUUAACGUUAGACAUAGUGUAUUCUGGUGCAAAAACUUCAAUUAUUAUGAGCACUAAUUAUGACACAUCGAAUGUGUGUGGUAAUAAUAAUAAAUUAUGAUAAAAAAUUAGUUUAAAUGUCAAGCAGACAAAGAUACUUGAAAAUACUUUCACAUUAGUACUUAAUAAAUAGUUGGUAGUUUGUUUUACUGUAACCAAUUUUGUUUCCAAAACUUUUAAUAAAUGAAAAUUAAAGAAUAGGAAACACUGGAUAGAUAUGGCUUUGCAAAAACUUUGAUAUAAUUAUUAUGUAUACGAAUUCAAAUUCAUUUGCUCACUAAUGAAUUUGAAUUUACAUCUAAUAGAAUUAAUUAUAAAUAGGUAGUCGAAAUCUGUCCAUUUAAUAGCCAUUAAUUAAUUGGUUUUAUUCAGCUACCCAUUUGAAACUAAUAAAAUCACAUAUCCAUUUGGAUUAACAUGGUGAAUAAGAGAGCAAUAAAAAGUAGAGAAAUGUCGAGGGGAAGUGCUGCAUGAACAGAGAAUGUAUAAGGGAAGGAAAAUAAUGUUGUGCUUUGCUAGCAAAUAAUAAUAGUAAUUCUAUUACUAUUAUUAUUAUAUUAAAGGUAAAUCCGCCAACUACACAUAUAAUUUAGGUAUUCAGGCAAAAUCUUAGAAAUAGCUUUAUUCAGGCAAAAUAUGCUCCAACUGCACAAAAAAAUGGCCCAUUACACCAAAAAUUAUUUCUAUUAUUAAACAAAUUCAACUCACAUACAUGUAUAAGGGAUAUUUAUGGAAUAAACAAUUAAGGGAUAUUAUUAUACUCCUAUUUUUUCACUUCACUCCCCCAUGUAAAGUAAUUUUUUUAAUGUUAGUAAACUUUGUUGGAAUUAAAUUUGUAAUAUAAACCUUAGAAUCUUUGAAGUUUUGUAUAGUUUUGCAAAUGUUAGGGAAGGCCGUGUGAAUAUGUCAAAAACCUAUAGGAGGUUUCUAUAAUUAUGUCUAAUUUUAUAAUUAACCAAAGCAAAAGGCAAGCAAAUGCAUGUACUAUUUUACUUCAAGUAAUAGCAAGUUUAAUUCAAGUAAUAGUAAGUUUUUAUACAUAAAUAGUAAUUAUUGCUGAUAACAUGGCAAAUUUGAUUAAUAAUCAAGAUUUACUGAUUUAUGAGACACAUGUACUAUUUUACUUUAAAACUUAUCUCAAACUAGUAUUAGAAAGUUUAUUUGAAAUAACGAUAAGAUAUUUUAUCAAUGAUUAAAGUUUAGUAGCUUAGUUAGUAAGUACUCAUAAUAUACUCGUAUAAUACAUGAUUAUAGGUCUAAUUUAAAAUUUUUUUGUACUUAUAUAUUUUUAAAUACUAUGAACUAAGCCUACUCUCCAAAAAGUAAAUUUCGGAUAUAGAGUAGUAAUUUAUUUUUAAAAAAAUUAAGUUGCAUAUUUAUUCCAAUUUACGUAUGAAGAUACAUCGAUCGGUGCUCUCUGGAUGCGUCCAAACUCUAGUGAAUGUCUUUAAACUAAAUUCUAAUUAAAGUAGUAUCCAAGAUAAAAAAUACUAUUCGUAUAAAAAAAAUCAAUAUAAUUUCGCUAAUAGCAAUUAAAUUUGAACUUUUAAAAUAUGCGUAAAUAGUAAUUUAGUUUAAAAAUAUAAUUAGUAUGAAGAGUAUAAUUGGCAUAAAUAAGUGUAUUCAGUAAGUCAAUAUUGUAAACCUCCCCUGAGGUUUCUCUUCAUUUUGCCUGAUACCCCAAAAGUUCUAAAAAUAUCACUAACCUACCUUACUUUUGUUGUUUGUAUAGCAAGUUUUUUAAAUAUCCUAACUACCCUUUUGCUCGCUAGAUAGGAAUAUUCAUAAACCACUUUGUUUAUUUGAAAAAAACUAUCAUUAUUUACAUGGUAUUUCUUUUGUAUUACUACUACAUCAUAAUGCUACACAAUCACGGAUAAAACUAUAAAUUUGAAAAGUAAAAAUGAUAUUUGAAAACAAAUACACUUGCAUAGUCAUACUUCAUUUGAUCACAAUCACAAAAACUACAAGAAAAACAAAAUUCUAUUUAUUAUAAUUUAGAAAUACAUUAUUGCAUAGUUAUCCAUUAUUCCAGGUUCAGGUGUACAGCAGUUUGCAUUGACAUUUUCAAGUCUAAUUGUAUAUAUGCACGUACCAUAUAUAUAUAUAGACAUACAUAUGUAUAUAUAAAAUUAUAUAUUUUGAAAAUGUAUGUAUGUAUGUAUACACAUUGUAAAAAAAAGUAAGAAAUUUAGAGAAUGAAAGAAAGAUUUAAAAUUUAAAUAUGAGGCUAAUAUUUGAGAAUUCUUCACUUUUGGUAUUGACAUAUUAAACUACUAUUACGAAAAAUGAUAUUAUACUCAGGGGAGUCCAAUGAUAUUUCAGAUAACGUCAUCCGAGACUCUACAAAGUUAUCCCAUUCACAUUUAUAUAAAGACAUACAUAUCCAUAUAUCUAUAUAUGUGUAUAAAUGUAUAUUUUUAAAAUGUAUGUAUGUAUACACGUUCUAAAAGUAGGAAAUUUAUUUGUAAAUGAAAAAAAUUUAAAAUUUAAAUAUGAGAGUAUUAUUAGAUAAUUUUUCACCAUUGAUAUUGGCAUAUUAAACUACUGUCACGAGAAACGAAAUUAUACUCAAUGGAGUCCAAUGAUAUUUCGAAAAUAUCACUCAUCUGAGCUUGUACAAAGUUAUCCCAUUCACAACAAUAUAUAUAUAGACAUACAUGCUAGGAUAUAUACAAAUAUAUAUUUUUGAAGCAUUUAUUUCGGCCGCCAACUCCAUAACGAAUAUGCUUUUCGCGGUAAUUCCUGUUCAUUUUAUAUGCGUACAGUGUUUAGCUUCUCCGUCAAGCUUGGCGCCUUUUUCAAUGCCCUUAGUUUCGCUCGCGACCCUUUGCCUUUGGCAGUUGAUUAUUUUAGGGACUCCACCUUUUUUAUUUAUGCUUUCAAAUCCCCCAACUUUUCACAUGGCCCUUCCACUCAACUUCAACACCUAACGGCUGUUCAAGUUCCAGGUUAUAAAAUGCCUUUACAAGUGUCCAUCCAAAACACAUUUCCUAUUAUCUGUGGCCACAAUCGCUUGUCCCAUCUUUUCCCUUAUCUUUCCACACCUCUUUUGUGACCAAUAAACAUACCACAGCAACAUCCCUAAAAUCAGAAAAUAAAUCUUUGAAAAGAUGGAUCUAAAUUCAAAGGUUCCUAUGCAUCAAUCAAGCAUGGUACAAGUCUAAGGACAAGGAACACAUGGUAAAUCAUCAUUUGGUGCCACACUGGAUAACAUCGUAGUCAUGAGAAGAGUGACAAGCAUCUUAAAUCAUCAAAUAACUACUAAACAAUACGCCAAAAUUGUAGACAAUACGAGGUGCAAGAAAGACUAAAUAAUAGAAUUCCUUUGUUUGUAUAUGAUACAUGUUUGAGCCUGUAAGAGCUAUGCUGUACAGUAUCUCAAAUGAAUUUCAGUUGCAUCGAGUUAUAAUCCUACACUAUCCAACAUCUAUCAUGAGAAGCGUGCACAAAACACACUUCAAGCAUCUGUUCAGAAUUACCACAAUGACUAUUUUCUUCUCCCUCUAUUUCCUAAAACAACAGGAAGAUGAGCCUAGGCAUUUCAGCUAGCACUAUCAACUUGUAUCAGUUGGAUGGGUUUAUUGUCCAACGUCUUGUUUAUAUAGCAUGCUACAAUCUUGCACAAAGAAAUUGCAGAAACCUCUAAAAUGAUCAAAAAUUAAGUGACUAUUCACAUCAUAUUUAACUCGUCCUUCUCAAUUUCCAACAGCCCCUAAAAGCUUUCCUUUUCCCCAGGAGAAAAUACAAGUUUAAUCUCUACUGUAUUUCCACCUCAUAUUCAACUCUCACUUUCCUUUUCUGAAAGAGAAAAUGCAAUGAAUAAUUAAAGGAAAACAUCCCUUCCCCAAUUGACAAUGUAUCGAUUAGCAUUAUUUGAAGUAAAUAAAGCAAAGGAACAUUAGACAAUUAACUAGAAGGGGAAAAAAUACAACUGAUCAAAAUACUUCCAAGCAACAAUCUUUCCUAAUUUCUUAUAACUAGAGGUGCCAAAAUGGGUGGGUUGGGUUGGUUAAAAUGGGUAAUAGGUAUAAGCGAGUCAACUCAUUUAUACCCAUUUAAUUAGAUGGAUAUAAAUGGAUAAGUCAAAAAAUGAAUUGGGUAACCCAAUUAUCCAUUUAUAACCAAUUUAUUUUAACUUUUCAUAAACUCUUUUAAAUUCAUUUUUGUAAACUAUGUUAUGAAUUUGUACCACCCUUUGCACCCAUCAUUAGUUUUAAAUAUUUGUUUAUAAUAUUCAAUAAACCUAGUUACCAAUUUUUUUUCAUCCGUACUCUAUGUCACAAAAUUAUAUACUAUUUAAUAAUUGAACAAUAAGAAUAUAAAAAUUUGACAUAAGUACUAUAAAAGUUAACAUAAAAACUUGAUUCAAAAAUUUUGAAUUCCUAAUCUUUUUUUGUGUAAAUUUAAACUUUCAUUUUGAAAAGGUAGAAAAAGAGGCUAAAACUUAUCACAAAUUGCGAAUGCUAAAAAAAUGAGUAAGUUAACAAACUAAGAGAAAAUAAAAUGACAACAUAAAACCCAUAAAUAAUAAUAAUAAUGAAACAAAAGUAAUUAACAUCAUACUUAAAAUAUACGUAUAAAAAAAAAUUAUCCGUCAAAUGCACGUCUGACUGAGGGGCUUUCUUAUUCUAUACGGGCCGUGCUGAGUCAGCACGGCCGAAUCACAAAAAAAUCUAUCCGGUCAACAUCUAGUUUGGGCUGAGCAUUUGUGUCAGCGGACGUGCCCAGUCAGCACGUCCGCUGACACAAAGGUCUCUCGGAUAACAUUUAAAAAAAAAAAAGUUUUAGGCUUUAGGAUUUUUAGAGUUAGGGUACUUUAAUUUGGUACUUUAAAAUUUGGUACUUUAAUUUUCAAAUUAACCUGAUUAAACUAAAUUUUAACCGUAAUCCUAAAUAUACUUCAUUUCAUUAAUAUUUAAAAUAAAUACAUUAACCUAACCUCAUGAUUCAUGUCCCUAGAUGCCUUUUCCACAUGUAUUAUUAUUAAAUCAUUAUUAAAUGCAUAAUAGUUGUUAAUUAACGAACGAUUCAUGUAUUCUAAUAAACAGGAAUUAAUUAUUAUAAUCACUUUGUGAUUGUGAUUGGCAUACAUAAUAAUACAACCAAUUCGGAUAAUUAUUUUUUCGAGACAACGUUUUUGCAUCUAUAUUUUUAUUAUAUUUUAACUACAUUUUUAACUAUAUUUUGGAUAAUUAUUUUAACUAUAUUUUUACCUUGCACGCAACAUAUAUGAUAUCUUACAAAAGUCCUACUACGUACAUGAAUUAUUCAUCUACAUCAAUAUCAAUCCAAAAAUUUUUUUAUUAAUAUUUGCAGAUUACUUCAUUUUUUUAUGCAAUCCAAAAAAUUCUUAUGUUUAGUUAAUUAAUAUAUUUUAUGCAUGUAAAAAGCAAUAAUUUUAAUUAGUUAUUUCUAGUAUUUCUAUAUGAAUUAUAUUACAUAGUAAUUCGCCAAAAAUUAUACGAUUAAACAAUAAGUCGUAGUCGACAACACUAUUUCACUAUAUACACUAGUUAACUCUUUUUUAACACUUCAAUAUUGUAAAAUUAUAAAUAAAUUAUCACACUUUACAUUAACUAUUAAUUAAUAAACUAUAACAACAACACACAAUGCAGAAAACAAGUUUAAUUAAUGUCAUUUGAUGACAGUAUAAUAUAACAUGUAAAUACAUAAAUAAUUAACAUAAUAUAAAUAAUUAACAUAAUUAUUUAACAUGUUUAAUUAACAUAAUAUAAAUAACUAACAUAAUUACUUAACAUGUUUAAUUAACAUAAUAUAAAUAAUGUAAUUAAUAAAUGCUGUAAUAAUAAUUUAAAUUACUAACCUGUAUGAAUCCGAAGCCAAACUGAAGGAACGAAUGCAAGCAGAGGAGGAGCUGCUAUGAUAUACAUGAGACAAAGAAAGCGAGAGAUUGAGGGACGUGCUGACAGGUUUGUGUCAGGUGCGGACGUGCCCAGUCAGCACAUCCGCUGACACAAAUGCUCAGCCCAAAUUGGAUGUUGACCGGGUAGAUUUUUUUGUGAUCCGGCCGUGCUGGCACAUCCGCUGACACAAAUGCUCAGCCCAAAUUGGAUGUUGACCGGGUAGAUUUUUUUGUGAUCCGGCCGUGCUGAGUCAGCACGGCCUGUAUAGAAUAAGAAAGUCCCUCCGUCAGACGUGCAUUUGACGGAUAAUUUUUUUUUAUACGUAUAUUUUAAGGAAUUAGCCCAGCCACCCCUUGUCCAUUUUUUUUUUUCAAAGGAGCCCUCUCGUCCAGUACUUUGUUGCAUGCCAACACUUACGUUGAAAUUUUUUUUUUAAUGUAAAUAGGAGAACUCGAAUUUAAAAUCUUUCAUUCACACUCCCUUACUCUCGAACCACCUAAUCUAACCCUCCCCUUAGGCCGAAUUUUAUAGCAAGGAGAAAACGGUAAAGGCAAAUCUUUGUUAAAUGUUCGGUUUAAUGAUUUAUUACACAUAACCUUCUUUAGCUGGCUUAAUUCCUACAGUCCUUCCAACUUCAAGGGUACGGGAUCGGUACACAGAGAACCGUGAAUCUCCACGAUCAUCAUUCUUCAGCAAAGAUAAUUAAGUCCCAAUAAAUCAUUAAACAAAACCAAUUUCUCCAGAUUGAUGACUUCCGGGAAAACCUGUCCCAGAAACAAAUGAUUCCUCAACUUCGUCGACUAGAAUUACUUAUAACAUAUUAGCAUGGGUUAAUGCUCCCUAAUCCCGUGUACUUUCGUGCAACUAACCAUCUUGUUGUCUGUUUACGUGAAUGCACGUUCCAUACAUUAUACUAAUCAAUUGAUUCUUUCUUGACUUCAUAGAAAUGGUUGUGCCAGGCAUGCAUUCCAACCUACCUACAUUUCCUCCACUCACUCUUUAAAUAGAUGGCAUAUCUCUGCAUCCAAAUUCGCAAAGGGAAAAAAAAACAGGAAUUACCAAAAAAGAAAAACUAAGAGCUGAAAAAAAAAUGUCGAAAGUUGCCACUGUAGCAUUGGCCCUCGGGUUCGUUUUUGUGGCAUUCUCCGGCCAAUGCUACGGGGCUUCACCACCACUUAAGGUUGGUUUCUACCAAGGAAAAUGCAAUGGUACGGUUGAUGUUGAGGUGAUUGUUGGUGGAGUUGUCAAAACAUGGUUCUCUAGCGAUUCUACAAUUACUCCUGCUCUACUAAGGAUGCAAUUCCAUGAUUGUUUUGUAACUGUACGAAGUUUCUUCUUCUUUAUUUACAUUUUUUAUCUUUUGGUAAAUUUCUCAUUAAUUAUGCUGGCAAUUUAGAAAACAUUGUGUUGAUUGCUGACGUUCUGACUUUGUUUACAAGGGUUGUGAUGCAUCUCUUCUUCUGGAUGGAAGCAACAGUGAGAAAACUGCAGUACCAAAUUUAAGUGUUAGGGGAUAUGGUCUUAUUGAUGCGGCAAAGGCAGCUGUUGAGGCAAUCUGCCCGGGUGUGGUCUCCUGUGCUGAUAUCAUUUCAAUGGCUACCAGAGAUGCUGUAUCCCUGGUAAAUAGAUAUACGUACCCUCUCUCUUUAAUUUUUCUAUUUCUGAAAAGUUACAUACCAUGCAUAAUUCUCAAUUAGACAAAACUAGAAAAGAUUAACUAGAACCUUUUACCCUCUGUGAUUUGAUACUUUACCACGUAACAUGACCUGGUUUAGCAUGAAAUCAUCUCUCACCAAGCUCAACAUAGGCAAUAUUGAUCACUCAAUUCAAAAUUCCUGUAAAUGCAGAGUGGAGGAGGGCGAUACAUUGUGCACACUGGAAGGAGAGACGGGACAGUUUCGCUUGCAAAGAAUGUGAAUCUCCCAGCUCCUUCAAUAUCAGUCUCAAAUUCCAUCAUUGCAUUCUCCAAGAAAGGGCUUAGCGUAGUGGACAUGGUUUAUCUUCUUGGUAAUUACUUCACAUUUCAAACUGCAUGCGAAUUCUACUCCACAUAUAUUGGACAUGCAAAUUAUGAAAACUUCUACUACUACUAAUUAGUAACAUGACCUUCUUUACUAACAUAUAUAGUAGCAAUUUGACACUAUCCCUUAAAAAAAAUGCACAAGCUGCUUAUGAGUGUAAAUUUAUCCCCAAAAAAUUUGUAUAUGGGCUCGAGCAACAAAUCUAAAAGUUGAUCAGAAUAGAAAAAUGGAAAGUUUCAGAAGGUUGAUUGAUUUUUCUUUUUUUUUGUUUGUUUAUAUAAAGGUGGCCAUACGGUGGGAGUUGCUCAUUGUUCCUUCUUCCAAGAUCGUCUGUACAAUUUCCAAAACAGUGGUAAACCUGAUAAUACCAUGAGCCCAUCGCUAUUAUUUUUCCUGAGAAUGAGAUGUCCUCAGAAUGCAACAAUUGAUAACACAGCUAAUCUUGAUCAGAACCCUUUGAGUUCGUCAAUUGUUGACAACUCUUAUUAUCAACAAAUAAUGUUGUUGCACAGAGGAGUUCUUCAAAUUGAUCAAGAAUUGGCACAGGAUCCAUCAACCAGGGACAUGGUAACUGCAAUAGCAAAGGGGGUCGAUUUUUCCACUAAGUUUGGCCAAGCCAUGAUUAAAUUGGGUGCUGUCCAAGUCCUCACAGGCACUCAAGGACAAAUUAGGAAGUCAUGCAGGGCAGUCAAUACGAUAUGACAAAUCGACAAGUUUUUCCAAAAAAAAAAAAAACUUCCUGCAAAAUUUUGUGUUUUUUUUUUCAUUUCUAAAUUUCAUAUUGUUCGAUCUUGUUUCUUCAUCCCAGAAUGUGUAAUAUUUACGAUUUUUUCUUAUUUUAAAAUUGAUGGAUGAUGCAUUUCAAUUAUGUACUUUAACAAUGUUUCUGCCCAAUACAAACAGCAAUAAACUCUUAACUUAUAUUUACAUUUGUUACAUUUUCAACUUAUUUCCUUUGAAAGCUUCUGCUGUGGUAUCGUGGGACAAUUAGAUAUAACUUGCAAAAGUCUGCAUUUCAGAUUAAGAAUAUGGCCAACUGUAGCCUUCGACCGACUUCUAUAGUUUAUGGUUUGAAAAUUUUUUCUUCUCAGGCACAAAACAACUACUGCCGAACAUUUCUUCGACCACUUUCUACAAUUUGUUAGAGUUCUCUUUUUGCAGUUACAAUUAUUUUUCUAGGUUCAAUCCUUCAAAAUAAAUGUCUUAUUUAAGGAAAACCCGUUAAAGGACCACAACAAGAAGAAUAAAAAGACUAGUGGAUAAGCUCAACAUACAGAUAUUAAUUACAAAAUUUAUUACUCAAUUAACAUCAACUUGUCACUUCGAGAUCAAGAAACGGUAAUCCAAAAUUAGUCCUUGAUAUCCAUAAAAGGAGCAGAUUGAGAUUAUGCGCUACUCCCUCUGUCUCAAAAUUUUGGUUACACUUUGGGAGUCUAAUUUUUUACCAACAAUAUUUUGAUUGUGAUGUUUGGAUUUUUCUUUUCAAUCUUAUGCCUAAAUUUCAAAUUUUAAAUUUGAAUGUAACAUGCAUUUGACUUAAAGUAGGAACAAUACUGGAAAAAAUACCAAAAAAAGUUUUUAACUUUCUACGCAUGACAAACGUCUUAGAACAUUCCAAAAUGAAAAGCGGGACAAAAAUUUUGGGACGGAGGGAGUACUUUGCAAGACCAAAUUGAGACUUUUUCACUUUUGAAGUGACCAAAUUAAGAUAUUUAAGUACUUUGGAGGGCCAAGAUGAUAUUCUGUAGAACCUCGUAGGACCAAAACGAAAUUAACCCAUAAAUCUAUUUUACAUGCUGUUCUAAAUUGUAAUGGCCAGCCACCACAAUUGGGUCCCCCAAACUCCACCUCAUCUCAUCUAAAGGGAACUGUUAAAUUACAUUAAAAUUCCUACGCAAAAUGUGGUGCCAGUGCCAGUGACAUGCUCAGUUUACAUAUUGUCCAAUUGUGCCAAAAUCAGAUGUCCCUUAUCUUGAUUCUCCACCAUAUAAUUCUGAAUUCAACAAUAGCGUACCCUCAGCCACAUCCGUAUUGUACAUAACAAACAUUUCGGUACAAAAAUGGCAUCGUCAGUCUGCUCAUACCAUGGAAUUCUGCUACCUUCAUCCACACUUGAGCAACAAAGGCUAAUUUUUCCCAGCAUGACAAGAAGCACAUUGAAUAUGAGCAGAAAGCAGACAAACAUUGGAGGUGGUGGAGGGCACUGUAGGAAGACAAACGUUGCAUGUAAUGUUAGUCUAGAGGACUUCAUUGGAGGCGAUCUUCUCAAGUUUGAUUUAGGCCAAUGGUUGUCAGAUGUUGAAGAGCACAAAGCCUUAGCCAUCUACCCUCCUCAUGAGGGUGGCUAUGAGGGUCGCUACCUCAACAGGCUAAGAUAUCAAGGCUAUUAUUUCUUGGACCUCACCGCUCGUGGACUUGGUGAUCCCGAGACCACUCUCACUAAAUUUCACCCUGUUUGUCCGGUAAGCCCUUUUUUUUUUUUCUUUUUAAUUUAACACUGAUUGGUUGAAAAGAAAAUGUAUUGUAUUGCGCCUUGUUUUAGUUUACAAUUUGCUCUUCUUUUUUCUUUUUUAUUGUUGACAUUUUAAUUUAGUGUGGAUGAGAUUUUAAUAUAAUUGGAAUUCUUGGAAAUACAAUAAUGUUGCAGCCCCAUGUAGGGAAGCAGCCAAUUGCUAGGUGGUAUUUCCCACCAGAAGUUGAUUAUAGGCUCUCGCUACUUCCGCCAAAUGCCAAAGGACUUGUGGUUUGGAUAAUUGAAGCAAAGGUGAACAGAAAAUCUUUUGCUCUUGAUAGCUAAGACUCCAAUUAUUUGAUGAAUUUUCAGUUAAAGUUAUUAAUUGGCUUGGAUCUUCUAGGUUUUGUCAAAGGCUGAACUGCAGUUUCUUGCAUUACUUCCUACUUUGAGGCCUAGAGUCAGAGUGAUUGCAGAAUGUGGAAACUGGUAAACUAAUCCACCUUAAUCGCUCUGUUUAUACCUCCUGAUAUUCUUUUUUAAGCAAGGCUUUAAUCUCCUUUUAAAAGAGAAAGAAAUCACAAUGUUUUAUAGGGACGUUUGUAAUCUUUAUUCGCUAUUAAUUGAUUAAUCUAUACAUGGUGCAGGAGGAAGUUCAUGUGGAAACCUCUCAAGGAAAUUGCAGGAUUACCAGCACAAGAGGGACCAUAAUCCCCAGUCAAUAGGAUGAUUACUACUAAUAUAUACUGCAACAGGUUCAAUGAUCAAAAUCAGCAUAAGGCCCCAUUUUACCUAAAAUUGGCCUUUCAUGGAACGUUCCAAAUUUGGGGGUUCAUAGAAAAUGGAACAUUUUGUAGCGUAAGAUAAUAGAAUGUAACCGUUUAUGGAAUACCAGUUCAAAAGAGAUACGCUGCUGACAUUCUUUUCUGGCUUGCAUAUGCAUGCAACUUCGUAUGUACGUGUUCAUAAAUUGUUUUGCUUCAUCCAAGAUAUCCGAUUAAGGAAAUAUACAUCGAUCAAGAGUUGCAUUGGUGACCACCAUUUUCUUUAGCUAGCUCAUUGGAACCUUUAAUACCGUGCGCUUUUAUUAUAAACUAGCGGCAGUACGUUUAUAUAAUUACCUUUUCUUGAGGGUCUAUUGUGAGUUCUUGAUUGAACCCGAAUGUUUCGGUUCCAUGAUUAUGGGACCAUUAGACCUUAAAUAAUAAAUAUUGGAGACAUUCAUACUGGGAAAUUAAAAACAGUCGUGUUGUAGUCAAAUUCAUGACAAAUUCUUACGUAUAGGAUCUGACCUAUGAGAUAUGACAGGAUCCCAACAUUUAUAUUGGGAAUUUAUUUACUAUAUUUUAGUACUAAGGGGCUGCAAGGACCAAAUUCAGCAUCGAGUUGAGCUAAAACCUGGGUGUUGCAAGACCACUCUUGAGUUUCUGAAUGGUAGGAACAUCAGUCUUGAAUAUCUUUGCGAGAAUUCCAUCAUCAAUACCAGUUGCAAACAAAGUUGUAGGAAGUGAAACUUCUCCAGGACUGGCACUACCAAAGAAAGAAACAGCUGAUGCUGAUGCUCUAGAAAGAGCAUUGUACUGAUAGUGUACUAGUCCCUUUGGGAACAGAAACACAUCCCCAGCUCCAAGGGAGUUUUUGUAGAGCUUGUUAGCGGUAUCCACAAGACCAACCUCAACCUUGCCUUUGGUGACAAGAAAUAGCUCAGAAGCACGAGGAUGAAUAUGAGUUGGAUAUGCGCUACGUGGAGGGAAAGUAUAAACAGCAAGUGAAACACCUUGGCCAUUAAGAGCUGGGAACUCAUCCAUUGUGACAUCGGUUUCUCGUGCGUCUGGACCUCCGUUUCCAGUUGUGUUAAGAUGGUAGGUAAAGAAGUGACCGGUGAUCUCACUUCCAUUCAGAUUUGGUGGCACUAUGAAAUCUGUUAAAAUAUCCGGAUCUCGUGCUAUGGCCAUCCAAGAAUUGGCGAAGAUAGCCAGAAGGCUUAGCAGAGUAAACUUGAAUGAAAACGAGGCCAUUGUGAGCAGGUAACAAGAGACGGUAUUAGCAAGUUGAUAUGGGUUGCACUUGCAGGGACACAACACUUGGCCAUCAAUUUAUAAGUCCAUAAGCGCAGACUGCCCUAUGGUGGAAUUAAUUUUCAUUCCAUUUCCUCUAAAAUUGUGCUACAGCUAAAACUAGGUUUCUAGCAAGCCCGUAUGCCAGAUUAAUUUUCACAGCUUGACCGACAUUUCCAUUUCCUCUAAAAUUGUACUCUAGCUAAAUCUAGGUUUCCAGCAAGCCUAUACACCUUCUGCACAAUUUCAGGGUUAGAAUUUGUGACUUCUCUACAGAUUUUUCUAGAUUUUGUAGCACUAGAAUAAAUAAAAUAAUUGUUGAAUAAGUCUAGUUGUUCGGAGUCAUUCCACAUUUUUAGUAUUUGGUUAUUUUUAGUUUGUCGAAAUAUUCAAAAUUUCACAAAUAUGUUUUGGUUGAAAUUUGCUAGGAGAUAUCUGUGAUUGGUUUGCUACUCUACCUCUAUAGAAGAGAAAGUUGGUGAAUGAAACAGAGAGCCAAUUUUUUUGUAGCAUUAACAGUUAAAGUGCUGUUUCUUAAUUUAUACCCUAAAUUCCAACAAAUUGGUAUUCAAAAUCUUCAAAGCGAUACUAAGAGCCUUUAUCUUAAAGGCUCGUGAUAUUUUGUGAAAGGCAUAUAUGGUGAGGAUCUUUUAUAGUUAAAACCAAAAUGGUGGGAGAAACUUUUGUGUCUAAUGCUCUAACUUAGUAGUGAAAUUUACCAAAUUUGGGUCAUAAAAUUUUGAAAUUAUAUGGCAAUCAAUGAUCUUUGGGAUCCGAUAAAGAGAAAUUAUGUUCUAGCACUAUUUGAAGAUCUGAUAGAUACACAAAUUAAGGAUCAUGGAGUUGCAGUUAGAUAGAAAUUGAAGGCCGGCAUUCAUACAUCAUUUUUCGAUAUCGUUUUCACAAGAAUAAUGGCUUAUGUUAUUUAUGAUUUAGUUGAGAAUGAAUUGUUCUUAAUUAAUAUAAAAGAAAGAAAUUUCACAUUGAAUUGGCUGGAUUUUGACAAUUCUGAAGUGGAGUAUGUUGAAAUUGAGAAUUUAGAUCUUGAAAAAUUUAGGAGGUGAUUAUUGAUAAGUCCAAAAGUAUCAAACUAAUUCCUAAUAUUGAUCAAGAAUAUAAUUGUGACUUUUUUUCAUCUACAGGUAUUGAAAAAUCCUCAAAAAAUUUAGACUAUGCUGUGACAAUUGAAGAAAAGUCUAAAGAUGACGAUGAUAACAAGGUUUAUGAAAAGCCAUGCAGAAAUUUUAAUUUGGGAAUUUCAUAAUAAUUAUUUCAUGUGUUUUACAUUUUCUGUUUAGAUUCAAAUAUUAUAGAAGGAUGUUCCACUUUGAACUUAUGAAAAUGUUAUUUAGCUACGUCAAAGAAACCAUCUUUUAUUUUGGAGUUUGAUGCCAAAAGAAGUAUUUUGGUGUAAAGCUGAUCACCAGCUUGUACAAAAAAAUCGAAAGAAAAAGCUUGUUGCAAGGCAAUUGAAAAUCUUGAGAGUUUGAUAAGACAAUUGAAAAACUGCAAUAUACGUAGCAAAGAGGAAUGUUAGAAUAUGCAACUUCUCUACAAAUUUUUUUCUGAAUUUUCUAGCACUAGAAUAAAUAAAAUACUUGUUGAAUAAAUCUUAGUUAUUAGGAGUUUUUCUACGUUUGCAGUAUUUGGUUGUUUCUCAUUUGUAGGAAUUGUCAAAAUUUUGUUGAAAUUGUUUAGGAGAUUUGUCAGAUGAUGAUGUUGAGUUGUUAACAAGUACUUUUUUUGUUGAGAUUUGUCAGGAAAUAUUUGUGAUUGGUUUGUUAUUCUACCUCUAUAAAAGGAAAAUUGAUGAAUAAAAAGAUGACCUAUUUUUUAUAGGAUAAAUGUUGUUGUUUCUUAGUUCAUACUUUGAAUUCCAACAAAUUAGUAUUCAAAGUCUACAGCAUUAGUGUAUUUAUUGGCUUUUAGUACUGCUACAAGUCUAAAAUUGUUGGAGCUUCCCGCGUAGGCCGAGCUUUUAGAAAAACAACAACAUCAGCAUUAAUUUGAUUUUCGUCUUAGUCAAACAAUUAAUCCAGCAUAAACAAGCCAAAUGGUUUAAUUUUUUUUUUUUUCAAUUGAAUCUCAAACUGGGAACAGCAUUUAAAAAUCACUAGUAGUAGCUAAUCCAUUAAGUGACCUUUGAUGAGAAAAAACUAUGGGAGAAAAAAAUGUAGUAGUACAGCUUCCAUUGUCAAGGUUCAAUAAAGGGCAGAACCAUUCUAGCUCCUACACCUAGGCUGUUUGGAUCAUUGCAGAACUAAGCAGGGAGAAGAGUAAUCUACUCCUUCUAUCCACUGAAAGUAUCAUGCAUUUAACAUAUUUUGAAAUAUUCAAAAAUAUUUAUCAUUUUACUAAAAUUAAAGUUACUUUUUAUCUUUAUUUUCAAUUAAUGUUAUCUCCGUCUUUAUGUAUAUUUCAGAGGGCGACUUGAAAAAUAAGUUCACUAACAUAGCUAACAAGUUACUAUAUAUUCUUAAAAAUUUGAAAUCCGAAAUGCGACAAAUAAUUUGAGACGAAAGGGAGCUUGGAUUACUGUUUUCCGUAAAAAAAUUACGUCAUUUUUCGUAAUCACAUUUUCCUAUUACUUUUUUCCCUCACAUACAUCAAAUCACUACAAUAAUUUUUUCAUGAAAAAUGCAAUCCAAACACAACCAGACUAGUAUUUUUCUUGUUAUUCUUAUUGUUAUCUAUUACAAGUUUUCUCUGAACCCUAGCCUGUCCUAAUUCCUUCUUAUUUAGCUUGGUCAAAUCAGUAUGUCCAACUUUAAAUUCAUAGCCACCCUAUGGCCAGCUACCUUAGUUGAAUUGAGGACACCCUAUCUCUAUAUCAUAGAUGUGAAGAAUGGAGAAAGACACAUGGCAUGGGUUGCUUCCUCGAUGCAGAAGAAGUGAUGUAGCUUCUAGUAAUGUAGGAAGCCAAUGAAAUAGAGUCAAAUAAUUUGAAAGAAUUAUUUAAUAGGGAGAAACCAACCUGCCCGGGUAAGCCUGGAAGAGUAGCAGCAUAGGACCGGCAACCAAUUUUCGUGUGGACCAUUUCGCAUUUUCUCCUUUUCCUUCCUGCAUAGGAAAUAAGACAUUGUACAAUUUCUUUAUAAAAUGAAACUUAUAUAUUCAUUAUAUGCAUUAAGCUUCCAAAAUCUUGGAGAAUUUUAUGUUUCCAAGUUGAACUUAUCUUUGAUUUUGAACAGUGUUUAGUUUUGAUAAAUGAAGCAAUUUUCUAUUACAACAGAAAUCAGAAGAAAUGGUGGGUUUUUGAUAACUUAUGCUGUAAUGGAAAAUCGCUUCAUUUCUGUGCUUCAUUAGAGUAAAAGAUAUCAUAAGAAACAAAAACUAGCUAGAAACUGAGUAGUUGGCAGCAUGAGUGAAUGCAAACUGCAUGGGUUAAUAAUUAAUGAGAUUUUUUAAGUACAUAGUAAGGGUUAGUUUUAUUUUAAAGGUUUUAUAUGGUAUAAUAUUAGUGCGUAUGUUAUAUGUGUGCAUCUAAAUUGAUAAAUUGGUAUAAAUUAAACAUACUAAUGACUUGUAUAUAGUAAUAGUUGCUAACAACCAUAUCUAAUGAAACUUUUUUUUUUUUUUUUUUUGGUAAGUAAGAAUUUGUUAAUACCAAAGAACAAACAAGAUAGGCAUAACCACAAAAGAAAUAAAGAAACUUUAUUAAUAAAGUUGAAAAUUUAAUUAUUGUCUAAAACAAAUGAAGAAAGAUGGCAUAACCACAAAACUGAAAAAACAAACAAAAAUGUGACACUCUUACUGUGCCUUAGCUUUUCAGAAAAUGACCAUUAUAGCGAAAUUUUCUACAGAUAAAUGUAUUACACCGCCACAUGAAAGCGAAAACAGCCAAGGCUUUCAAUUGCCAAAAGAAGAGAUGAAAGAAUAUCCAAAGGGCUCUUCUUCCUCGGGUGCAUAUGAUAUUAUACUCUGCCUUUUUCCCUCCCCAUCUAAUGCUUGAGUUUGGACUCUCUUUAGUUCCUCUAAACGCCAAAAAACUAGAAGAGUGUUAUUAUAGUGAGUAGUUAAAGUAGAAUUUCCCCCUUUUUUUGAUUGUGUUUUUAGGUGGUUUAGUCUAGUCAAAUAACGAUGUGUAUGUUUCAAGGUUAGUUAACAAUGCUUGCAGCACUGAAGCUCAGAUUCUGGAAACUUGCAUAUUUUCCACCUCCAUGUCUUAGUUUAUAUAUUUAAGGACUCCAUGUCCUCCAAAUUUCAAUCUGAAAAUUGGGUGCCGUACCAUUUUUCUUUUUCUUGUUUUGUGUAGCUUUUCUGGUAGCACAUCCAUAGGAGAUAAAAAAUCUUGUUGAUUUUCUGAUCAAAUAUUGCAUGGGUUGCUCCUACACCCAUUCUUUAGCCACGUAUUCCAUCUUUUAGAUGACAAAGCAAGAAGAACUUUCAAUAAUGUCUUUCUGUAUGGUUAGAGGCUUAAGAUUUAAUCUCUUGGAGCUUCCAAUGUGCUCAGUUUUCACAAACACAAAAUCAAGGAAGCUCAAGUCAUGCAAAACUAAGUAGAGCAUUCUGCUCCCUUGAAGGAAAAGAAAAACCAAAUGUAACUUAUUUAUGCCUUGGCCUCAUUAGGAACUCACUUUUGGCCUUUAAAAGCAAAAGGGAUGCUCAAUUACCACCCUGUUAGGUUGCAAAAUUUUGAGGUUUAAGGUUUUAUAAAUCAUAACUCAUUAUACUUUGGUAAAUCAUGAUAUGCAGGAGCAUAUUCUUUAGGGCAAGUUGAUCAGGUAUGCUUUAAAAAGCGCUUUUCUACUGCAUAUGGUCAAAUGGUAGUUUCUUAAGAAGAGGAGGAAAUUUUAGGGGUUGUCCAUCUGGCGAGUGUCAAGCUCAUCAGGGUAAAUGUGAGGCGACAUCUGCCUUGGACAAGGACAGUAAUUCCGUCUCAAUAUUUUGACAAGAAGUUGCAACAAAGAAUGGAAUCAAUGGAUUGAAGAAUUCGAGAUCUGCCUCCGACAAGGACUGUACUUUAGCCUGUUAGUAUUUUGACAAGAAGUUGCAACAUGGAAUCAACGGGUUAUGGGGGUGUCUCGAAACAAUGGAAAUUCUUUCACUCUGCCGUUUGGAGGUCAUAACCUUCCAAAGUGCGACAAACAUAUACUAGUAGCAUAACUCUCCGAGUAAAAUGCAUUUUGUUCCUAUCACUUUUAACCAAAUUUAUAGGAAUUUACGCAGCUAGGACGAACACAUUCCAUUCGUUCAUUAAAGUUCCAUAUAUGAGUUACGAGGAUUAACACACACAGACACAGCGCCCACCCACUGCCGCAUACAGAAUACUGGGCCCGAGAAUAGAAUGAUACAAGUAGCACAUCUACCCAAAGGCGGAGGAGUAAAAAUGUCAAUGAAACUGAUCAAAAGAUGAUGAUUAAAAAUCACUAUCUAUAGAACAGAAUAUAUUCAACAAUCAAAUGUCUGUCUCCCCGUCUUUUCAACCCAGCAAUUGGGACGCAAAUUUAACACAAGGGGGGCAACAGGAGAAGCAGACAAAUCCAAUUUCAGCAACAAACAUCACUGGAGAAACUCGCAAGCAACCAUUAAGGGCAGCUUUUAUGUAUGUCACAUAAUCACAGCCCACAGCCUCACACCAUCAUGACCAAAGAAGAAAAUGCACAAUCCCAAAAAAGAAUAAAAAGAUCACUAGUCAUUAACACAAAGGGAACAAUAGGAGAAGAAGACAAUCCAUUUCAGCAACAGCCAUCACUCAAAGGAGGAGAAACUUGCGAAUAACUAUUAAGGGCUGUAAGAGCCUUCCUCCACUGCCAGGUUCAGGGUCCAAUUCCUGUGCUUGAUAGUUGGGGUGGCAAGGGGUGGAGGGGGGGGGGGAAUUAAAAGCUGCUUUCAUGUUCACAGAAAACAGCCCAAAAACCAUCAUGACAAUAAGGAAAACACAGAAUUCCUAAAAGGAAAGAGUUUCAGAAGUCAUCAACAUUGACAAUAUGCGUUCCAUUAAAACACCAGCACCACAUAAGAUCAAGUCAUAGCAGAAAGAUUAUUAUGGGGCAAUCUUCAUGCAAAGCCAUCUUCAUGCAAAGCCCAUUAAACAAACAUUCUAAAUCCAAGGUCACCAUAGACCCAGAAAUAAAGAUCCAAGUGACAAGUUAAACAACAAAUUUCCAGCAAAAAUGUUUUCAUCGAAGACUUGGUUGGUACUGCAACUUCAAGGUCAUACUUCCGGAGUAUCCGAGCGGAUGGCUGAUAGACAAAUGAAUAAUUGAGUUAGACAACGGAAGAAUUAUGUCCUGUAAAGAGAAACAUAAGACUGAAAAGAUAAUGACGACUUAAAUGCACAAUGACAUCAAUAAUUGCAAUGCAAUGAAUUCAUUGCAGCUGAACCAAAAGGAAUGUCCAAUCAUCACACAAAACACACACUGCUGGCAUACCACAUAACACCUAGCAUUCAAACCCUUCAUCAAGUAUAAACUACUUGUGCAAGAGUGUUAUGGAUUAUACGAAGUGCCAUCAUGAACCAGAAAUAAAUGUAAGUUUCGUCAAGCCUUAAAAAUAUCAAAAAUCAGGAAUAGGAACUUGCUACAGUUGAAAAAGAAUGUUGAUAAUCUGAAAUUCAAACAUAUGGAGACAAGAUUAUGCAUUCUAGGAUUGCCAAGGAGCCACAAAGUCGUCCAGCCUUUCAGUUGUACGUCUCAAGAUGCAUGAUUCUGGCACAAGGCUCACAAAAAAGACAUCGUUUCAACUUCUUUCUUGCUCUUCACAUAUAGCUUAAAGAUAAAAAAAAAUGCUAAACACUUAAAAUAAGAAGAGAGAAGCUCUUAUGAUCUGUAUUUCAUUUGCUUAAAGCAUCAUGCUGACCAGUAAUCCUACCAGUGUUUAGAACAAUGCAUACAUAUCAAGUGUGAGUUGUUCUCAAUUAGACCAAUCAAACACAAGCUAGAAUCAAAUUCUCAUGUAAAGUUCGCACCUUUGUGCAAUUAGACCAAUUUAAAAACAAACUAGAACAAAUCUCACAGUCGCUUAUGCCCUGCAAUUGCUACAAGGUGAGCUUGAAUUUCCAAAAUGGGGGUGACUCAGCAUAUUAUCACCAGAAUCAACAUCCUUAUCCGCGAAGAAAACCUUAAAAAAACCCCUAAAUUUAAAAGCCCGUCUCCAAUUAUCCCAAAAAACCCACCGAUCAUCCACUAAAUUAUCUAAUUAUACCAAAAACCCACUAAAUUAUCAAACUUGACCCCAAAAAGAACCAAAAUAAAAACGAAAAUAACAGAUAUGGACCACAGUAACAUUUGAUUCAACGAAAAAUAACCAACAUCGACCCGCACAGGAAACCCUAGAUCCAAAGCAUCCUGUGAAUUAAUAACUGAAAAAGAGACAAAAAUGAAAAAAGAGCCAUGGGAUUGGAAAAAUUACUGGGCUUCUCAGGCUUGCCAUCCACCCAUUUGGAAACUGAGAAAUGGACCUUCUCUCGGGUCAGAGCUUCGGUCCUACGGGGCUCCUUGAGGCAAUUCCUGACCAAAUUCGCGCACAAAUUCGAAUAGGUGAUGUAUGUCAUCCCGGCUGCCCUCCAGAACGGCACCGCUGCAUUUGACGCCAUGGCCUGCUCUCUCUUUCUCUCUCCUUUCUCAGCUACAGACUCCGAUAUCCCUUAAAGCGACACCGUUUCUACUGUGGCUUCUUCUUUUUCUCAAACCAGUGAAGGAAAUGCGAUACUACUGAACUGACUAAUACUCAAACUCUACUAAAAUGAACCGCUCCAAACACGAGUACCGGAUCGGGUCUCUUGCAGCUCGCGUAGGAAAGGGACUCCAAAGUCCGCACGCUAUAGGGUAUAUACUCUCUUUUUUUAUUUAUUUAUUUAUUUUUUGAAACAACACCUAGAGCAGUAAAAAAAGUCCAAAAUCCAACCAUCCAUCCAACUUAUCCAUUAAUUUUAAAGGAUAGGUUGGCUCAGUUGGAUUAUGAAUUUUGUUGGAUUGGAUAAAAACAAGUCAACUUAUUUAUUAGGUGGAUUUGAUUUUUUAUUUGAGCACCCAAUAUUCAGAUUGUUUAAAAAUAAUUCAAAACAAUAAACACAAGAUUAAAUACACAUUUGCCCAACCACUUAUAUUUAGAUAUGUGUUAACAAUUUAUUGACCAAUUUGUAUUCAAAAUUCUCAUAUAUAGUUUUUCAAUCAAAUUUUUAUUUAAAAGAAAAAAGAAACUUGCAAUAAAAACUCAUGCUUAUUUUACCUUUACAAUAAUAGUUAAACAUGCUCAACAUUUAUAAUAAUUUAUUAUGCCUUUCAAGAGUAUGUUGUUUUCCUCCCUCCCUUUUAUCCUCUUUUUUUUUUUUUAUUGUUGUUCUCCAAUUGCUACUUACUUCUAUCUGUUAAUAUUUUGUAUACCUAGAAUAGAAUUUUAAAUUUAUUUUAAUUGAAUUCUUUUACUUUUCUCUAACUUUUUUAUUUUAUUGUUAAUAAUUCCUCAUUAAUAUUAUAAUACAACAAAUUAUAUGUCUCUUAAUUACAUUUUCGAGCAUAAUAUAAUCUAGCAUUCAAUAAUUUAAAUACACAUAAUAUUACAACUUACAAUAGAGCAUUUAUGAAUAGUAAAAGUGUUAAAUAAGUUUGACAAAAAUAAAUUUCAAUCAAUUAGUGGUAUUAAAAAGUAUAAAGUAAACAAUUUUUUUUAGUUAAUCUAUUUAAUGUACAAUUUAUUGUCUAAAAUUCGCAAUACAAGCAAUAUAAAAUAUUAUUCUAUUUAUGAUGUGUUUCCAAGGAGUUUAAAAAGUGAGUGUGGGUUUGUGUAUGUGAAAGUGUGUUAGUGUGUGAAAAUUAUUUAUGUAUGUGAAAAAAAUCUUUUCAUAUGUGUAAAUGUAUAAGAGUGUUUAUGCAUCACAAUGUAGUAAUUAAUAUGUUGGGUCAUACUUGAGUCAUGAAUUUGAGAUGACACUGUCCAAAAUCAAUCUAAUAUAAAGUUAAACGGGUUGGGAUUAAACUAUUUACGUGAAAAUUCAAUAUCAACCCGCCCAACUCACCCAAUUGCCAGUAUAUAACAUUUUGACUAGGACUUGUGAUAUUAGUAUCAGCUAUACAAGAAUAAAAUAGGUAAAUAAUAUUUGCACUUUAAAAUAAAUCUUUGCAUUUCAUCUUGUGAACGCAAAAGAAAUGCUAAAGCAGAAUUCUACGAGUUAGUAUUUUUGGAAUGUAAAUAUCGCUUAUGUUAAAAGGGUCUAUCUAACCCUAUGGACAACCGUUAAGAUAUAUUUCAUGUGUCAUAUUUUUUAAAAUGUAAUAUUAAUUAGGGAAAGUAAAUUAAUACAAGAGAGGGUAGGUGAGAUUAAAUUAAAAUAUAUUUCAGGUGUCAUUUUUUUAAAUGUAAUAUUAAUUAGGGAAAGUAAAUAAAUACAAGGGAGAGUAGGUAAGAAUAAAUAAGAAAAGUAUAUAAAUGUAAGGAAUGGUAAUAAUUGUUAUUAUGUGUAUAUAUAUUAUAAGUUAGGUGAAUGUUAAGUGUGUUAAUGAGUGCUCCAACGGCAACUGUUAGAAAAAAAUCCAUGUUAAAAUAAGCAUUUGGCUAUUGAGUGCCCUCUAAGAAUGAAACUAAUUUGGAAAAAUAAUGAGUGCCCUCGAGGCACUCAAUUGGUAAUAGUGAAACUAAUUUGGAAAUAUAUCUAAGUGUAGCAGAACCAAUAACUGUGAUUAUAUGCAUUCAUAUGGUACCAUGUUAAGUGUAAUUUAAAUGUCUUGCCAAAUGUCUCCGAGGCAUUCGGUUAAAAAAUCUUUAAAACAAAUCAUACUAUACGUGUAUAGAUCUUUUCCCACAAAGAAAUCCAUUUGUAAAUAAAUAAAACUACUCGUGCUUAGAAAUCUGUUUACAAAAGAAUCCAGUACCAGGUGAAGGUAAAGUGUAGUAAGCUCGAAACUACUCCGGUUUUUAAUACUUGUUUUCCGAGCAAACAGUUAGUAACUACAGUAAUGAAGGGGUAGUUGGAUUAGAUAGUAAAUCAGGAGAGAUUGUAAACAAGAGAUUUUGAAUUAAAAAUCUUCCACUUAUAAAAAAGAUACAAUAAUAAGGGAUAGACCAAUUAUUUGUUAUAGUCAAACACCAAAAUUGUAAAAUUCCCGGUCCAACAUCAAGAAAGUGAUUUACUAGUUUCCAAAUGAAGCUUUUGACAAUUUUCUGAAGUCUUGAGUGCAAAAUCUCUAACAUCUUCCAUUAACCAUGUAGUAUGCAAGCACUAAGAACCAAUGUUGUUAGACCCGAAUUGGAUCGACCGGUUCGACCAAUCUAAUCGUGAACCAGCCUUCUUUCGAACUAGUAUGUAGUAUAAAAUAGUUUUUGUAAAAAAUCAAUUAAAAUCAUAAAAAACCGGCUUAAUUAGUGAUCCGAUUCAAUUUGUUAGGCCAAUCUGAUCGUGAACCGGCCUUCUUUCGUGCUAGUAUGUAGUAUAAAACCACUUUUGUAAAAAAUCAAUUAAAACCAUAAAAAACCGGCUUAAUUAGUGACCCGAUUCAAUUUGUUAACCUGGUUCUCAAAAAUUUCUUUCUUCUUUUCCCCAAACAUAAUUUGAAUUAUCUAAAUUGUACACUUUCAUUUAUUAAUAGGAAUAAGAAAACGUCAUCUAUUUAGUGUAAAUAUCAAAAUCACUCGCUUUUCUAAAUGAUUUUUAAAUCAAAAUGUUUUCAUCCUUAUGAUCUUAUUAAUUUAGCAUAAGUGAUUCCAACUUGCAUUAAUUUGUUUUAAUUUAGUUUUUCAAGUAAUUUUGGAGAAUGGACAUAUUUUAACCAUGAAUUUACAUUUUUAUAUAUAAUUGUUAGAUGUAUAUUUGAUUGAAAGUCUAAUAUUUUUGGAACAUUUUUCAUGAUUGGCCAAAUAUAACCAAGAACUUAAUUUCAAUAUUUCUAAAACUUAUAAAAAUAUAAAAUAAUUAUAACAUCAUGAUGAUGUCAGCAAAUUUUUUGGAAUGGUCCGACCGAUCCGACCAAUUGACCCCCAACCCAAUAAUUUAGCCGAAUCGCUACUCGGUCCGAGUUUAACGACAUCGCUAAGAGCAGCAUUAGAGUGUCAAACUUCCUUUUGCAAGUCAAUGUCAAACAUCCCACCUCUUCAAAAUAAUUUUUUAAAAAACAAUAAAGAAAAUGUCAAACCCCUGUCAAAAAUGGAAAAUAUUUAAAUAUCUGUCAGAAACCACUCUAUUGACAUUAUUAAUCGUUGCAAUAAUAACAACAUAGUCUGAAUACAAAUUGGAAUUUACCUGUAAAGAUUUUUUUUUCUUCAUUUUUAAAUGAUUUCCGGUUAUCCAAGUAUGCAUUUUGGCUAUAAAUAAAGCCGGGCACCCAAUCUCUAUAGUCUAUAAUUUGCUCAACUUAUUUCAUCAAGUCAAACAAUCCUUUUCUGCCAUCAUGGCACUAAGGCCAUCUACCAACUUAGUCUUAACACUGAUGCUCAAUUUGCUUGCCAUUUUUUCUCCAAUGGCAAUGGCUAGUGAUGCUGAUAUCUUGACAGAUUUUAAUCUUCCACCAAAUGUAUCAAACGUGGAUGCUACAUUUUUCACGUUUACUGCUGCAAGAUCACUUGUAGGAGCACAACCACCGACGGCCCUGAAUUUUCUCUUUGCUGACAAAACUAGCUUCCCUGCCCUGGAUGGCCAAAGUGUUUCCUUAGCCGUCUUGCGAAUGCCUGGAGGUGCUGUCAACCCUCCACACAGCCAUCCGCGCGCGACCGAGCUCCUUCUGCUCAUUUCUGGCUAUUUGGAAGUGGGAUUUAUAGAUUCAACAAAUAAGCUCUUCAAUCAAACACUAAAUGCUGGUGACAUGUAUGUGUUUCCUAAGGGACUCGUGCAUUAUCAGUUCAAUUAUGCACCUGAUGUUCCUGCCAUUGCUGUUUCUGCCUUUGGAAGUGCAAAUCCUGGCCUUGUGUCCAUUCCUUCCAAUUUGUUCCAAACCGAUAUUGAGGACAGAAUCUUGGCUUGGUCAUUCAAAACUGAUAUCCCUACCAUUCAGAGGAUCAAGGCUAGCGUUCAGGGUAGCCCCCAAGCAUAGAAAUUGGCUGAAAACUUCAAGAUUUUGCAAACUUAUAAAGAGAACAAAUAUUGUCUGAAAUUUCUCUUUAUAUAUCUAUUGCGGACCAUUCACCAUGUUGUUGGGGUUAUUGCGUCUAAAUUAGUUGUUUGUAUCCCUUUACAGUUUAGAAAGAGAGAUUACUCUCUGAAACUUUAUCAGGGAGCAGUUUAAAUUUAUCGAAUUUGAUGCCAAAAGAUUAAUCAGAUUGGCUUGAAAUUUAAAAUCAAAACAGAUCGAACAAUCUAUACUAUGUCAUUAGAGCUCGUAACGGCUGUUCAUCUCUGUUGGAUCCGGCACGAAACAUUCGAUACGCCUAAGUCAACCAGGGAGUAAAAAUCAAAAAAUGGGUCAGCAUAAUUAAUGCAGUGCUUUUCUUUUUCCUACUUUUAAAAUAAUUUGGAUGGUUUCGACAUAGAAAAAAGAUUGGUUUCAAACACUUGAAAACUUUGCCUCGAAGCACUCUCCCCCUCAAAAAAAAAGUUUUUUUUUUUCGUUUUCUGGGGUUGUGAAAGUUUGGAAGGAGAGGAGCUAACACAAAUAUCGUUCAAAAUUUUCCAUAGAAACUGUAAGCAGUCUGAUAAUAGAGAAACAAUGGAUGGUUAAUUUAAGAUUUUUUAGCUUUUUCUUCUUUAUGCGACUGGUGUGGCUGUGUCCAGCUGGAUCCUUUGAAGUUCCGAGCGCAACCACAAAGGACUUUCGACCUAGUCAAGUAUGAAUUGACAAUUCAUUUGAAUUUUAAAUUAAUGGUCGAGAUCAAUUCGAACUCGAUUAGAACGUUCUCGACCGUCAAAUUUAUUAACCUCGACCUAGUCAAACGCGUAUUGAUAAUUUAUGAGAAUUUUAAAUUUCAAUUUGAACUUGGCUAGAAUCUAGAACGAUCUCGACUGUCAAAUUUAUUAACUAGGUUGCAUUGCGGGGAUCCAAAUCCGUCGAGGUAACUCAUCAUAAACAGCUGAAACAAGUUAGUCAAAGACAUUUAUAAGGAGAUGGAAUUUUUUUUUUUUCUAAAAGCUCAAAAUUUUAUUUCAUCAGAAAACCAGAAAUUUUGUGCAUGUUACAGAUCUAGAGUGAAAAAUAGAAUGAUCAACAAAUCUCCAGCUGAGGCUCAGCUCCCAAUUUUUCUUUGCCUUAGCCACUUUUCUCCAGAUCUAGAGUAAAAACUAGAUUGAUCAAAUGCCCAAUUGAGGCUUAGCCCCCACCUUUUCUUUUCCAUAACCAUUUUUCUCCAAUUGUGCACUGCAUGGCAAACAUCUUGAACAAUCACAGCUAGGGACAGCUUACUAAGCAAAUUUGGAAAAAGAUUUGGACUUUGCAUAACAGCUCCUCCAAGCUAUUUCAUCACUCAAUCCAUUGAUCCAACAGCACCACGCAGACACAAAAUGUUGACAAAACGACACCUAUAUAUAUAUAUAUAUAUAUAUAUAUAUAUAUUCUAUGUUGGGAAAAUGCUUCAAGGGUCCAUAAAUUAUUUGCGAAAUUCAGUUCAGUCGGAAAAAGAAAAAAAAAUAAAGACACUUAAAUUUGUGGCUCCGAUAUAAUUAGUUGUAUCACAACGCAACUCGAAUGCAAAACAAGAUACUCCAAUUUUCAGUUUCGCACUAACAAUUAUCUAUUUUCAAUGCUAUGGUCACCAGGCAUAAAAUGGUGGCAACAAGUAAUGAUAAGACGGAAUGAUUGUUGAGUCAAGUUGUAAAAAAAUUUGAUUUGCCGCGCCUACUAAGAUUUUUAUGCACAAUAAAAGUGCAUAAAAAAUUUGGUUGCCUUUGAUGUUGAAAGGGGUACGUACUCAUUAUUUAAUGGACAAAAAAGCACGUAAGGUAAAUCCAGCUUAAAUAUACAUACAAAGGUAAAACAACGAACUGGUCUAUUCCCUCUAUCUCAUAAAGAAAAAAAAAAAAAAGUCUACUUCUAUUUUCACACAAAUAUGAGACUUGCAAGGUAAUAUAGUUAAUGCAAUAAUUUUUUAUUUUUUAUUUUUUUUUUGUAAAUAUUCCUCCAUUAAUACAGGGACUCAUAUUAUUCUAUUCAAAGUAGUUGUUCAUGUUUCUAAGUCAUUAUUGGAAUUUUUCACUUUUUCAAUACUAGAUGACUCAUUUUUUGUUGAUAAAAAUAUUCGUUAAAUACGGAUAAAUUAAUAAAUUUAUAAAUUAAUUGCCUGCUUGAAAAGGAAAUAGACCUAUAAUUUGACAUAAACACAAAACAAAGGUGAGGCUACAUAUAUGGAAUUGGAAUGGAGGAAAUAUUAAAGAAGCAAAUGUUUCGAAAGGACUUCUCUUAUUGCCAUAUGUGACAUCAGAGAAAUCAUUUUUUACUUGCACUCAUUUCAGAAAAAAAUAAAGAACAAAUUUUUACAUGAAUAUAAGGAUACCGAAGGCGGUUAUGGGUCCUUCCUCUGAGUUGGUACUUUUUCUUGUCUCUCUUGAAUUUAUUCGGCCGCGAAUUUUGUUGUUUUGCCGACCCGAUUGACAUACGUACGUCUGAAUACGUCGAAUUUCUACAUUAAAUCCAUGAUAAGAAUUUCCGCGGUUUCCAUUUGAGAAAUCAAUCCACAUCAAGCCAUCAACAGCAAACAUAAAUUCGAGUUUCACAAAAACAGCUUAAAGUCGAAUGUGUUGUAGUAGUUUGAACUUUUGAAUGGUAACAGCAGAGCAGUGCUAAUAUUAUUAAUAUCUGCUGUAUCAACAUUAUAAAGGGAUAAUUGCAGAAACCUCCCCUGAGGUUUUUGAUACUAGCACUCACCUCUCCUGUGGUUUAAGAAAUAACACAGGCCUGCCCUAGGAGGAAAUUGGGGCCUAUUGCUGACGAAAGAUUGUGGGAAUUUGCUUUUAUAUCCUAAUUAUUUGGAGAAACCUAAUGAACGAAUUUUGCAAAAGAAACAUGUUUCUUGUCAACAAAUUAAGUAACUAAUUAAGCUACCUGUUAGUUCUACCAUGUUGCAUAACAAAAAUAUAACUUGUUGGGGUUGUUUUCACUCUCAAAAAUCUUCAAUGUUGCCUUUCGACUACAGCUGCAAUAUUUGUUCUUAAUUGUGAAAGAUGUUGGGGAGUUUUAUGAUCCUUCCCUAUGGCUCGAAGAAGCCAUUCUUUUUGCUGCAACACUUCACCUCAAAUUGCCAAUCUAAAUUCAAUGAAAGUAGCUAUCUUACCCUCACAAACAGCCACACACAUUGAUUGCUAAUAGAGAGUUUCAUGUGUCAAGUUUAUCCUUCAUAAGCUGUUGCAAUAACUUGCAAAUCUAGCCAUUACUUAGUUUGUGAUACUUUAGUUGUUUUAUGUGAAGUAAAAGGAUUUGCACUUACACCCCUUAAAAUUUAUUAAUUGUUAAUUGCUUUGUGGUAUUUUGUCAUUCCUUUGUCAAUAUUAUUUGGCAUGCAGCACAAAGAGCACAUUGGCACGACUUUCUCAUCUCAUUUCUUAAAACAAUAUUUUAAUGGCACUUUUGUCUAGCCUGGGUUGAAUAUGCAUCAGAAUUAGUAAGUUCAAGGAAGGCCAGUGCUAUUUCUUAAACCAUAGGAGAGGUGAAUGCAAGUGUCAGAAACUUCAGGGGAGGUUUUUGCAAUUUUUCCUAUUAUAAAUAUGUAUUAAUAUUAGGGAUAAUUUCAGAUACCUCCCUUGAGGUUUCUGACAGUCUCACUCUCCUCCCUUGUGGUUUCAAAAAUAUCACAAACCUCCCCUGUCAGAAUUUAGGUCUCAUUUCUUACAUCAUCAUGGCCAAAAAGACUUAAAUACCCUCACAAGUCAACUAAUAUUUCGUGAUUAUCAGGACAAAUACAUUCCAACUCACGUAAUUAUUUUUUUCUACGCUAUAUCUAAUCUCUCUUUUAUAUAUAUACAUUGUCAAAUAACUAACACCUAACAUUAUGUAUAUUUUUUUAAUACCUAACAAUUCCAAAUUUAUGCGUACCAUUACACUACCUUUUAUAGAUAUACACAGUGAAGUAACUAACAUCUAAUAUAAUGUAUAUAUUUGUAAACUGAUUGUACCUCAUAAAUCACCCCGUGUAAGGUGUUUAUAAGCAAAUUAGUAUUAGUCAUAUAGAUAAAAUUACAUACCCACUACAGCUUGUAAGAAUAUGCACAAGUAGGUCAAAGUAUCAAUAACUAUUCCAAAUGUAUACAUACCAUUGCACUAUGCAUAUUGUUGCGAUGACUAAUUGCAAUAUGCAUGUGAACAAAUAACUGCAUGUUCAACAAUUUCUAUGCAUCGUACUUGAUCGAUAACACGAUGUGCAUUAUUUCAAUCAGAUUGUACAUUCACUAAGUAUUUAUAUACAUGCUACUUAUUGAAGUAAACUAUCUCUCCACUAAAUAUUUAAUGCACUCUCAUAAGCACUAAUGGUUGAUUUAAUAUCCCUUUUUUCUAAUUUAUUUUUUAUUUUUAUUAGUUUUCAUUNNNNNNNNNNNNNNNNNNNNNNNNNNNNNNNNNNNNNNNNNNNNNNNNNNNNNNNNNNNNNNNNNNNNNNNNNNNNNNNNNNNNNNNNNNNNNNNNNNNNNNNNNNNNNNNNNNNNNNNNNNNNNNNNNNNNNNNNNNNNNNNNNNNNNNNNNNNNNNNNNNNNNNNNNNNNNNNNNNNNNNNNNNNNNNNNNNNNNNNNNNNNNNNNNNNNNNNNNNNNNNNNNNNNNNNNNNNNNNNNNNNNNNNNNNNNNNNNNNNNNNNNNNNNNNNNNNNNNNNNNNNNNNNNNNNNNNNNNNNNNNNNNNNNNNNNNNNNNNNNNNNNNNNNNNNNNNNNNNNNNNNNNNNNNNNNNNNNNNNNNNNNNNNNNNNNNNNNNNNNNNNNNNNNNNNNNNNNNNNNNNNNNNNNNNNNNNNNNNNNNNNNNNNNNNNNNNNNNNNNNNNNNNNNNNNNNNNNNNNNNNNNNNNNNNNNNNNNNNNNNNNNNNNNNNNNNNNNNNNNNNNNNNNNNNNNNNNNNNNNNNNNNNNNNNNNNNNNNNNNNNNNNNNNNNNNNNNNNNNNNNNNNNNNNNNNNNNNNNNNNNNNNNNNNNNNNNNNNNNNNNNNNNNNNNNNNNNNNNNNNNNNNNNNNNNNNNNNNNNNNNNNNNNNNNNNNNNNNNNNNNNNNNNNNNNNNNNNNNNNNNNNNNNNNNNNNNNNNNNNNNNNNNNNNNNNNNNNNNNNNNNNNNNNNNNNNNNNNNNNNNNNNNNNNNNNNNNNNNNNNNNNNNNNNNNNNNNNNNNNNNNNNNNNNNNNNNNNNNNNNNNNNNNNNNNNNNNNNNNNNNNNNNNNNNNNNNNNNNNNNNNNNNNNNNNNNNNNNNNNNNNNNNNNNNNNNNNNNNNNNNNNNNNNNNNNNNNNNNNNNNNNNNNNNNNNNNNNNNNNNNNNNNNNNNNNNNNNNNNNNNNNNNNNNNNNNNNNNNNNNNNNNNNNNNNNNNNNNNNNNNNNNNNNNNNNNNNNNNNNCGACCUCGACCUCCUCGUUCUGCUCUUCAGCUGCCCCGACUCGGUGAAACGCCUCAGCACCCCCUUCCCCGACCUCGGACGCAGUUCCCUCCUCGGAGGGAUCGGCCUCUCUGUCUCGGUGAAAUCCAGCCUCACUGUCUCUUUGUGUGUGCGAGCUGUUCUUGCCAUUAUAACAGAAGAUAAAGAAGUGAACUUACUUUAAAGAAACUGUUUAAGAGAUUGCCGAAGUGAAAGAACACAGGAACAGGGCUCUGGAGUGAUUCACGAUUUUUGAUAAAGAAUGAAAUGGUAAAAAUGGGAUCUAUUUAUAGGUACCCUGGAGAACGGUGAAGAGACGCGUUCUCUCUCCCCUCAUUAAUGAAAAGGCUGCUCGUCUGCUCGCCAAUCUCGCUCCUGUUCAUGAACCUGCCGUCCAGACUGACAGCCAUCGUGUCAGUCCCUUAGUAGUCCCAUCCACUUAGUCAUGAUCAUUGCAUCCCGUGUCUUACACGCUUAUCAGCUUCGGAAGUAACAACUUCGGGAGACCACGAUCUCGCCUUUCUCGAAGCUUGGGGGCUUAGUGAGGAUGGCCAGUUCGGCUCGUGAAGUACCUCCUGAAGUUCCACCUUGGCUGUAGGGGAGCCAGGGUUGACAUCUACCUCAUUAUCACUUCGGCUAAGAUCGUUAGCCGAGGUGACGCCUGAGUAUCCUAAAGCUGCAAAAGGUAGGAGGUGACGCCUGACACACCUGACAUCUGAUGGACGGCUGCUCUGACACACGCCGCCUGAACCUGACAAAUGUCUUGUCACACUUUUUCAUAGAGACUGGUCAAAUCAGUCAGAUACACUGAUCAUCUCAGAUCUUUAGGGACCUGUGCCAGCAGUCCCUCUUCCCAACAAAUCCCCUAUAAAUACCUAACGUAUCCACCAAGAUGGGGGAUGACCAAUUUCUGGUAAAAACCACUCUGACUUCACCCAUUAUUUUCUUACUACUCUGUAACCGAACUGACUUAAGUUUCGGAGUUAUACCGGGGGAUUAAGACCCCUCAUAACUUUAGCAGGUGACUUAGCCGCGGUGACCGCCACGUCCAGAACAUUCUUCCAGUUUGAAGGGCUCACCUCAGCAGGACGGAAAUCUCCUCUUCACUAUACAAUUGCCGUUCUUUCUGGUACAGAAAAAUUUUGUCUUAGCAAUAUAAGGUUCUUUUCGUGACCGAAAGUAGUGGCCACGGACCUACUCCGGCUAGGGAAUUGUAUAAUACUUUUAGGGAAAUGAGCUGCAGAUUGUACAUUACAACAACGUAGAGCUUGUUGCAAAAUUUAUCAUACACCAUUAAAACGAAUUGCUCUGGUAAUGCUCCUCGAAAGUGAAAACAUCUAUAGUACAUAGGCAGCCAGAUUCAAAUGAGUAGGCAAAUAAAGGCUUGUUUGUCACUGUAGAGUGAGGUCCCCUAAUGAUAAAGAAUUUUCAAUUUAGAAAGAAUGCAUGCUUGGGUUUCUGUUAACAGAUAAACCAAUUCUUGAGCAAACUACCCCACUGUCACUAAACCAAUAUGAAGGCGGGGGGUAGGUUUUGGCUUUUUUUUUUUGUUUUUUUGAGGAAAAAAAAACCGCUUUGAACUGAAGAGAUGAAUAGGUCAAAAAGAUAUAGUAGCAGUAGUAGAUGAUAGGCAUUUGAGUUGAUGAGUUCAUUCUUGAUGGCAGAUAAAAAGGGAAAGAAAAGAAAAAUUUAAGUAUGCUGUACAUUAUGAUGAAAAAGGACUUCAAGAUAGGGUCAAGAGUUAUCACUUUAGCUUUAACUUGGCAUCUAAUUUAAGCAAAAUUCCUAAUACCCAUAUGUCCCGUUAGUUUCUAUUGCUUUUCUUUAACCUACUUUAGAAGGUCUAAAUCAUUUUGUUGUCUAUUUAUCAUAUCUCCACCGAUACUUGGAGAAAUAAGUGGAGCUAAGAUUUGCACUCCUAUGCCUUCUCCGCUAAAGCAUCUUUAUUUAACGACAACAAAAUGAUAGAACAUGACAUGUAAUGAUAAUGUGCGGGAGCCUUUUUUUCUUUUUUUGUGGGGGAAUUCUAUUUUCGUGGCAGUAAUAGUAUACCCGCCCAUUUCCUCACCGGAUAAUUGGAUAGUAUUUUGUAAUCAAAUCAUAAUGGAUCAAUAAACCAUCCAAUUAAAGUCGAACUUAGUUUCCACUAAUUCAUUAUGAGAUGGCAUAAAAUGGGUCUGAGCAAGAGACUUGUGGACUCCCUCUUUUUCAGUUCGGGCCAAGAAAUGUUCACGUAAAAGUUAGCAUCUCACAUCUACUCUUUUCUUUAACUCUUGUCAGUUUUCAGGAAUUUGUGUAACUGGGACUUGCUUCCUACAGCACCUUAAUACUGUAGGAAGUAGGAACACAGUCACAUCCUCGUCGUGGAAUGUAUAGGAAAUGUUUUGUUGACUGAAGAAUCAAGUCUCACAUGCCAAAACACUCACCUUCAAAGCUCAAUGAUAUUGUCCACCACUAACAGUAAUUUAAAAAAAAAAUUGUAACAACAUGACGAUGGAUGAUGAAUAAGAAGGUCUUUUCAUGGAUACUAGUGAGACAGUCUGCGCGUUGCGCAGGAAGACUAAUAUUUCCCGUGUUAAUUGUUUUUUAUUGUAUGAGUUUAUUAGUAUAUAUCUCUGUUAUUAUUUAAUUCAUGCGGAUCAUUAGAAAAUUAUAAUUUUUGUUAAAAGUUAACUAUUAUGAAAUAUAUAGAAUGCAUGAGAACAAUAAUAUAUAGAAUGCAUAAGGAUAAAUUAGAAAAUUGUAUAAGGUUAUUUUGCAUUUGGAUCAGGAUAAUUAGAAAAUUGUAAAGUGAAUCAUUCCAAAGAGUAUUAAUCAUUAUUGACACAAAAAAUAGGGGAUCCUGAAAAUCAAUUAAACACUUGAACCAUAGAACUUGACAUUGCUAAAAAUUAAUCACCACAUGUCACAGUAAUAAAACCCAUUUUUAAAGUUACUAAAGCCAACAAUAGUUUAUUAAUUGUUUCCUCAAUAAUUGUGCAUUUAUAGAACACUUAACAAUUUUAUUCUAUGUCAACCCAACAAUAUUUUAUUAAUUGUUUCCUCAAUAAUUGUGCAUUUACAGAACAUUUAUCAAUUUUAUUUCAUGUCACAGCAAUAAAAACCAUUUUUAAAGUCACUAAAGCCAACAACAAUUUAUCAAUUAUUUCCUUUGUAAUUUUGCAUUUCCAGAACACUUCAAAAGCAAAUAAUUAACCACAAAAAAUCAACUUUCAUAGGUUUCACUUUUUAUACCACCAAUUUUGAAUUCAGUCAACAUGUCCGAUAAAUAUACCAAAACUAUAGCAGUUGUUAAAAAACAAACAAAUAAUUGAUGAAAAUAGCCCUAACAUCCAAUAACAAUUGCAGGAAAAGCGCUUGACAAAAAAAACCACUGUGCAUAAGGCAACUUUUCCUUUAUAUUGUUAGAUAUGUAUAUCUCUAUUACUCACUAAGUUCAAUAAAUAUAGGCCUAUUUCUUUUUCCAUUAAUAUUAGAUCAUUAAUCCACAGGAAAAAACAUGUAUUAUUACAUUAUUUUUCAAAUUUAGAGUACUUUAAUUUUCAAAUGUAAGAAAUAGUCUAAUUAAUGUUACAUGUUUAAAUAAAUAAUAUACAAAGAUUAGCACACAAUAUCGCUUUUCAAUUUGCAACAAUUUAGAGUCAUUAGAGAAAACAAAUAUGUUAAAAUUUUUUAUAAUAAUUAUAUAUACACUAAACAUGGAUAUAUUAGUAAAAUAACAAACUAAUUAUUCUUUUAAAAAGGAAAUAGACUCAUAAUGUAGCACACAUAGAAGACAAAAGUAAGCUCAUGUUUAUAGAAUAUAUAUAUAUAUAUAUAUAUAUAGAAUGAAAAGUAUAAUAAUAAAAAUAAGAAAAUUAAAAUUUUUUCAAUAAUUAUAUAGACUAAGUAUGUAUAUAUAGACUAAUAUAUAUCCUUCUAAUUGUACAUUUGAAAAAGCUAUAGAAUUAGAAACCAUUUUUAGUUGAAACCUAUGGCAUCUUAACCGAUUUUGCUUACUUAUAUGAUGCCAAUGUUGGACUUGUUAUUUUUUCCCUCUGGCUCAAGAAUUACAGCAUAAUCGCUUGACCAAAAUGGAGCUAUUCAUUAUCCAAUUCUCCCUAUUAUAUAUUUAGAUAUAUAUAUAUAUAUAUAUAUAUAUUGGAGAGCCUGAGAGAGAUUUUCUUCUUUUUUUUUUUCCUUUUUUUCUGGUUUUCUUGGUGAGGCGGCCCGGGGUGGGUUGAUAUUGGAGAAGAUAAAAGGGCAUAUGGCAGAGUUCAAAAACAAGGCCUGCAGCAUUACUUACAAUAGAGAGCGUACAGGUACAGCUCUCUUUUGCGAGUCCUAGCCCCUGUAGCCCACAUAGCACAAUAAUACAGCUAACAAGCCUCAGCUAGAGCCAGACCUUUUUAUUGAAAUAUAAUGCCAAGAGCCAUCUUAAUAAUUGUUGUCUUUUUCCAGCAAAAGAGAAUCGGAUACCUUUAUGGUAGGAACUUUCCUACCAUAGGCAGCUCCUCAGAGAAUGACAUGCGUAUUUAUAAAAUAGGAACUCACGGACCGUUAUAUUGCAGUGGUAAUGCACAUGGAGACAAACCAAACAUGACAUGUCCGGAUGCAGCCUUUUUUCCCUUCCAAUUCCUCCAUUCACUGUGCAUUAUUUUCCCACUGCUUUAUUACAUUUAAAAAAUUAUGAAACUAUAAUUUUGUGCACCUAAUAUACCAAACAAUUUAAUAAAAUUAAUAACAACAUACCAACAAUAUAUACCCAUGACAUAAAUAUACUAAGCAAUUAUAAAAAUUAUUAGGAUUAUAUAAUUACUUUAGAAGUUGCUCCCAAACACCGUGCAACUAAAUUUUUUCUUCAAAUUAACGAUAGUACGAAAAAAAGACUAAUUAAUGAAAAAUGAUCUCGAAAAAUUUUUAAUUCACAGUCACAAUAUGUUAAUUCAUGAUAAAUACAAAAAAGUAUGGUACUUUGAUCAUAUAAUGAAGGAAAACCAUAAAAAACAGGCCAUUUACGGAAAAAGUUUUCAUUAAUAAAAAUACCAACUCUUCACGGCUUUCUUAUCAGUCCUUCAACGUAUGAGCAAAAUGCCAAUAAUUAAAUUAGUAAUUUUUUUAUUUAUACAUAAUUAAAUUUUUUUUACAUUUCCACAAAAAACAAAUGAAAAUUUUUUAUCAAAAAGUACAAAAGUCAAAAUGAUUAGUCUAAAAGGAAAAGAAAUAACAGAUAUGUACAUUACUUGUAUUUUACGUUCGAAAUGCUAUAGUGCUGUUUUUGAAAAACACCCUCAAAAACAUUCUCAAAAACAUCUAAUUCAAACGGAACCAAUCUUCAUUAUUUAAAGGAAAAAUCGUUCAAAAUGUCCAUCACAUUUUACAAGAUGACUUUUUUCGUAUCUCACUUUUAAAAGUGUAAUUUUACGUCCCUUAUAAAUUCACAUUGACCAAAUUUGGCCCCUGCUUAGGUUUCCGGCUAGUUUUUGUCGGAAUCCAUCAUGUGACUUGUAUAUGAUCAUUUUUUAAGGAUAAAAUUAUCAAAUCAAAUUUUUACAUAAUCUGAUUAUAGUCCCUCACAUUUCACAAAAUGAAUUUUUUCGUCCCUAACAUUUUACAAAAUGAGUUGUUUCGUUCCUCACAUUUCAAAAAAUGAAUUUUUCCAUCCCUCAUAUUUUUUAAAAUAAAUUUUUUCAUCUCUUAUUGAUCAUGUAUACGAAUAGCUUUUUUUCUAUAAACCCACGUAUAUGUCUAUUUGAUUUUACCUGAACAGUAUGAAUAACAUGUAAUUUAUCUCUAUUAGAUUUCAUCUAAACAUGCUAAUCGUAGUUAUACACAUGCUAUUCAAUAGAUAUAUAUAGGGGUUUUAAACUAAUAAUUUUUUUUGAAACCCAUGUAUAUAUUUAUAUGAUUUCACCAUUUGAACCUAUUCAAUAUUUGUGCAUUUCUCUUUUAGUAAUAAUUUAUUUAUUGAGUUGUAUAAUAAGGUCAUCUAAUUAAUGGGUGCUAACUCGAAUUCUAUAAUUGUGUUAACAAAUUUCAAUUUAAAUUUGAAAUUUCUACUCGACACUUUUAAGACCAACAGUUGAAUUACUUGGCUUGUGAUUGUGUUAAAAUUUGAAAGUGCCAAUCACUUAUUUCUUUUUGUCAUACAUUUCUUUUGUUUAUUUUUUUAUCCAAAUUUAAUUCGAUAUAAACAUUCGAUAAUAUUUAGGAUUAAAUGUCUUCUUUAUUUUCAAAUUUCGAGUAAAAGAAAAUGAAUAUAAGUGAAAAACUAACAAUUUUUUUAAACUCAUGUAUAUAUCUAUUUAAUUUCACUUGAGUAAUACGAAUAGUGUAUAAUAUAUCUCUAUUUGAUUUCACAUGCUAUUCGUACUGUUCAGGUGAAAUCAAAUAAAUAUAUACAUGGAUUUAAAAAAAAUUAUUCACAUACAUGAUCAAUAAAAGAUGAAAAAAUUCAUUUUGAAAAAUGUGAAGAACGAAAAAAUUUAUUUUAUGAAAUGUGAGGGAUUAUUAAUCGAAUUAUAUAAAAUUUGAUUUGACAAAUUUGCCCUUAAAAUAUAAUCAUGUGCAAGGCACGUGAUGAAUUCCGAUAAAAAAACUAGUCGGAAACCUAAGUAGGGACCAAAUUUGACCAAUGUGAAUUUAUAAGGGACGUAAAAUUACAUUUUUAAAAGCGAGGGACGAAAAAAGUUAUUUUGUGAAAUGUGAGGGACAUUUUAAAUGAUUUUUCCUUAUUUAAAAUACCAAAUCUGUGAAUGUGUUUUAACUGUUAUCCAUUGGUAUUUUAAAGUAUCAUUUUUCCAUCAAAUACCAACUCUUUAACACCCAUUUUUUCAUAAAUAAAUGUAUUUAUCGGAUAAAAUAAAAAUAUGCCCGUUUUUCAAUAAAUAGCUAUUUUCAAUAAAUAGCUGGUGUUUUAUUGAAAAAUGAAUUUUUUUUUAUUUUAUCCGAUAAAUAAAUUUAUUUAUGAGAAAAUGGGUACUCUGUUCUUAUAAUAGAGAAAAGUUAUAAAGAGCUAGCAUUUUAUGAAAAAAUGGGUACUCUGUUCUUAUAAUAGAGGAAAGGCAUAAAGAGUUGGUGUUUUAUUGGAAAACAGAUUUAUUUUUAUUUUAUCCUAUAAAUAAAUUUAUUUAUGAAAAAAUGGGUGUUAAAGAGCUGGUAUUUGAUGAAAAAUGAUAUUUUAGGAUACCAAUGGAUAACAGUUAAAAUACAUUCACAGAUUUGGUAUUUUAAAUAAUGAAGACUGUGAUUUAAAAUGCCAAAUCUGUGAAUGUGUUUUAACUGUUAUCCAUUGGUAUCCUAAAAUAUUUUUUUCAUCAAAUACCAAUGCUUUAACACCCAUUUUUCCAUAAAUAAAUUUAUUUAUCGGACAAAAUAAAAAUAUACUUGUUUUCCAAUAAAACACUAGCUCUUUAUGGUUUUCCUCUAUUAUAAGAACAGAGUACCCAUUUUUUCCAUAAAAACCAGCUCUUUAUGGCUUUCCUCUAUUAUAAUAACAGAGUACCCAUUUUUCCAUAAAUAAAUUUAUUUAUCGAAUAAAAUAAAAAUAAACCCAUUUUUCAAUAAACACCAGCUAAUUCUUGGAAAUAACUAUUUAUUAAAAAAUGGGUAUAUUUUUAUUUUAUUCGAUAAAUAAAUUUGUUUAUAGAAAAAUGGAUGUUAAAGAGUUGGUAUUUGAUGGGAAAAUGAUACUUUAGGAUAUUAAUGGAUAACAGUUAAAACACAUUCACAGAUUUGGUAUUUUAAAUAAUGAAAAUUGGUUCCAUUUGAAUUAGAUGUUUUUGAGGGUAUUUUUCAAAAACAGCACUGUAGCAUUUCGAACGUGAAAUACAAGUACUGUACAUAUCUGCUAUUCCUUUCCCUUUUAGACCAAUCAAUUUGACUUUUGUGCUUUCUGAUAAAAAAUUUUCAUUUGUUUUUUGUGAAAAUGCAAAAAAAAAAUUUAAUUAUGUAUAAAUCGAAAAAUUGCUAAUUUAAUUAUUGGCACUUUGCUCAUACGUUGGAGGACUGAUAAGAAAGCCGUGAAGAGCUAGUAUUUUUAUUAAUGAAAACCUUUCCCGUAAAUGGCCUGCUCUUUAUGGCUUUCCUUCAUUAUAUGAUCAAAGUACCAUACUUUUUUGUAUUUAUCACGAAUUCACAUAUUGUGACUGUGAAUUAAAAAUUUUUCGAGAUCGUAUUUUCAUUAAUUAGUCUUUUUUUUUCGUACUAUCGUUAGUUUGAUGAAAAAUUUAGUUGCACAGUGUUUGGGAGCAACUUCUAAAGUAACUAUAUAAUCCUAAAUAUUUUUAUAAUUGCUUAGUAUAUUUAUGUCAUGGGUAUAUAUUAUUGGUAAUUAGAAAAUUAUAGUUUCACAAUUUUUUAAAUGUAAUAAAGAAGUGGGGAAACAAUGUACAGUGAACGGAGGAAUUAGAGGGGAAAAAAGGAUGCAUCCGUAUAUGUCUUGUUUGGUUUAUGUCAAUCGGUAUUACUACUGCAACAUAACGGUCCGUGAGCUCUUUAUUUUACAAAUACAUGUGUCAUGCUCUGAGAGACUGCCUACGGUAGGAAUGGUCAAAGGCUUCCUACCAUAAAGGUUUCCAAAGAGAAUCAAUGAAGCAAUUCUGACGCUUAACCGAAUCUUCCUAAAGCCAGAGCCAGCCACAUGACAAGAGACCAAAAUGAUGCUUAACAAUUGCCCUCAAAGUUGCCCAAAAUUACGUGAUAACCGCUUGACCAACAUUGCACUGUUCAUAACCCAACUCCCGCUUUUAUAUAGUUAGAUGUGCAUUAGGUUGCAUGAAGCCCACAUGGGGUUUUGCUUCUCGACUAAAAGAAACCUAAUCCCAAAAUAAAAAUACUCAAACAACCUCGAGAUUUUAGAACUUUUGAUGGCUUGAACUUUCACCGAAGAGGUAACCAUUCUGCACAUGGGGCCAAAUAAAAUAGAAUGAAUAGUCAAAAAGCUCACUAAAUUAUCAAGUAUGGUAUGGAUAGUUAUCAAAAUUUUCUUGUAGCCAUAAAGGUCACUAAACUGGCAAAAAAGGACCAGUGAGGGUAUUUUAUCAAAUUUUACCGGUAAAACAACUGAUUGCCAAAGAUCAUUUUGCCUAAAAUGUCAUUGAAUUUCAAUGAAUUAAUGUUGUUUUAUCGGUAGAAUUUGACAAAAUGAUUUAAGUGGUCCGUUUUUGCCAAUUUAGUGACCUUUGUGACUACAAAAAAAUGUUUGAAGAUUGACUCUUGCCAUAUUUAGUAGUUCGGUAACCCUUUUGACCAUUCACUUAACAAUAUACAAUCUUCAUGGUAGCUUGAGACUUCUUUGCAUCAUAAUGCGUUAAAGUAUCCUUGUAGCUAGGAGCCAAUUUGCUGAGCACAAAGGGCUGCUCCAAAUUGACCAUUGAAGAAUGCCAAAACAAAAUAAUAAAAAAAAAUUUCUUUACAAGAUUUGGUGAGCUCAAAGUAUGUAUAACUUCACGCAAUUAGGACAAACACAUAGAGCCCUCGAGAGCAAUCAUUAAGGGCUGCUUUUUUUUUUUUAAUGUAUCAUGACAAAUAAAGAGAAUGUAGAGUCAAAAAUAAAUGCACAAUUCAUCAACAGGGACAAUAACCAUUCCAUCAGCACCCUGCCACCGAAUAGGAUCCAGGAUCCAAGCCAUAGCAACAAAAUUACAAGAAUAGUGGCUUGCUGAAGAGUAACAUUCAAACAUAAUAAUGAGACUUUUGUAUGGAUAGUGUAUUAUUUGAAAUAAUUACUGUGACACUUUUUAUGAUGUGAUGUAUGUGAGAUAAAAAGGUGAUUGGAAAUAUAAAAAGGUGUGUUGGAAAAUGUAUCUAUGAUGCAAGCGAAAUAUUAUUUGGAAUAUUUGGGAUAUUUUGCACUCUAGAAUCAAGAUGCAUAGUUCUGACUUGACGGUCACAAACUCAUUCAACCUUUUUAACUUCAUCUUACAACAAUUCAUCCUUUAUGAUUUGCAUUUGACUAGUGCUUUAAAACAAAAUUCCAUGCAUAUCUAGUGCAUAGUUGUCAAAAUCGCGAUUCGGAUCGUAGGAUCGUACGAUCCUACGAUCCGGAUAAUCAAAAUCGAUCCGGAUCGUAUUCAGAGUCGCAAAUCAUAUUAAUCUAUGCAGGAUCGUGUAGGAUCGUAGUAGGAUCGUAGUAGGAUCGGUAGGAUCGUACGAUCCUACAAGUUUUUGUAAAUUUGUGAAAUACGAGACUCCAUUUUGCAAGUAAAUGAAAAUAUUGUGGUAUAUUUGUAAUUUAUCAAAGAAUUGCAGCCUUUAAUUGCAAUUAAGAGCUUUUGGUAGGAUUUUACGAUCCUACGAUCCGAUUCUGUGAAACUAAAAUCAAUCCUACGUAGGAUCCCGAUUUUAAACCUUGAUCUAGUGUGAGGUGUUGCCCUAUAAAGUUCGCACCUUUCUUCAAACAGCACAUAGUUCGUAUGGUGCUUAAUUCAAGGUGCACUUUGGAAAGAACAAGUGAAUGAUAACAGUUGUCGAAAAGGAUUUGUCAAUGCAAAAAUAUACUAUGAUGGAAUUCCCAUUAGAUUUGAGAGAGAGAGAGAGAAAUCACGUAUUUUUCCUUUUCCUUUCCUUUUUUUGUUCCACAAUAUGUUAAUGUGUUAUUUGAUUGAUUAAUUUUUUCUUCUUUUUUUUAGGUAAAUUAUAUAGUUUGUAUUGAUAAUUAUGCAUUAACUAAAUUUAAUUUCAUAACCAAAUAUUAAAUACUAACUAUAAUUAGACAUGCACCUUAUGCUUGACCUGAUGGCUAACUCACCUAAUUAAAUCGAGUUGGUUGUUCAUUGAGAAAUGAAAAAAAAAAGUAAGAAAUGAAAAAAAGAGUAGAGGACCUCAAUUGAGAUGGGCUUGGCAGGCGAAGUGGCAGCUAAACCAUUUUUAGGUCGGACUCAACUGGACCCAACAAAUGUAAACCUUUCUUUCCCUAAAACUAUGUAGCCUAAUGAUGGCAAAGCAUGGAAAAGACCAAGAAGAGAACAAGAAAAUGUGGGGCAGAAAUGAUCGCACAACCAGUUUUUGAAUAGUAUAAAAUAGUAUAAAGCUUUAGUAACAAACUAUAAUUCAUCCAUCGUAUAGAAGCCACGAGUUAUAUAAUUUGUGAUAGUAUGUGAAAUAAUAAGAUUGUUCACAAUUAAAAAUGCGUGUUAAUGUUAUUGUUAUGUUAUUUGUACGUAACAUUAUCUGAAUCCUAUUUCUCGAAAAUUUAUUUUGUUGGCAAAAUUUAAACUCUUCUGAUCAAUCCAAAAAGUAAAAAAGAGAAUUUAAGGUACACGAUUGAGACCUAUUCGCUCUCUCUUUUGGGAUAUUCCAACUACUUGCAAUGUAGUUUGCUAAUGACAGUUUCCUCUGGUAGAGAAAAAGAAAUUGAUGUUGUGAGAGCUUUAACAAAAUGACAAUUACAAUAAGAAAACCUAGCGCUAAUCUAUUUGUCAUGCAUGCAGACGAAAAUCCCUACUUAUUUUUGUGUCCAUGUUAAGUUGGUUGACUUGGCUGUCAAUUCUGUAACAAAAUCAGUGAUGUUUCUACGAGGACUCCGCCUGUACAGAUAGCCUGAAAACCUAGUUCCAUCCAUUUAAGAUGUGGUUCUCUUUUUUUUUUUUUUGUCGGAAACGAUAAAACCUAAUCUAUCCUAUACUAAGGGGAUGGGGGCGGGCCUAAGGAGGCCCAGGGAUAAACCGGAGGGGACUGAACUACCACCGGAUCAGAAGGGUGCACAGCACACCCGCCUGAAUUUUUUGAAAACAAACCACUGAAAUGUGGUAUUUUUGGUGGGAGGCAAGGUUCGAACCCUUGCCUCCCACCCCACCAAGUAGGUGGUGGCCAUUGAGCCAAAGGCCCAGUGGUUAUUUAAGAUGUGGUUCUCGAAUUUGGCAAGUUUCACAGUUUAGUUUCAAAUUGAGAGUAGCAAUUAUGCAGAUAUAUAGCCUUCUAAAGAGAUCCAAAUACACUAUUAAUGCUCUUUUAUAAACUUGUGAAUCCGAAAAGACUCUUUAGCUAGGGAUAUUUCAUGCUUGCACCUGAUAGGCAGAGUUUUAGGAGGAAAAUGAAUUAAAAACUUUACUAAGGAGUUUUUAAGCUUUGUAUUCUUUUCUCUUGGUAUCUUUCCCUUUUCCUUCUCCUUCUCACCUUAGAUGAAGAAGUACUCAUGAAGUGUAAAGAAGAAAACUUAGGGAUGCAAUUUUCUGGGAUUUUUUUUAAUAUCUUGAUGGCAUUACUCCUUCAAGUUGGAUCUCAUAAUUCAGAUAAUUUAAUCUCCUGUCACAACAUGAUCCAUUCAAGUUGCUGAAAGCAAAAUAGAAGCAACAAAUUAUUGCUCCAUGAACACAUGAAAAAUUAUCUCAUAAAACUUGAUUCAUUUUGGUGUCAUUGCACGUAACGAUGCUAGGAUUGAGCCACAUAUUGAUCUUAAUGUCUAUAUUUGUCAUAACCUUCUUUCUCCUUAAUCUAUGUAGCAAGAUAAUAGCACUUAGGCACAAAGUUACAUCUUUUAUUCCGGCUCCAAAACUCACUCUCUAGAUUUUACAUAAUUAUACUUCUUGCUAAUAUGUCGUGGCGUUGUUAAAUUGAGUGCUUGAGGGAUACUUCCUUGGAAACCUACCAUUAAUCAUCACUAUCAUCACCUUCUUCUUACUUGCUAGCGGCUUUGAGUGCUUGAGGGAUACUUCCUUGGAAACCUACCAUUAAUCAUCACUAUCAUCACCUUCUUCUUACUUGCUAGCGGCCAAAGCCGCCAGCUCUCUUUCUCUCUCUGAUAUUGUUAUCGCUGCCAUUGCUGCCAUGUGUAACAGUAGCAGCAGUUGCUGCCACUGCUGCCGCUACUGUCUUCAUCUGCCGCGGCUUUCCUAUCAAAUGGCUGGCCAAAGGCCAGCUUUUGUUUAGCCAAGAGAAGCGACCCUUUCUUCUUCUCUACCCGAACUGAUCUUUUUCAUUUUUUUUAACCCCAUCAACUUUCCAUAUUUUCCUUUCUAUACAAAAAUUAACUCUAAAGUUAAGGAGGAUUCUUGCCUUGACCCGAACUCUUUAAAGUUUUCUUCAAAAUUUUCCCUUAAUUGAUUUAAUUAACUUUUAAAAGUUAAUUAGGGUUUACACACUUUUAUGUUGAAAUGAAUAUGAAUGUUGUAUUCUUUAGUAGGCUAGUUAAUUAUUAUUAUCAUUGUUUUUGGGCAAGAGAGGGUGGAAUGUAAGAAACGAGUAGGGGGAAGGGGAAAGAGGAAUUUAAAUCCAAAACCCCCAAUUCUUAGAAUUUCAAUCUUAGUUAAUCAAACUUUUCAUGCUUAUAUGUAGUACUGUUUCAUAUGUGGUAUUCUUCAUUAGGAUUUAUUGAGUACUUAUGCGUUUGAUUCAUAACUUUUGGAAAAUCUUCAAAGUAUCUAAUUUUUACUUUUCCAAUAUCCUUUUAAUAAAUUUCACUAUAUGUGCUUCACGAAGUCACAUCGAUAGGAAUCUAAUUCUGCCAAAUAACUGCAGAGAUAAAAAUGUUUGCUUUACCCCAGAAAAUGUUGGGGAAGUUCAUUUUACCUCUGAUUCUAUUGACAAUCAUUGUUUGCCCACAAUUACCAAAAUGAUUGAUAAAUUGGUAUAGCAUUCAUCCCUAAAGUGAGCUGAUUUUAGGGGAAAAGAAAUAUUGCUGAACUGAUUUUGGGGGCAAAAGAAAAAUUCACGUGCAUGUGGAGGAUUUUUUGGGUUGCAAUCAAAAGGAAGUACAAUUAGUUGUUGGAGGAAUUGGUAGACAAGUGAAGAUUUUGCAGGCUUAUAGGUACCUAUCUGACUGAAAGAAAGGGAAGGAAGUUCUCGUUCUGAAAGCUAAACAACGACCAAAAAUGAUAAUUAAGAGAGAAUCUCAUUAGGGCUAAGUGUUAUAUUAACCACUUGUUAAUUUUGAAGCUUCACUAACUAACGGGUCUAACAUGAGUUAUACUAAUAAGACUGACUCCAUUAUCUUAAUUAAUCCAAAACAGCCCAUGUGAUAAAAGGAGCCCACAAAUAGUCUACAACUAUUUGCAUUUGACCAGAAAAUUAUAAAAGAAAUAAUUUUAAAUGUACAAAAAUAACCCUAAAUAAUUAGCAACUAUUUAAAGAGCUAGUUUUCAUAAAAGGAUUCAAUUGAGCUUUCCCACCAAUUAAAAACCAAACAAAAAGAACAAAUGAAAAUAAUUAAACCAUUGUUACCAAUUAGCCCCUAAAUAGUGAGGAACUAUUAACCUUUGAAUUUGAAUACCAAGUCUCAAAUAGACAUUUUUCACUCCUUGAACCCCAAAAUUCAAAAAAUAAACUGCUUCCUCCAAUAACACAUUCAUUCACACUUGGCAUUCAACGGAUAACUUACGCUGUUCUCUUGUCUGGUUGGUAGAUACAGGGUACAAGUUACAAACAUACAAAUGCAACCAUAGUUAUAGAUCGACUUGGAGUUGCUAUCGCGAGGAAAAAGAAGAAACUUGAGAGUACUCAAGGUUCAGGAAACAGCUGAAACAUACACAAAAGGGCAAACUUAAAGGAAUUAAUUCAUGAUGAAUUCCACCAAAGUUCAUGUUUUAGUUCUGCCAUAUCCUGCCCAAGGCCACAUAAACCCCUUGCUCCAAUUCUGUAAACGUUUGGUGGCAAAAGGUGUCAAAACCACCUUUGUCAACAGCGUCUUCAUUUCCAAGUCUAUCCCGCAGAUCCCAAGAGCGCAAUUAACUUCGAGGCCAUUUCAGAUGGCCAUGAUGAAGGUGGCUAUGCGGCAGCUGAAAGCACCGGGGCCUAUCUUGAAAAACUGGCCACCUUCGGCUCAAAGAAGUUGGCUGAUCUUAUCAGGAAGCUUGAAGACAAGGGCGAACCAGUUCAGGCCGUGAUUUAUGAUUCACUCUUGACAUGGGCUCUUGAUGUAGCUAAGCAGUUUGGACUUGUUACAGCUUCUUUUUUCACUCAAACUUGUGCUGUAAACAGCAUCUACUACAAUGUUUAUCAUGGACUUCUGCCGGUCCCUCUUUCAGACUCACCUAUUUCCCUUCCUGGAUUGCCACUGCUCCAACCAAAGGAAACUCCAUCCUUUGUUUACCUUCCCGAUUCGUCUCCUGCUUUUCUUCACUUGCUUGUCAAUCAGUUCUCCAACAUUGAUCAAGCAGAUUGGGUCAUCCUCAACAAUUUCCACAAAUUGGAGGAAGAUGUAAGCAUUUCUUCCCCUUAUACAACUAUACUGCAUACACCUUUCCUACUUACUGAGCCUCUCUCUUAGCAAGAGAGUAUGACUUACAGAGAUCCUAAAUUCUAUGCAGUAUAAAAAUCUACCAACUUUGAUCUCUUUUUGUUUGUUGUUAUCAUCAAACAGGCGCUGAAUUGGAUGGCGAAACUUUGGCGAGUGAUUACAGUCGGUCCAACAGUUCCAUCCAUUUACUUGGAUAAACGCCUUGAGGAUGAUAUCGGUUAUGGAAUAAAUCUCUUCAAGCCGGAAUCCAGCUUGUGCAUCAACUGGCUAAAUAGUCAACCUAAGGACUCGGUUGUUUAUGUAGCAUUUGGUAGCUGGACAGAAAUUGACGUAGAACAAAUGGAGGAAAUAGCUUCAGCUUUGAAGGAAAGCGGAUUCAAAUUCUUGUGGGUCGUGAGAGCAUUUGAGAAGGAAAAGCUUCCAAGCAAAUUUGCUGAGGAGACAUCCGAGAAAGGUUUGGUGGUGACAUGGAGUCCACAGCUUGAGGUAUUGGCACAUGAAUCCGUCGCUUGUUUUGUUACUCAUUGCGGGUUCAAUUCAGUGCUGGAGGCGUUGAGUUUAGGGGUGCCGGUGGUGGCAGCGCCACAGUGGACAGACCAGCCCACCAAUGCUAAGUUUCUCGUGGACAUUUGGGGGUAGGUGUAAAGGCUGAUGCGGAUGACAGAGGAAUUGUGAGAAGGGAAACGUUAGUUUCUUGUAUAAGCGAGAUUAUGGAGGGAGAAAAGGGAAAGCAGAUUAAAGAGAAUGCCAUUGAAUGGAAGGCUUUAGCUAAAGAAGCUAUUGAUGACGGUGGAAGUUCUGAUAAGAACAUUGAUGAAUUUGUUGCUGGAUUAGCAGGCCAGAAAGCCAAGAAGUAGACGUAGGUGCUACACUGAAAAGGGCAACGUACCUUGUCCUCCAAAAAGUACUCUCGUAAUAAAUAAUUUAGUACUUUUAUAUUUGUAAUAAUUUUCUUGUACUGACAAAUUCAAUGUCAUGAUUCGUGUUUCUUUGAAAUAUAUGAAGUAAAUGAGGCAACUUCUAUAUUUUUUUAGUUUCUUCAACCAGAAAAUUGUGCUUAACUUUUCUACUGGUGAAGUCUUCUGUCUUUCCCUCUCUCGGGUGUGUUCGGAUGAAUUCGGCUCCUCUAAGGUGGAUUCUCUCUACAUCAUUUUCGACAAUGCACAUUUGAAUGAGUGCAUGGCAUGGCAUGUGUUUUCAUUUAUUAGAAAUGGACAUGAUUGUUUUAUGUUUAAUUAAUUCUAACCCUUGUUAAUAAAUGAAUACAAAUGUCAUGCAUUAAAGUUAAUAAAUGAAUACACGUGUUGCAUCCAAAUGUGCACCAUAGAGAACAAAGAAAAUCCAACGGAGAGGAGCUAGGUCCAUGUUUGGAUGGGAGUUAUUUGCCAAAAAAAAUUAUCUACUUAUAUUUUAAAUAUAUUUUCAACGCAUUUUUUUUUUAUCUUUUUAAUCACAUUUUUAUCUCAUAUAUAUUACAUUGCAAAUGGUGUAUCACAAAUUUAUUUUUUAACACACAUUUUUAUAUCAUAAAUAUCACAUCGCAAAAAGUGUUAGGAUAAUUAUUUUAAAUUAUAUUUCAAAUAAUUUCCUAUCCAAUCACGCACACUUGAUCCUACCGUGCGAACUGAAACCGAGCAAGGUUUGCUGGCAAUUUCAAUUAUCAGUCCAAGUUGGGAAUGGCGACGGCCAAGAGAGAGCUGAAUCCAUGUGGGAGUACGGGGAAGAAAAAAGCCACAUGCAAUUUGGGAAAGAAGAUAUUCUCGUGGGACGAAAGAAUAAUAGGUUUCUUUCCAAUAGAAAAUACUACAAAAGGAAAAGGCCCUUGUCAUACUUCAACCGAUUAAAACGUUGCAAUUAGCUUGAACGGUAAUGGUACUUAGAAGAUUCAAAAGCAAAUUUCCUCGUACGUAAUUUAAGUUAGGAACGAUCCAGAAUACAAACACCUACGUUUCUUCUCAAAAUUUCUGUACUCACUCAAGCAGCAGGGGCCCGGCUUGAAACUAAAAACAGUAAAAGCUAUAUUACAACUUCAUAAUACAUAUUCAAACGUAAAAUUUCGUAUUGGUUUACAUCUCAUAAAUGUACCUCAAAAACAUAUUAUCAUAAGAUAUAGUUAACGUACAAGACACACUGAAAAUUUUUUCCCUGUAGUUUACUUCAUUAAUAAUUCUCACCUUAUGAAAAAAUUUUAAAGGUUUCAACUAAAUGUUAUGGUCUAAAAAACAUUUUUAUAGUCAAGAAACUAAGUAAACGAAAUGGAUAUAUAUGGUCAUUAGAUAUAAGAUAAAAAAAGAUAGUAACUACCUUUAGAAAUUUUCAAGAAGGGCAUCUUUGUACAAAAAAGUUGACAUAUAUAUAUAUAUAUAUAUAUUGAAUCUUUAUUAGAAAUAAGACAAAUAGUAACUACCUAAAACUUUGGCCAGGAGUAAAUUGAAACUAGCCUGUAGAUUUACAGAUGUAACCGCAAUUAAAUAUAUACCAAAAGCAAUGAAAAUUAAUUUGCUAUUUAGUUUGUAAUUUUCUAGUUUUUUAUUUACCUAUGAAUCUAUAUCAGUAAUUGUGCGAAUUUGUAUUUUUUUAACCAAAUUUUUGGUCAAGCUUUGGAGAAGAUUUUGUUCAAUAUGCAUAAGUAUAGUAGUUAUUAAGUUUCAUUACACUUUUUCUUCAUCUGAUCCUUAGUAACACUUUGUCCUUGUAUCAAAAAAAAAAAUUGUCCAAAUGAGCUUUACAUAUGUACAUCACACUAGGGUUGCAAACGAACCGACCCGCUCGCGAACCGCUCGAGUCAAACUCGACUCGAGCUCGAGUUGGUUCGAAUCGAAAUCGAACUCGAACUCGAGUUCAAAAUAUUAAACUCGUUAGGCUCGCGAGCUCUAGUAUAUAUAUAUAUAUAUAUUUUUAUUUUUUUAUUUUAAGUAUAUAUAUACAUAUUUUUUAUUUUAAGUAUAUAUAUACAUAUUUUUUAUUUUUUUUAUUUUAAGUAUAUAUAUUUUUAAUUUUUUUAUUUUAAUAGUAAAAUUACAUAUAUAUUCUUAAUAUUUUAUUAUUUAUUAAGAAAAAAAUAUUAUUUUAUUUAUUUUUUUAAAAUAAAAUAAUUAUUUUUUUAUUUUUUUCGAGCUCAUCGAGCUUGAGCUCGAAUUCGAGUUUAAUAAAAUUAAGUCAAGAUUCAGUUCGAUUAGGCCAAAACUCAACUCGACUCGACUAGUUUGCAACCUUACAUCGCACCCCCUUCUAUGAUCAAUCAAAUAUUAGAAACAACCUUUCCAUCCAAGAACUUGUCGAAAUGAAAUUAGUGCCCCAAGAUAAUACUUGUAUGGAUGAUGCCACAUUUUCAUACCAAAAUAUGCAAGGUCUUAAUGGAUUAAAAGUACUGCACUUAGGUCACGUUAUAUAAAGUAAAUAUAUAAGAACAAAUGAUAGAAUGGAAAAGAAUUGACUAGAAGUUGUAAAGGCAAACGUAGAAUUUUCCGAAAACAACUAUAUUAAUUUUGAUCUCUUCCACUCGCUUCAUCUAGAUUGUCAAACAACCAGCAUUCAUAGUCUCACAAACCUUAUAAGAUCCCUUCAAUAUUCUCCCAUGAUUCUCAUGAAUUUAGGUGGUGCGAAUUGGUACAUUUGUGCCACAUUUGCACCUUAUUUAAUUAUAUAUAUAUAUAUAUAUAUAUAUAUAUAUAUAUAUUAUAAUGAGCAUUGUGAUGAGUAUUGAGAUUAGCGCUUUUACUUGUUUGCACUUCUAUGCAAUUUUUCUAACUUUUUCGUUGCUAAACUCUUUUUUUUUCAGUAUAAGUAAGAGAUUUUGAAAUCUGGACGUCUCACUUACAUAUCCUCCCUGUGUAUCACCUAACCCAAUCCUUCCUCCUACUCAACUUUAAUUUCUUCUACAUUUAAUCUAUGUUCUAGCCAAAUACAAAGUUUAGUAUGUUCAAAUGGGUUUAGCAAUAGUUGAAAAAAUAACAAUUUUUUAAGUUUGAAACUGCAUUUCGUAUAGUCAAAAAUUAGUAGAAGUAAUUUGGUCAUACAAAAAAUAUGUUAUUAUUUUGACCAAAUUCAAUUUUCAUGAGGCAUAAAAGUAUUAGUAAAACCCAAAUUCAGGGGAACAAAUGCAACGAACCCGAUUUAAUUAUAUACACAUUGCAAAAUUAAAGAACUAGGGGUAAUUUUAGAAACCCCACCUGAGGUUUCUAACAAUAUCACUUGGUAUCAUUAAAUUUUUAAAAAUUUCACUUCUCACCCCUACUUUAAGUUUUCAUUUUUGUAAUAAUUAAAACCUAUUUCAAACUAUAAUAUUAAAAUAUUAGUUUAGAAGAGAGAAUACAAUCUCGUUUUGAAUUUUGCCCUUUGUUGUCUUCUCUUAAUUGUCAUAACACGCUAAUUUUAUCUUUUAAUUUUUGUAAACUUGGUUAAUUUGACUUUUUAAUGGGAAUUUAAAAGUUGAUCACAGGGUUGAGAGACCCUUUAAUAGUUUUUAUGUCAUUGGUUUAGACAAGACAUAUUAAAUAUUUAAAAUUAUAAAUAAUUUACAAUACUCAUAAACAUAACUUGAAGUAUUUUACAAUAAUAAAAUUAACUUUUUGCACUAACUUGAAAACAACACAAACAAGUUUAUACAUAAUUUUCACCAUUUUAUAUUUUUCUAGUUUUUAAGCCAUCUAUUUUGACACAAGAAAAUUAGAAAAUUCUGAAAAUUUUAUAACAUUCAUAAUACUCAUCAAAUUAACUAAAAGCACUUUAUAGUGAAGAAAAUAUUUUUGUAACUUGCAAAAACCUCAAAUAAACCUUUAAACAUUAGCUCGUUUUUUUUUGUAUUAAAAGUAAGACAACAAAAUGGCGAAUCAAAUGAGAUUAUAUUCUAUUUCUCAAAAUAAAAUUUUAAUAUUAUAUUUUGAAAUGAGUUACAAAUAUUACAAAAAUCUUAUAAUAAGGGAGGCAAGUAAAUUUUUUUUAAAAUUUAAGGCCUUGUUUGAAAAGGAAUUUUUUACCAAAAAUUUUUACGUUUUCCAUGAACAAAUUUUCCAAUCACUUUUUUAUCUAUAUAUAUAUAUAUAUAUAUAUAUAUAUAUAUAUAUAUAUUAAAUUGUUACAGCAUAUUUUUUACAAAAAUUUCAAAAAGUUACAAUACAAACAUGAUCUAAGAGUGCUAAGUGAUAAACUUCAAGAGAAGUUUUUGAAAUUAUCUCGAGGAACUACCGCAGACUCGUGUGGCGUUAAAUUUACCCACUUUCAGCGCCAGAAAAAUCAUGAUCAUGGGGUCAUGGACGUGCUCCAUAGCAAGAAAUAAAGGUACAACGGUAGAUUUGUUAUUGUUUUUGGGGUCAGGAACCACAUGACUUGAGCCACUCUCUAUUAGUUAAAAACUCAGUCAAUUGAUGCCAUCGGACUGGCUGGCUGCCCCUCCUAGUGCCCUGCGCAGUCAAUAGAUUUGCAUACCUUGGGACAGGUUUGUACUGGAAUUUACGUUUUAAUAUUGCUUAUUAGGUGAUGCAUGAAUCUGAAAGAUCAUCACUGUACAGUCAGUCCUUUUACAUUGUAUUGCUGAUUAGGUGACUUGAUACUUUACUAAUUAAUUUUCUGAACAGGUUAGUGCUGCUAGGCUGGCAUUUCCUAAUGUCAUGCUCAAGUCACGUGUACUGCUAGGCUGGCAUUUGCGCUUUUCUCUUUCUUUUGUCAGAAAACAAGGUGCUCCGAUUUUCAAAACAUUAUUGCCAGCUGAGUGUUCGUUGGCACAGUAAUAGAAAUGAGGAUCAAUACUCAGCAUAAUAACCCACCUUCAGUUUAUGGGUAAUUUGACAAUAAAUCACACAUGUAUUCCUGUUUAAUUUUCUUGAUUUUAAUUCCCUGGAGAUAUUCCACAUGUUUAAAUUAUUAGCUUGAUGCAAAUUUGGAUUUUGAUUGGUUUCAGAAUGUAUUUUUCCAUUUUCUUCCUGUUUUCCGAAGUUCAUGAGCUGUGUUUUGUGCUUUUAAGGGUCGAAUUUCACUUACCAUAAAAUAGACAGCAUACCACCAGCCAGAAACAAGGGAAGAAAAAUGCCUUUUAAUUCAUGGUCCUGAGGUUUUAUGUUCCCAAAUCAAUGGCAGAGUAGAAACCACAAAGUUGGACAGUUAUUAGACAAGUUUGCAGCACACAGGCUGAGCAUAGACAAAAUUAUGCACAUCAGGUGAUAUACCCUUAUUUGAUGUUCACUAUGGAGAUUAAAGUGGGACAAGGUUAAACCUUCUCUUAAUACACAUCAUCAGAGAAGUGCCAUCAAGAAAAUCUAUGGAAAUAGCUACUAGUGUACUAAUCACCAUUCUUCUAAACCUGAACAUAUUAAAACCAUAGGAAAAAGGUUUGAUCGCUCAAUUCUUCCUUUCCUUCUUUUCCUUUUUUUUUUUUUGGUUAGUUUCCAAUCUUGAGAAUACAAAAUUUGGAAAGGAAGAAGCUGGAAGGGGAAGAUGAAAAUUGAACCAUUCAUCUAAGAGGAGGAACAAAAAUCCCUCUGUUUGAUCACUUACUUGCCAAAAUCAUACUACCAAUAACGUCAAACUCUUAGUCUGAGAAACAAUCCAUGGUAGACAAAAAGAUCAAGAAGCAAAUGCAAAAUGACGGAUAUAAUCAUUUCCGUCAAGCGUCUAGCACUUUUUUUUUUGACCGCCUGUCCCCGGCCGAGAAACACCCCGUCAGAGUUUCAAUUGGCGGAUUAUUUUUUUUAACAUAUAUUCUGAUAAAUAAGCCGCAAAAUCGAUGCUAUUAGGCUGGCGUUCCUAGUGCCUUGUGCAGUUAAAAGACUUUCGUGCCUUGGAAGGGUUUAUAUUGAAAUUUACGUUAUAAUAAUAUUGCUUAUUAGGGCAGUGUAUGAAUGUGAAAGUUCAUUAUUCUACUUUUUUUUUUUGUUCCCUUGUGUUCAUUUUUGUCGCUUUCAUACCAUCAAAUUCUUUAUUUUCUCCUCCCUGACCUGAGCCUAAGCUUGACCCUGGCCGUCCUGACAAUCAAGAAAGAGAUACAUUACAAUAGUGAUUUUUUUUCUUUUGUUUUCUUUUGUUUUUUUUCUGCAACGACAAUAAAGCAUCUUACUUCUGCACUAAACAAAUUAUAAGAGAGGAGAAGUUUAAAUGGACUUACAUGAGAGUUAAAAGAUGAACCGUCAGAUCAGAUAAAUACGAUACUACAGAUUAUUUUACAGGAGAUUAUUUGUUCAAAUAUAUUUGUUUACAUCUCCAUUACAAUUUUCAAUACACAUUUUUAUCUUCUCAAUUACCUUUUUAUCUCACAUACAUCACAUCACAAAAAGUGCUACAGUAACAAUAUUUCAAAUAAUUUAUAAUCCAAACAAUUGUAUGGAUACUAGACAGAGUAUUAUUUCAAAUAAUUAUUUGAAAUAAUUACUGUAAUAUUUUUUAUGAUGUGAUGUAUGUGAGAUAAAAAGAUGGUUGAAAAUAUAAAAAGAUGAAUUGAAAAAUGUAUUUAUGAUGCAAGCCAAAAUUUUUUUUAGAAAAAUUUGCUAUCCAUACAAAGUCGUGAUGGCACAUGAUUCAGAGCUAAGGGCUUAAGUUUCCCCAAAGUUUUUCUUUGUUUAUACACAACGGUGUUAUUUUUGUCUUUUCAAACGCAAGUCAACAAACCAAUGGAGGAUAAUACACAAAUUCAUGGUUUUCUGUUCCUACAACUUUCUUUUUGAUAACAAUCCAACCUUCACAAUUGCUUUGUAGGAUUUGAAACAUUAGCCAGACAAAACAUAUGCUGAAAAGCUAGCUUGAAUCAAGAGGGCUAGGAUUUAAAUAGCAUAAUGGAGAAGCUCCUGAUUUUUCUCCAGUGUAGCCAUGUACUCUUCUUUCAUGGUCACCAAUGCUUCAAUCCCAUCACCAGAUUUUGUUUCGAUCAGAUGAGCAAUAUUUCCCAAUCCCUGUAAAUCUCUGUUUCCACGCGCAAUGCAUGUCCAUAUGGGCUUUCCCCAUCCAAAAUCAGCCUCAUAAAAACCAGUCUUGCGGAUGCUGCUGAUAUACAUACAUUCAGCCAUACUAUUAGGGUCAUAGAACACUUCAUGGAAAUCUUUUAAGGCUCCUAUCAGCUUCUGAAUCCCAUUCUCACCAUUUAAAGAUUCAACAAAAUCAGCGUUCAUUGUACCAAUGGAAUUUGAGAUCUUGUUUACCAGCAAUUCCAGCUCUAGCUUAGGAUUGUCACAACAUUUAGCACGAGCCAACCAGACGAUAUUUCCUAGUGAAUGAGGUGAUAAAGGGGGCGAAAUUUUUGUCCUCAGAUUCACCGGGAUAAACAAAACAGACCUUACUUUCCAAGCUGCUAUGGCAGAUUUCCAUAGAAGUCCCAUAACAGCCUUGGCUGAACUGGGUUUCGCGGAAGAUGUUGAUGUAGCUGCCUUGGAUUUAAGAGCAGCCAAGGCCCAGCUAUCGAACACAAAUCUGCUUGUAGCAUAUUUAGGCUCGUUCUUUUGUGGCUUGGAGACCACAGGAGGUGAAUCUUGGUACAUAUCCAAAAUAGGAGGAAAUAAGGAAGAUGAAAUAAAACUGGGAUUUAUUUGUACCGUUGAUUCGCGUGCUGUAGCUGCCCAAGAUUGCAUAAAUGUAGAAACUGAGAGACCAUCAAAAAUCUUGUGGGAAGCACUCAAGCAAAUGGCAAUACCACCGCAGUCAAAAAUGUUUACUUUGAACCAAGAUAGGAUAACUUUUUGACAAUAAUUCCGUGGAAUCUGGAUGAAAUGGACAUAGCUGAUUCAUGAACUCAUUUCAGGCUUCCUCAGAAAAUCUAACAGUCCAAUAUUGGUUUGAGUUUCGACGUAGUAAACUCCAUCAUCAUUACACUCAAUAUGCAAAUUAUCUUUGAUUUUUCCUGCUAGUGGAUAGAAGGGUACUAAGGUUUUUGAUAGUGAUUCCUUUAGACAUCGACUUCUUUGGGAAAUAACAUCGUUGAGAUAAGUGCCUUGUUGUUUUCUUGGGGAGAAAAAGAACAAUAUAUUUGUAUAAGAGUCACGAGUAAGCUGAUCCAAGAUUGAAAACCUAAAGGUUCUCAACUCAGGGGGAGUUGGAGAUGCUGGCUUGAUUUCUUCCUUGGAGAUAAGUUCUAUGUCCAUAUAUGCAGUUUUCUGAUUGACACUCAAAUGAAUGCUGCAGGGACAUGUUUAGAAGAAUUUUUAGCCAUUACAAAAGAGGAUAAAAUUAUCAUAAAAUUAAAAUUUUAAAUUUAAUGGAAAAAUAAACUUUAUUGUUUGUUUUUCAUAUUUAAGAUCAGCUCGUCUGGGGCUGUUUAAUUAGCAAUUCUGCUUUUGAGUAAUAAUUUUCAAAUUAUACUAGUACGUUGUAGUAAAUGAAUUACUCCCCUAUAAAUUGAGAAAGUCCUAAUUUUCCUGCCUAUGACAAUAAAAAGAAAGCAAUAUGAAUAAGAGUAUUAUCAAAUUCACGAAUAAUUAUUGCUUUUGGACUAGAAAAACAUAUAAUUAGCUAGAGUUUCAAUAACUUCACGUUAUUGUGAUGAAAUUUUGGGACUUUUAGAACUAUUCCAUAAUAUCAUAAACAAGAACAAAACUCAAAACAUGAAAUUUUUGCUAUGUCAUUACCGUGAAAUGAUGAAAGGUCCUCUCUACUAAUUCUAGUGCAAAAUGUACUAUUGAGCAUACCAAAAAGAAAAUGUAUAUUUUCCUAUCUACAAUUACAUGUAUCUCGAAGCUGAAACCCUUUAAUUCAAGAACUUCUCCUCAUCGACCCUUUCAAAAAAAUAUUCUAUAAUCACAGCCUAAAAUUGACACUCAUUUAGUUUUAGCAAAGGAGUUUCUUCUGUCCUUUCUAGUUAUUUUUGUUUUCUUUUUUGUUUUCCCUAUUUGUCUUUCCCCUUGUCUAUAACAAAAAGAAACUUGAAAAAACUUCCCUCCAAUGGUCAUGGACAACCAAAAAAAAAAAAUCAAUACUACGUAUUCUAAAGAGUAAUGAAGAAAGAAAGAAAGAAAAAAGUUUACAUACAUACCUUCUUGAGCCAGCAAUGCCAGAACUGGGAAAAGUAUAGACAUGGCCAUUACUCUGCCUGUUCAUGAAAUGUUCAUUAUAAUACCCUUUCGAUGCACAUUUGCAGCCAAACAGCGCUGGUUUGGCAGUUCCUGCAGAACCAUCAGCAAUAUUGUUUCUUGUCGAUUGGCGGGGCAACGAGAAGAGAUGGCAUUUUGAUCCCAAUAAUGACUCCCUUCUUGUGGGAAAUGCUAUUAUUGAAAUGAACCACCUCAUGAUGGGAGUGUUGAGGUACUGAUGAAUGGUGACUAUAUGGACAAAACUUCGUCGUUUCUAUGGUGGAAAGUAGGUUGAACUUCCCACCGUCGGCACAUAGAGUGUUAGAAGUACAGCUCGCAGUCAGCACAAGCAUCUCUAUCCAUGCUUUUGGGGCCCAGUUGAGAGAAGGUGACCGCAAAGCCUAUUAUCAUCUGAAGGAGCUAAAAGCAAAUACUAAUAUAAAUUGGGUUGGGUGGUUAAAUAAAUUAGUGAAACUAUAGAUGCUAUACUGGAAUAACAAUAAGAGUAAAAGACCCUAUAAAUACCAAGAGAUUGUAGGGUUUUAGUCAAGUAGAGUCUGCGCGGCGCCGUCUCAAUGAAUUAGGGUGUAAAACGCACUAUUUUUAACAAGGUGCUCAACAUUUAGGGUGUAAAACGGACUAUUUAUAAAACCUGAGUUUUGUUAUUACUGACACGGUACUUAACAUACCAGUCGUGUUUUCAGAAUUACAAUCCCAAGCUUAACAUACCAUAUUGGUACCAACUGGGUUAUAGUUAUGAAAUUGGCUUUUUGUUAAUUAUUAUUACAAGAAAUAUUUAUAAUUGGAAAAAAUUCAAUUCUUGUAUACUAAAUAAUAAAUAUUUUUAGGAAAAAUCAUUUAAAAUAUCUUGUACGUUUUGUUAAAUGAAUUUUUUCAUAUUUUACUUUUAAAAUGUUUAAUUUUAUAUAUCUCACAAAUUUAAAUUCACAAUUUUUGGUCCCAACCUGAGUUUCAACCAUUUUUUAGUCUAAAAUUAUCACAUGACUCAUAUAUACUAAUUUUUAUAUAUAAAAAUGUCAAAUUUUACUUUUUUAGCAACAAAAGUAAAUAUAAAUUGACAAAAAUGAGUAUGAAUUUGAUCAGUUGUUUAAUUAUGAAUGGGAUAUAACUUUUUUUCCUAUAAAAAAUGAACUUUUCUUUUUGCCAUGAUAAAAACUACUUUUACUUUAACUAUCGAUAACUACCCAUGACUAGUUUUACUUUAACUAUUUAAAUAUAUGUUUUCAACAUAACUACCCAUAAAUAUUAUAAUUACUAACAUAAAAUUAUUUUUAAAAAUAUUUUUGAAAAAUAUUUAGAAGAUUAAAAUUUGUUUUGAUAAUAAAAAAAUAUUUAAAGUAUAUGAUCAUAAAUAUUAUAUUUUUUCUAUUGCACCCACAUUGGAUGUGCAUGAGCACUAGUUAUAAUCAAAUUCCAAAUCUCACUCCUAGUGAUAAUGCAAUUGUUUCAAAUAGUGAAUAUCUCCCCUACAAAAUAAUUAGAUUGUACUAUAUUAGGUCCUAAGUCUGCCAUUAGUUGUAAUGAACAUGACCGACUAUAAAUCACAAAUUUGACAAGCGCAAUAUCAAAUUUCGAGUCUUUUUAACUAUUAAUAUUUUCCACUAGUUAUAAUGAAUAUGAUGGAUUAUAAAUCGAAACUUGAUGAGUACACUAAAUUUAAGGCAUUUUAACUAUUAACUCGGAAGCAACGAUGCUUAGAUGUCAAGUUAUGCUCCCAUGUUCAAUUUAAUGUAUUUAGAUAAGGGUUUAAAGUAUAUAUGAGGAUCAUUUUGAUUUGGGAUUUUUCAAGCACUCAAUGACUUAUUGUCACCUAGGUUUCUUUAAGUGCUCCAUCUUAAUAAUAGUGUAACUAUUUUUACACAAUCUUCACAUUUGCUAAUUUUUUUUUUUGUUUAAAGUAAUUUAUACAACUUUCAUCAUUUAACAUUUUUCCCUUUCUUUUUUGUUCAAACGCAAUUUUUGUUCAUUGCAGUUACCUUCUUUUAAUUAUGUUUUUCUUUUGUUUAAUGUAAUGUAGCCAACCUUUUUCUUUUUUUUUUUGUUUUAACAAAAAAAACCAUUAUUAUCUUAGAACCAUAGAGAAACUCAAGAAACAAGAUGAAGUAGUGGUUAAGCUACACACCAAAAAAAAAAAAAAAUGCACGCGAUUAACAUCUCAAAUUUGAGAGAUUUGAAUGAUGGGCAUAACAGUAAAAUUAUAAGAUCACAUGCUUCCAUAUUGUGAAUUUCAUCUAUGCAUUUGGGAUUUGCAAGAAGUGUACAUACCUUUGAAUUGUCAAGAUUUCUUGGUUAUUUGUGAUUAUUUAUAUGGUAGAAUAAUUCACUAAUGUAAUUACUCAACUGAAAAUUUUCAUGUACAUACCUUUGCGUAAUCAUCGAUAGUUGGGAUAGCCAUCACAUUUACAAAUUAUAUGAAUAGUAUUUUUCUUAAAGAAAAAAGAAAAAGUUGGGUAAAUUAUAUUGAAAAAGACUUAAAAAGGAUAAAUGCAAUAAAGGAAAAAUGCUUUUGAACCAAUAAAUAGAAUUAAAAAAUAAAAUGACAAAAAAUGGAUAAAUUACUUUAAACAAAAUAGAAAAAAAUCACUUUAAAAUGUCUUUCGAAUUCCCAAAAGAGAUAAAGAUGCCAUUUUAAAAUAAUUGGGGAUGUUGCAUUAGGUAAAAAAAUCUCACGGAUGCUUGAACUGAAGACACGAAAAUGACAUCUUUAUUCUUUCACGAAAACAGGCUUUAUCUUAAGGAAGCGCCAAAAUUAAACUACGGCUCCCUCGUUCAUUACCGGUUCUAGCCUGUCUUCGGUCGCAAAUUUCAUUUUUGUCUAUUAUCUGGCCCACCUAACUGUGUUGCCCGCUGCUCCUAUCAUUGCUUCCCACCAUGCAAGGAUGCCAUAGAAGCAACCGACAAAACCUUACCCUUCAAAUGUUAGUUGUAUUUUAUAUGAUUGAUACCGCAUGCAAAUGUGUGAUAUAUCACAAUGGGUCCAUAACAUUUGGAAUUUAUACUUUUUGAGUCCCUUAUAAACGAUGAUGCAUUUUGGUCCCCGGAGUUUUCAAAUUACAAAAGUUUGGUCUCAAUUUUCACUAUUUGUUGGUAAUUCCUUUGUGUAUACGUAAUAAUCUGUGGCUGCGCCGGCAGAAAUUAGGAACUAUGUACACAACUUUGAAUCUUCAAACGGCAGGCGUGGUCUGUCUAUGAACUUGGGAGGAGAGUUAGAAAUACCGAAUCAUUUUAAUCACGUCUUCUAGACUAUUUAGCACAUUGUGUGUUAAUGAUAGUUUCAAUCAAACAGUGUAAGAAAAGAAUUUUGGGUCAAAAUUAUUACUUCUUACGUCCUAUGAAAAUUGUGUUUUGCGAUUUGUGCUUCUUUUUUUCCCCCUUUCCCCCAGUGGCAGGAAGAUUGUGGUCCAAUACCACGAUGAUUUGGGUCCAAAGAAGGUUACCGCUAUAGAUCUUUACACUACCGAGCUAUUAGCGUAGGUUCAGUUAUUGACCCUAUAGCAUUAAAAUUUCAGCAUAUCAAUUUAAAAAUAAACAUUUCAGCAUUACUGUCCUCAGCAUAACUUAAAAAUCAUUCUUAGAAACAAUAUCUAUAAUUUGGUGUAUGUAAUUAAAUAAAAAAGAAAAGCACUCGCUUAAUGUAUAAAUCAUUCUCAUAAACAAUUGUCAUAUUAGUUAGUACAUAAUUAAACAAAUUUUAAAAAAUCUAAAAAAAAUCGUCAAAAUCGAUUUUCAAAUUCCCCCCCCCCUUUUUUUUCUUAAGUUUUGCAAAAUGCAACUACCAAGGUUCGAACUCAAGACUUUUAUGAUAAAAAAUCAAUGUAGUAACUAUUACAAAAUCUCAUUUUCUUAUGACUCUUUUUUUUAAAUUUUCAACUCUCUCUCUCUCUCUCUCUCUCUCUCUCUCUCUCUCUCCCUCCUCUUUUCUUUUGUCACUCCCUUUUUAAUCAAACCUCUUUAGGUUUAAUUUAUUGAUAUUUUUUCCAUCUUUUAGUUUUGUUUUUGUCCAUUAAAUUGAAAAAAAAAUUAUUUUUCUUUAACUCUAAAGACUAAUUAUUUAAUGCCACAACCACUCACUUUUAUCUCAUUUUGUUUUCUUAUCAAGUUUGCAUUUCUAUUUUUGAUUCUCUUGAUUUCUUUCAAACUCCAAACUUCUUUUUUUAAAUUGCAAUCUCUAAAUCCCAAAAACGUAAAUUAAAAUUUAAGUUCACAAUGUCUAAAUUCUCAUAGAUGCGAAUUUUGUAUAAUUUUAAAAUACUAUGGUAUUUUUGGGUUGGAUUUAAGAUUAUUUUUUGGUAGAUAUAAUUGAAAUUAAGAUGAAAUUUAUUUGUUUCAAAUUUUAUUUUUGAAAAUCCAAGUUAUUCAAAAAUAGUAAACUUUUCAUCGUAUAAAGUUUUAAAUUAGUCCAUAGCAUACCUUAUUUUCUAAACCCAACCCUUGUGUAAUGUUUCUCAUAUACCAAAGUCCUUUUUCUCACUCUCAUCUAUAACACAUGACUCCUUUUUGUGUACUUUAAUUUAUGAUAUGACAGUCCCCUUCAAUUUAUAGGAUAUAUUACUUGACAAAUACUUCAAUAAUAAUAAAAAAUAACUUACCUGAUUUCCAAACGUAUAUAAAUACAAAAUUUCUUGGCAACUACUCCAAAUACGUAUAAAUUACUAGAAAAGUAUUUACUUGUCACACAAAAUAAAAAUUGCCUAAACAAAAUAAGUAAUUUCCUAAUAAUCUCCACCAAAAAGCUUGAUGUGUAGUUACACAUACCAAAUUAUUACGUUGCUGUAAUGUCCAUAUAUACAUAGCUAAUCCGAGUCCAACUUUUAGCUGACUUAAGUUUGUAGGAUUUUCCUUUUCACCACUACUUACAACUUGAAAGUAAUCUUGGAUCCCUUUUUUUAUUCUGCUCCCAACUAUCGAGGUAAUCAAGAAACAAAUUUUUUUUUUCAAAAAUCACCAUACUUUUCCCCUUCACACAAUAUUGUCUCCCCCGUGUGUGCUUUUUAAAAUUCCACCAUUAAUGAAAAUCUCGUAACUUUGAGAGUCUCAAGAUGCAUGAGAGUUAGAUUUUUUUUUUUUUUUGGAUUUUUUUGAUACAUAUAUCAUACCGCUCGAACAACAAAACUGAAAUACUUCCAACAUCAAGUACAUACCAUUGGAAAUUGUUAAGAACAUUUCCACUAAAUUACAUCCUAAUUUAACAUUGGACUCUAUGUUUUUCCAUGUCUUCUGAAUCACUUGCGGUCAAAUAUCCUCUACGUUUGUUGUCUUUCGAUCCUUUCCCUUCAAUGCCAAGACUUUUUGACAUGAAUAUUCUUUUUCUAUUAAAUUAUUGAAUUGAAAAUUACCGCAACUCACUUAAUAUCAGUAAUUAACCAAAACCUAGCUAUGAUAUUAUACUAGAUGCUGAGAUCCAAGUGCUAACAAAGAAUCAUUGAAAAAUUAAGUGCAUGACAAUUUAAAGGAAACAAAUAAAAAACAUGAAACUUCGAGUAGAUACAAGAUUAAUGUGGUUUAACUCAAUUAUUAAAUCUACAUCUAUAAAGACAAAAUUCGAUAUGUGAGAAAAAUAGAAAAAUCUAAUUUGAAUCCCGACGCAACCGUAGUAUGACAUUUCUCACGUAGCAGAAAGCCCUUCCCUCACUCUCAUUACAUGUUACUACUUAAAACAAAAAUAAGGCAAUUUUCAUAACAAGGUAAAUUUUAUUUCGUCCUUAUGCCACCUUUUUAAGAAGAAAAGUGUAAGUAUGACACUUGGUAAAGAAAAGUGCACGUAACUUGAAAGUUGGGUCCCCCCUUAGGAGUAGGAGUGGGCUAAACUAGACUAGCUGUUGCCGCUAAAGUAAAAAAAUUAAAAAAUUAAAAACGAAACUCGUAUAUUAACGUUUUAACACAUGCCAAGCGUCUACCAACUAAGGUACCCAUACGGGCAUCCACAAUGGUUUACAUUCUUUAGAAUGUAAUCCACAUGCCACGUUAGCAUUCCACUUUUUUCUCUUUUAUCACACUUCCACUCACAAUGGAUUACACUCCAUAAGGUAUAAUAGCAUGAGUUCAUAAUUAAAUCAAAUAUUUAUUUUAAUAAUGCAUAACUCAUAUUCCAUAAAUAAAUAAAGUAAUUUUUAAAAAUAAUUUUGUUAUUUUUAAAAAAUAAAGUAUUAAGUUUCAUUAAAUUUUUUACCUUUUGAAUUUUUUAUUUUCUAAAAAUAAUAUUAUUCAUUUCUAAGUUUGGACAAUAUAUCUUUUUCUAUCUCUCAAAAAUAAUAUAUUGUUAUUUUUUGAAAAAUAAUUAUGCAGAACGUUAAACAAAUAUGUGAUACCUCAAAUGCGAUUAUAUCAUCAUAAUCCAUACUUAAUUAAUAAUUUUUUAUGCAAUUAGUUUGAUUUCCAUAACAUAAUAUUACAUAAUUUAAAUCAAAUACACUGCUUAUUUGUUGGGCAAAAAUUUUCCAACGACUAAAUUUUAUAAUGGGGUGACCCACCCAUUACACGCAUCAUUUUGAUGAUGCGUGUAAUAGGUAUUACACCACAACGGAUCUUCUGUCCCACACCCUGUGCCACUCUCUGUCCCACUUUUUAUUAUAUUGCCAUUUCUCAUUCAUAAACACCAUGUUUUAAUUCUUUUUUGUUUCCUUAAGAUCCAAUAACUAUUAAUUAAGUAAAAAAUAAAUAUAACAGAUUCAAAAAAGCAUGAUAGAAUAGAAAAUUAAAAAAUACAGCAGAAAAUUUAUAAAAAAUCUCAUUUUUUAUGCAUUUUGAUUUUUUGAGUUUGUUAAAUUUUGUGUAUUACUCAAUUAAUAGUUAUUGGAUCUUAAGGAAGCAAAAAAGAAUUAAAACAUGAUGUUUAUAAAUGAGAAAUAACAAUAUAAUAAAAAGUGGGACAGAGAGUGGCACAGGGUGGGACAGAAGAUCCGUUGCGGUAUUACACCGCAACGGAUCCUCUGUACCACACCCUGUCUCACACCCUAUCCCACCUCUCCUAAACUUGCCAAGUGUCCUUUUAUUAACCCAAUCCUAAAACAACCCAACUCGAACCAUGUUUAAUUAAUUAACCGAUUAAUCGGGCUGAGAAACUUAAUCUCUAUAACCAAAAUCAAUUAAAAUAAAAACCUAAAAAACAAAAUUAGAGAUUAAACAAGGCACAAAAAAAAACCCCCACAAGGCCACGAAAUCGGUUUCCCAUCAGAUUUCACUCCUCCUCAAAAGCUUCAUCGCAACGCAUCCCUCCAGAGAUUAACACUUUCGUGGUCGGGGAACUAAAGCCUUUUCUCCUAAACUAAAGCUAGUCUUCAACGGAGCAAGGUACGUAGGUGAAUUUUCUUUCAAAUAAGUACUCUUCAUAUGCAACGAAUUGCGUUAUUCAUGUAAACAUCAGCACAAGCCUCUGAAGUCAACCUGAAGCCUCUGAACUUAAAGAAUUUAUGCAAAGGGAUUGCUGGGUUCCUUCAAAUACUUACUCUUUGAUGAUUUUCAUUAAGUUUCAGGAUUUAUUUUUUUGGGUCUCUGUUGAUUGAAGAUCUAUUUGCUUAAGAUGUUCACAAUUUUUUGUGCUUUUUGUGUUUGUAUUGUACCUGUUGAUGCGUCUUUGAAAAGAGAAAAUAUCUAUCUAGCCUUUUAACUAUUACAAAAACAAUGAAGAGUUUGGUUAAUAAGAAGAAUAUUAAAUAUAGAAUCACCAAAGUGGUACGAAAAGCAACAUGGUAGGGAAAAGCAACACGCUGGGUUUGAUAUUGACUCCCUAGAUCUCAGAGUUCUAAAUGGUAUUAGUUGCGAACUUGCUCCCUUUUUUAGCUGAUAUUACCACUAUCAAAAUUACUUUGACCGUGUAACAUAAGAUUAAUACAAAUGUCAGUAUGUUCUGUACUGAAGUAAAUUUGUCCAAAACUUUUUGGUUGAAUAUUGUGCUUCCAAAACUAAUUCAAUUGGUGUGUAUCAACAGACCAAUUUGAAGUUGAAAACUAGAUCAAGUGCCUAAGCUUAGCAAAUCACAUCAAAUUGGCCUGCGAAGAGCUUCGAAGGUUUCCCACCAAGGUUUUUAAGAAAUAAGUUGUUUCUCACCUUUGGGAAGAGCUUCAAAGCUUCAUCCGUGAAUAUUUCGUCAAAGCUGAAUGGUGAAGAUGAUGAACUCGGACAGCCCUGCUGCGUUGCGAUGAAGCUUUUGAGAAGGAUACCAAUCUGAUGGGAAACCAGAAUCGUAGCUUGCUGCGUUGAAUUGCACUUUGUUGUCCUGCCCGAAUUUUGUGGGUUUUUUGUGUGCCUUGUUUAAUCUCUAAUUUUGUUUUUUGGGUUUUUAUUUUAAUUGCAUCUGGUUAUAGAGAUUAAGUUUCUCAACCCGAUUAAUCGGUUAAUUAAUUAAACAUGAUUCGAGUUGGGUUGUUUCAGAAUUAGGUUAAUAAAAUGACACUUGGCAAGUUUAGGAGAGGUGGGAUAGGGUGUGAGGUGUGAGAUAGGGUGUGGUACAGAGAAUCCGUUGCGGUAUUACACGGCCAUCUGUGACCGUGUAACCAACUCUUAAACUGUUAGAUAUUACACCGCUUACUCCACGCGGUUGGAGAUGCUCUAACGAAGUUAUCUUGUGUGCGGAUUUUAGCAUUGUAUGAUUUAUAAUUUGCUUGAAACAUAUUUUAGCUAUUAAAAUGAAAGAGCUCAAAGGAUAGUGAGACAUUUUUCUUUUCUUUUUUGGAUAAAUUCUUCUGAUGAGUUGCUUUGUUUUGAUCGAUCACUCAUUGGUACUUGGCAGAUUUUAUCCUAUCAUCUUUUCGCAAACAUUUUGAUAGUUAUUUAUAUACUGUUAAAAUUUAGGUAAACUUAUUUUCCAAAAUUCUAAAGUUUAACACCAUUUGACUAAGUAAAGUAACGUAAUUUGGACCAUCUUUGAAAACCGGAGCUAAGUCUUUUCCAUGCCCCUUCACAGUGAAGCUAUGAUUUCCAAUGAUAGUUCGAUCCUGCAAUGUAUGGGGUUAGAGGCAGGAACGGUUGCAGGUGCAAUCAUUUCAGACAAUUAUAUGUAUUUUGUAUACAGUGUAAUUUUAUUUAUAUACGAUGUAACUUAUUUUUAAUAACGUGUAACUUUAAAAUUUUAUAGAUCCCACACAAAUUAUUAAAAUCGAAAUAUAAGAUGAAAUCUGGACCGUAUAAAUUUUUUUGACCAAAUCUUAGCGGUGAACUGUCAGGAACGAUCGUCCGGCUUCCCAAUGCAUGAGUUGGCAAACAAGACAUUUGUGUUGCUAGGGUCAGUGAAAUUAUCGGCUCCGAUAAGGCGAUUCUCUGUAGACAUAGCAGCUUCUGGGUUAUUCAUUUAAAAAAAAAAGCAGCUUCUGGGUUAGAGUUCCAAAGUUCCAAGAGCUCGGAUCUGGAGUCUAAAGUUGCUCUGCCUAGUUCCCAAAACCAGAGAUAGGCCAAGCUCAAUGGAGAAGUUGCAGGUGCUCCUAAGGCUUCCUAUCUUCUGCAACCUGUUCUUGCUGCUAGUUUAUGUUCAAGCAUGCUCAAACCUUGCUAUGGCUGGUUCCAUAGUUAAGUUUCUUCCAGGAUUUCAAGGACCCCUCCCCUUUGAACUCGAAACCGGUGAGCCACUAAGUAUAACAUGUAUAUACUAACACUAGAAAUUAACAUUGAUCAAAA